GCAAUCUUUCAUGGAGAGAAACCUUAGUCUCAGUAUGAUCACUGUGUCAUUAACCCACUGCCUGCUUCUUUGCUUGGUUGUUGCAGCAGCAGCAGCAGCAAGCAGCAAUAUUACCACAGACCAACAAGCUCUUCUUGCCCUGAAAGAUCAUAUAAUUUAUGAUCCGACCAACCUUUUAGCCAAUAAUUGGACCUCGAAUAACUCUGUUUGUACCUGGAUUGGCAUCACUUGUGAUGUCAAUAGCCACAGAGUCACAGCCUUAGAUAUUUCUCAAUUCAAUCUACAAGGCACCAUCCCUCCUCAACUUGGAAACCUCUCUUCACUCACAACACUAAAUCUUAGUCAUAACAAGCUUUCUGGAAGCGUUCCCUCCCCCAUCUACACCAUGCAUACGCUAAAAUUUCUUGACUUCACCGAUAACCAGCUCUCUGGUUCAGUGUCUUCCUUCGUCUUCAACAUGUCUUCAAUAGUAGAAAUUCGUUUGACCAAUAACAGAUUUUCUGGUGUGCUUCCGAAAAAUAUUUGCAACUAUCUUCCUUAUUUGAAAGCCCUUUUCUUAAACAAAAACAUGUUUCAUGGCAAAAUUCCUUCUGCUUUAUCAAAGUGCAAAACUCUGCAAAUAUUAUUGUUACACUUCAAUAAUUUAUCCGGUGCAAUACCAAAAGAAAUCGGCAACUUGACUAUGCUCAAAGGCAUAUAUCUCGAAUACAACAAACUCCACGGUAUGUUCAUAAUACUAUGUAAAUGUUUUAAUUUCUCACUUGUUAUUUUUCUUGAAUACUUUAGAUAAGAUCUAGUAAGUGAGAUUUUUUGGAUCUGUGUUAAUUUGCCAGGUGAGAUACCCCACGAAAUCGCUAAUCUUCCAAAUCUAGAGGCUUUAGUGCUUGGAAUGAACAACCUAGUUGGUGUGUUACCAGCUCCAAUCUUCAACAUGUCAACACUGAAGGUACUUAUCCUCAUAAAUAACUCUCUCUCCGGAAGUCUCCCAUCAAGAAUAGACCUUUCACUUCCAACUAUGGAGCAUCUUAACUUGGCACUUAAUAGAUUUUCUGGAACCAUUCCUAGUUCCAUCACCAAUGCUUCUAAGCUCACCUUUAUAGAGUUGAGAGGAAACACAUUUUCGGGGUUUAUUCCAGACACAAUUGGUAAUUUAAGAAACCUUGAGUGGCUCAACUUGGCUAAUAACUCCUUGACAUCUUCAACCUCAAAAUUGAGCUUUCUUUCCUCUUUGGCAAAUUGCAAGAAAUUAAGAGUCAUAGGCUUAACAGGCAAUCCACUUGACGGCUUCCUUCCAAGUUCAAUAGGUAAUCUUUCUGUGUCUUUGGAAAUACUUUUCAUCGCCAAUUGCAGUAUUAGUGGCAACAUUCCUCAAUCAAUUAGCAAUUUAAGCAACUUGAUGAUCUUAGCAUUAGAAGGAAAUAAAUUGACUGGACCAAUUCCAAUUACAUUCGGCCGACUGCAGAAACUCCAAGGCUUACAUCUUCAAAUCAAUAAGUUGGUAGGUUCAUUCCCAGAUGAGCUUUGCCAUCUAGGUAGGCUGGCUGAAUUGGCCUUAUUGGACAAUAGGCUUUCAGGAUCUAUACCUUCUUGUGUAAGUAAUCUCACUUCUCUAAGAUCUCUCUAUUUAGGGUCCAAUAAGUUUACUUCUGUUAUUCCCUCAACCUUCUGGAGGCUAAAAGACAUCUUGUUCUUUGACUUUUCAUCAAAUUUCUUGGUUGGUCCUCUUUCUUUAGAUAUAGGAAAUUUGAAGGUGCUUCUAGGAAUAAGUUUAUCAAAAAAUAAUUUAUCCGGUGAUAUCCCAGCCACAAUUGGAGGACUGAAAGAUCUUCAAUUUAUGGACCUAGCAUAUAAUAGAUUGGAAGACCCAAUUCCCAAAUCAUUUGGUGACUUGACAAGUUUGGAGUUUUUGAAUCUGUCAAAUAAUAAAAUCUCUGGGUCUAUUCCAACAUCCAUGGAGAAACUCUUUUACCUCCGAGAGUUAAAUCUCUCUUUCAAUAAACUAGAAGGUGAGAUUCCUAGUGGAGGAAUUUUUGCCAACUUCACAGCUGAGUCAUUUAUGGGAAAUGAGUUAUUGUGUGGUUUACCAAAUCUUCAAGUCCAACCAUGCAAAAUUAGCAAGCCGAGGACAGAACAUAAAUCAAGGAAAAAGAUACUGCUCAUUGUGAUUGUUUUGCCAUUGAGUAUUGCUCUAACGAUAGCAAUCACUCUAGUUCUCAAAUAUAAGCUGAUCGAAUUUGGAAAAAGAAGCACAGUGUUAUCAAAUGAUAGUAUCUUGUCAUCACAAGCAACACUAAGAAGAUUUUCAUACUUAGAACUUUUACAAGCAACAGAUAAUUUUGCUGAAAACAACAUAAUUGGCAUAGGAGGUUUUGGUUCUGUUUAUAGAGCAAGACUUGAAGAUGGGAUGAAGAUUGCAAUAAAAGUGUUUCACCAGCAAUGUGCAAGCGCAUUGAAGAGUUUUGAGGCUGAAUGUGAAGUGUUAAAAAAUAUUCGCCAUCGAAAUCUUAUCAAAGUUAUCAGCAGUUAUUCAAACAAUGACUUCAAAGCAUUAGUCCUAGAAUACAUGUCCAACGGGAGCUUGGGGGAUUGGUUGCAUUCCAGCAAUUAUAUGCUUAAUAUAUUUCAAAGGUUGAACAUAAUGAUUGACGUUGCAUCAGCUUUAGAAUAUCUCCACUUCGAUCAUUUACCUCCUAUUAUUCAUUGUGACUUAAAGCCUAGUAAUGUAUUGUUGGACGAAAAUAUGGUUGCUCAUUUGAGUGAUUUUGGCAUUGCAAAGCUUUUAAGUGGAGAGGAUGAGUAUGUGAUGCGAACAAAAACCCUUGCCACUAUAGGUUAUAUGGCACCAGGUUUGCUUCAAACAACUUUUUUUUAGUUCAUUUUAAAUUUUCCAACUUAUUGAUUUUUACAAUCCUCACAUCAAAAUGUUAUUGAUUAUUUAUCUAAUUGUGAAAUUAAUUUGAUUCAUAGAGUAUGGCAUAGAAGGAGAAGUAUCUACAAAAAGUGAUGUGUACAGCUAUGGGAUUAUGUUAAUGGAAACUUUUACCAAGAAAAAACCCACAGAUGAAAUUUUUGUUGGAGAAUUGAGCUUAAAGCGUUGGGUUAAUGACUUGCUUCCUACUUCAUUAGUGGAAGUUGUGGACAAAACUCUGCUAAGUGGAGAGGAAAAACUUUCUGCAGCAAAGGAGCAAUGUCUGUUGUCUAUCUUUAGCUUGGCUCUGGAGUGUACAAUGGAAUCACCGGGAAAGAGGAUUAAUGCAAAAGAUAUUGUUACAGGAUUACUCAAGAUAAGAGACACAUUGAGUAAAAGGAUAGGAAACUUAAGUUAAUUUCGUUUGCUUUCAUUGAUAGUUAAUUCAAAUUCAUGUAAUAAGUGUAAGAAUCUUAUAUGCUUUCCUUAGAUUUUUUUUUGUUUGAGAAAACUGUUGUAUUCAUCUUGUUUCCAUGGGCAGAGUUGAUUUAGUUCUUCCAAGAAAUGCUACUGAUGACCUUUGUUUUAUACUUUCGCUUUUUUUUGCAUGUGUUUCGGUAGAAUAGUGGUUUGGCUCACUCAAAGAAGUCAAACUGCACUAAAAGAAUAUGAUUUAAUUUAUUAAACAAAACUUCAAGUUCAAGAAAAGUAUCUCACUGCCCCCAAUGCUUUGGACACCUAUUGGUAGGUUUGUACGUGUCCUCAACUUUUUUUUAGAGCACAAAAUUCGAGUCCCAUGGAGACUCAAACAUUCCUUUUCCGCAUCCCGAGCGUGCUAAAUUCAUCAGACUGACAAUUGGGACAUAUAGAAGAGUGAAAUGUUUGGAGCACGCUAAGUUCGAGCGAAAGAGAUUAAUUUACAGAAACUAAAGCCAAGAGAAUAAAGGACAACACUUAUGUGAAGCGACAUAAUUGUAUUGAUAGCACAAUGUCAAAUUCAUACAGAGAUCUAGUAUACUAUUUACAGCCGGUAAGGGCUAAGAAUUGAUGUAGCUAGAAUACAAAGACGAUAAGGUAUGUUGUGCACUAUUGUUUUAUUCUACGAUCAAUCUUGACCCUUGAUGCUUGGCUCUCAAUCUUGUCCAUUGAUCUUCUUUGAUUUUGUACACUUCAAGACCUUUCAGUAUCAUUCCUUGUUGUUGGUGUCUUCCGUGCUGUAGAAUUCAUAUACAAGCCUUCCCGCCGACUUGCGAAGUAUUCGUUCAUUGAUGCAUUUUAUCAAACAGCUGGGCUACUUAUACCAAACACCGCGUGGUUUAACUCCCCCUCUCUAGCUUAACUAUCUGGGAAGGCAAUUAAUUGAGAUAUGAAUUAGAAAAUUAAAUUUUAAAAAUUAUAUUCGGACUCUACAUUUUGUAAUGAACAUUGGUUUGACUUGUUAUACAUUUACGCGUACAUAAUUAAUAACCGAUUCUCAAGUGCGGACAUUCAAGAGCACUGCUUAAAGACCAAAUAUUUUGAUUUACUAUUUUUUGUCUUUCAAUUUUCUUUUACGUUCUGAUGACGUCCGCAUUUUAAAAUCCUGUGGAACAAAGGUCGAAUUGUAGAGGGUAAGCAAACAUUUAUCCGAAUUAUAUUAUGAUAAAUCCUUUUCCAAUUAGAAUUAGGAAACCAUAGAUAUACUGAUUUUUUUUGUUUAAAUGAUUUUGUGAUUUACUUGAUUGAUUGAGUGAUUGAAUAUUGUUUGAUUGCUUCAUAUCAAUUCUAGAAAGUUUAUUUCUUUGUGAAAUUUCAACGAAAUAUGUUUUUUAAAAUAAUAAAGGUGUUUUAAGUAAUUUUAAAAAAUAAAUGGACUAAUUAGAAUUAAUUAUUAAGUAAUUAACUCGAACUGUAGAGGAUAAGCAAACAUUUAUCCUAAUUAUAUUACGAUAAAUCAUUUUCCAACUAGAAUUAGGAAACCAUAGAUAUGCUGAUUUUGUUUUUUUAAUUUCUCUUUGCGAAAACGGAUUAGAGAACUAGAAAACAAUCCUAGUGAGACUAUUGUUAGGUUUAAAACACUGCAUAGAUGGUAAAAACAUGCGUGGUGAAUAUUUUGUCGCAUGCAAACUUUUUGUUUUAUGCAAAUCGUGCUGAACAUUGGGACUGAUGUUUAAGAAAAAAAUUCUGUAGUUAAAGAAAAACAAAAAAAUUCUGAUGUUUAUGCAAAAAUAGAUUACGAUAGUUUAUUCAAUUGGGAGUUUUUUUUUCUUUAAUUUUUGUUGUACUUGAUUGAGAUUUCUCCUUAGUCCUUACCGUCUUAAGUUUGGAUACCGUAGGAUUAGUAAUUUCGUACUUCCUUUGCAAGCUGAAUAUAAGGAUGAAAUUUUUUUAAGAAAUUAAAAAAAAAAGAUUAAAAAAAGGGCAUACCAGUAGGCAAUUAUAAAUUAACCACAAAUAAAUAUAAACAAAAUGUUUAUGAAGUAAAUUAAACAUGCACAUAUUAUUUUCUUUUAUUUUCUGCUUGGAAACCCAUAAAUACACUAAUCCAGUACUACUAAUUUCAGACCGAAAAAUUUGAACUCUAGGCUGCAGUUUGACUCAAAAUGAUGAUCACUGGCUUCGCACCAUUUAACCGGUAUACAUUUCUACAAACUGAACAAGGCUAUUGAUUAUUAUUAUUAUUAUUAUUUUAAUUUGUUUAUAAAUUACUAUUUUAAUUUUCACUUUUUAUUGGGUUGUUUAACGGAUUAGUGAAGUUGGUGGUCGUUGAUGCACUCACAAGGUACAAUUUUAUUUUAUAAUUUCAAAUUCGUAUUUUAAAAUGCAGGCACAUUAUGUAUACAUAAUUAUUGAUUUUCAUAUGUGGGUGUUUUGAAAUAUUGCCAAAAGACCAAACUUUAAUAAACUAUUUUUGAUCUUUUUUUUCCUUUUUAGCUAAAGUUUGAGUGAUAUCCGCAUUUUAAAUUCAUGUGGAACAAAAGCUAAUGUAUGCACAAAAUUCUUUUAUUUUUUCCGAGAAAAAUGGGUAAGAGAAGAAGAUUUUUCUCUUGAAAAAAGAAAAACCAAUACGAUGCAAGCAUAGGAAAGAGUUCAGUGUUUUGGAUUUGAAUUUAGUAUUGAGCUGAAUUUUAUGCUAAGCUCUUUUAUAGUACUGCUAAUAAUAAGCUCAGGAUUUGCUUUUGCUUUUACGUCAAGUAAAAGAAAGAGGAAACCUUUUGUUUUCUGUUUGAUUUUUGACUAUAUAUGUUACCUAUAUAGAGAGUUGAGGUAGCUGCCUUAAGUGAUGGUGAUAAAAAGAUUAAGCAACGCACACAAUCUUACUGUUGUCCAGACCAUCCAGUGAUGCUCUAGUUUUUUGGUUACAUUAGCUUUAGUGGAAAGAAGGGUCAAUUUAACAAAGACUAGAUUUGGUGGCUUACUAUAAUGCUUAUUCUCAGGGAAUCUAAUGUUAUAAGAUGAUUGAAUGAUCUUCUAUGAUUGUGUGUAGUACAAUAUAAUUGAAAGGAACCUGGGCUCCUAUGAUGAAUAACAGCAACACAUUACUAUGAUUGAGAAAACUCAGUUACAAUAAACUCUUCAUUUAUUCAUUGCUGAGAUUGAAUGGCAAACAGAGAAUAGAAUGAAGCAGAGGAAUCUCAUUGCCGGUAAAAUUGACCAUAUUUAAUGUUACUUGCAGUUUUUAUUGUAAAAUAUAUAGGUAUUGUCAAAGCCGGUGGUGGCCUAGCCAAAAUCAAAUUGGCUUUGGCAGCCGCCCAAAGAAAUAAACAAAAGAGAAAUAGAAGAAAAAGAGAUGAGGGAGAUGCCGCCUAAAGAAAUGAAGCACACGGCUUUGACUUGUUCUAAAAAAAAAAAAAGAGCCAAAAUUUUUUGCUAUAUAAAGUGGGCUUCCCACCCUCAUUUUUGCAUUCCAUUUAAGAGAGAGCAAUCUAGUAUUUUUUGAGAGAGAGUUUUGAGAGCUUGAAAUUAUAAGCUUUUGUUAUAGAAAUUUGAGAGUUUGGGUGUAUUGGGGUUUUGGGAAGUGGGCUAAAAUACUACAAUACUUGUAAUUUCUUUUUACUAAUAAAAUAUUUCCUUCUGUCUUCGCCCGUGGACGUAGGCUAAAAGCCGAACCACGUAAUUUCUAAUAUUCUCUUUUGUGAUUGUUUUUUAUUCUUCUUCCAAUUUUAUUUUAGCUGCAGUCCUGCUUCACCCACCAAUUUCCUAAUAGUGGUAUCAGAGCUAUUGGUUGUAUUUUUUGGAGUCGGGUACUAUUCACGUAAGGGUACUAUUCACAUAUAUGGUAUUGUUCACGUAUACGAUACUAUUCACGUGAAAUGGUGAGAGCGAUCCAAGAAUUUGGCGGUGCAAAAGUAGGGAAUAGUGGUGUGAGUAAAACAACUGUGUGGUUUUGUACAUGUCUAGGAAAGUUCUGUCAUAAAGACGAUAAGAGCUUAAGGAGUCUGGGUUUUAAGUGGGACCAUUGUGACCCCUCCAGUCUUUCUUGGAAACUUUCCUGGUGUGCAUAUUCACACAUACUCACAACUAUUUAAGGUGAUACACUAGUUUGUGUACAAUAUUUAUUAACAAAAUGGCGGCAAAGUAUGAAAUUAAGAAAUUUAACGGAAAUAAUUUUUCGUUGUGGAAAAUAAAGAUGAAAGCUGUAUUGAGGAAAAAUAAUUGCUUGGCAGCAAUUAGAGAAAGGCCUAUGGAGAUAACUGAUGACAAGUGGAACGAGAUAGAUGGCAACGCCAUUUCUGAUUUACACUUGGCGCAUGCAGACAGAGUAUUAUCCAGUCUGGCAGAGAAAAAUACAGCAAAGGAAAUAUGAGAUACACUCACAAAAUUGUACGAGGCCAAGUCACUACACAACAAAAUCUUCUUGAAGAGGAAACUCUAUACUCUUCGAAUGACGGAAUCUACAAUGGUGACUGACUACAUCAACAUCUUGAAAACUCUAUUUUCACAACUCACAGUGUUGGGUUAUAAUAUAGAGGAGAAUGAACGUGCAGAGCUUCUACUUCAAAGUCUACCAGAUUCGUAUGAUCAACUCAUCAUCAACCUGACAAACAACAAUCCAGCGGACAGUCUAGUUUUCGAUUAUGUUGCAGCCUCCGUAUUAAAUGAGGAGAGCAGGCGGAAAAAUAAGGAAAACAGCAAGCAAGUUCGCAUCAAGCGGAGACGCUAUUGGUGACGAGAGGGAGAUCAACGGAACGUGGCCCCAGUGAGAGUCAAAAUCAUGGUAGAUCAAAAUCUAGAAGUAAGAAGAAUGUUAAAUGCUACAAUUGUAGCAAGAAAGGGCACGUCAAGAAAGAAUGUUGGAGUAAUUAGAAGAGAAAAGAGGGCAAAGAACCUGAGUCAUCAAAUGCUCAGGGUUGUGUAGCAAGUACCUCGGAUGAUGGCGAAAUUCUCUACAGCGAGGCAACAACUGUUUCAGAAGGCAGAAAACGACUAUAUGAUGUUUGACUUAUAGACUCAGGAGCUACCUGGCACAUGACCUCUCGGAGAGAAUGGUUCCACACAUAUGAACCUAUCUUAGGAAGAUCUGUAUAUAUGGGUAAUGAUCAGGCCUUGGAGAUCACUAGUAUUGGUACUAUCAAAAUAAAAAUGUUUAAUGGUAUAAUUCGCACAAUUGGGGAGGUACGACAUGUCAACGGCUCUAAGAAAAAUCUUUUGUCUUUGGGACAAAUGGAUAGUCAUGGGUACAAAACUCAUGUGGAGAAUGGAAUUAUGAAGAUCGUUAAAGGCGCGCUUGUAUUGAUGAAGGCAGAAAAGAUCAAUGCUAAUCUAUUCAUGCUUAAAGGAGAAACACUACAGGAGGCUGAUGCGUGUGUUGCAUCAAAUGAAGAAGAGUCAACGAUGAUGUGGCAUCUCAAACUUGGCAACAUGUCGGAACAAGGUUUGAAGAUUCUCUCUAAGCAAAAAUUGCUUCCGGGGCUCAAAUCGGUAAAUUUACCAUUUUGCGAGCAUUGUGUUACAAGUAAGCAGCAUAGAUUAAAAUUCAAUAGAUCUAUUGCUAGAAGUAAAUGCAUUCUAGACUUGAUUCAUUCUAAUAUUUGAGAAUCACCGAAUAUAUCCAUAGGAGGUGCAAAAUACAUGGUGACUUUCAUUGAUGAUUAAUCCAGAAGAUGUUGGGUGUAUCCAAUUAAGAAAAAGUCAGAUGUAUUUUCAGUGUUUAAAGAAUACAAAGCGUGGGUGGAACUUGAAUCUGGUAAAAGGAUAAAGUGCUUGAGGAUAGAUAAUGGUGGAGAGUAUACAAAUGGCGAGUUUCUUGCUUUCUGUAAACAAGAAGGUAUCCAAAGGCAUUUCACGGUGGCAUACACUCCUCAAUAAAAUGGAGUGGCGGAGCGGAUAAACAGAACUCUUACAGAAAGAAUAAGAGCUAUGUUGAGGACUGCUAGUCUACCCAAUUUAUUCUGGGCAGAAGUAGCCAAAACUGCUUGUUAUAUAGUAAAUAGGUCGCCAUCUACAGCCAUUGGGCUGAAGACCGCGAUGGAGAUGUGGACUGGAAAGCCAGCUGAUUAUUCCUACCUACAUGCAUUUGGAUGUUCUAUGUACGUGAUGUACAAUGCCAAAAAAAAAACAAAGCUGAGUCCAAAAUCUAGAAAAUGUAUCUUCUUGGGGUAUGCUGAUGGAGUAAAGAGGUAUCGUCUAUGGGACCCCACUGCCCACAAGAUUGUCAUCAGCAGAGAUGUUAUGUUUAUAGAAGAUCAACUGCAAAGGAAAGAUAAGGAUUAUAGCAGUGUAAAAGAAAAGUCAAAGACUAUACUGGUAUAUGUGGAAAAUAAUCCAGAAGAUUCAGAUUCUUCUGAAGCAGCACCAGAGCACGAGGAAUGAGAACCAGUCGAGUCUGGGGCUCCAGAAGUUCGUCGGUCAACUCGUGAGAGAUGAUCGCCAACGUGGCACUCGGAGUAUGUCAUAGAGAUCAAUGUUGCAUACUAUCUUCUAAUAGAAGAUGGAGAGCCUUCAACUUUCUAUGAAGCUUUAAACAGCUCAGAUGUUGCUUUGUGGAUGACAGCAAUGCAGGAAGAAAUUGAAGCUCUACAUAAGAACAAGACAUGGGAACUUGUACCACUACUACACGGAAGAAAAGCCAUUGGAAACAAAUAGGUCUACAAGAUCAAGCGUAAUGGCAAUGACCAAGUGGAGCGGUUUCGUGCAAGAUUGGUAGUGAAAUGAUAUGCUCAAAAAGAAGGUAUUGACUUCAAUAAGAUAUUUUCGCCGAUAGUUCGACUCACAACAGUCAGAAUAAUCUUGGCAAUGUGUGCUACAUUUGACCUACAUCUAGAGCAGUUAGAUGUGAAAACUGCAUUUCUUCAUGAAGAACUUGAAGAAGAAAUAUAUGUGCUCCAACCAGAAGGUUUUAUAGAAACAGGAAAGGAAAACUUGGUUUGCAGGUUGAACAAAUCUCUAUAUGGUCUCAAACAGGCGUCGAGGUGUUGGUAUAAGAGAUUCGAUUCCUUCAUCAUGAGCCUUGGAUACAACAGAGUAAGUUCAGACCAUUGUACAUAUUAAAAAAGGUUUGAAGAUAAUGAUUUUAUUAUUUUAUUGUUGUACGUGGAUGACAUGUUGGUAGCAGGCCCCAACAAAGAUCGAGUCCAAGCAUUGAAGGCACAGUUGGCUAGGGAGUUUGAAAUGAAGGAUUUGGGACCAGCAAACAAGAUUCUAGGGAUGCAAAUUCACCGAGACAGAAAUAGCAGGAAGAUUUGGCUUUCGCAGAAGAAUUACUUGAAGAAAAUCUUGCAGCGCUUCAACAUGCAAGAUUGUAAGUCAAUUUCUACCCCACUUCCUGUUAAUUUCAAAUUAUCCUCAAGUAUGUGUCCUAGCAAUGAAGGAGAGAGGAAGGAGAUAUCUCGAGUACCGUAUGCAUCAGCAGUUGGAAGUUUGAUGUUUGCUAUGAUAUGUACAAGACCAGACAUUGCACAAGCAGUGGGAGCAGUCAGUCGAUACAUGGCCAAUCCCGGUGGAGAGCAUUGGAUAGCUGUGAAGAAGAUUCUGAGAUACAUCAGACGAACCUCAGAUGUUGCAUUAUGUUAUGGAGGAUCAGAGUUUACUGUCAGGGGCUAUGUGGAUUCAGAUUUUGUAGGAGACCUUGAGAAAAGAAAAUCUACUACUAGUUAUGUGUUCACACUUGCGGUAGCAGCUGUAAGCUAGGUUUCGAAACUGCAGACCGUUGUGGCUUUAUCUACAACAGAAGCAGAAUACAUGGCAGCUACACAAGCUUGCAAGGAAGCUAUUUGGACACAAAGAUUAUUGGAGGAGCAUGGGCACAAACAACAGAAAAUUCAUGUGUUUUGUGACAGUCAGAGUGCCUUGCACAUUGCAAGGAAUCCAGUCCUUCAUUCCAGGACAAAGCACAUAGGAGUUCAGUAUAACGCCGUUCGAGAAAUAGUGGAAGACGGAAAUGUGGAUUUACAGAAAAUCCAUACGAAGGAGAACCGAGCAGAUGUUUUGACCAAGCCGAUAAAUACUGAUAAGUUUGUUUGGAGUAGAUCCUCUUGUGGCCUAGCAGAAACGUAGGCAAUAUGAUUAUGGCGAAGCAGAAAAGAUGGUGUGGAGAUUGAUUGAUUUUCAGUCAAAUCUCCAAGUGGGAGAAAUAUCAAAGCCGGUGGUAGCCUAGCCAAAAUCAAAUUGGCUUUGGCAACCACCCAAAGAAAUAAACAUGGCUUUGGCAGCCACCUAAAGAAAUAAACAAAAGAGAAACAGAAGAAAAAGAGAUGAGGGAGGUGCCGCCCAAAGAAAUGAAGCACACGGCUUUGACUUGUUCUAAAAAAAAAAAAAAGAGCCAAAAUUUUUUUCUAUAUAAAGAGGGCUUCCCACCCUCAUUUUUGCAUUCUAUUUAAGAGAGAACAAUCUAGUAUUUUUUGAGAGAAAGAGUUUAGAGAGCUUGAAAUUAUAAGCUCUUGUUAUAGAAAUUUGAUAGUUUGGGUGUAUUGGGGUUUUGGGAAGUGGGCUAAAAUAUUACAAUACUUGUAACUCCUUUUACUAGUAAAAUAUUUCCUUCUGUCUUCGCCCGUGGAUGUAGGCUAAAAGCCGAACCACGUAAUUUCUGAUAUUCUCUUUUGUGCUUGUUCUUUAUUUUUUUUCCAAUUUUAUUUUAGCUGCAGUCCUGCUUCACCUACCAAUUUUCAAAAAGGUAUGACCAUGGUCAUUGCAGUUAGGUUUUGAUGAUUUCAGAUGCUUUUUUAAAAAAAAAUUGUGACUGACGAUUACAAUCAUUACAGCAAUGCUGAUGAGUGAUACAUCACUUGAAAUUUACUUGUCAGUUGCUGAAAUGAUGAAAAAAGACCAUAAACAAUAAGAUUAAUAAUGUUCUCUUGCUGAAUUCUAAUUUUGACUUUCAACUCUUGGUUUUUAUGGAAAGUAAAAUGACUUGUAUAUUGUUUAGAAACUCGAAUCUAACCAGUAACAAACUCGAAUCUAUCAUUAUCUAAACAAAAAACCAAGAGUUUCUAACCAGUAACAAACAAAGCAAUCUUAGUCUUUCAUGGAGCGGAACCUUAGUCUCAGUAUGAUCACUGUCUCAUUAACCCACUGCCUGCUUCUUUGCUUGGUUGUUGCAGCAACAGCAGCAGCAAGCAACAAUAUUAUCACAUACCAACAAGCUCUUCUUGCCCUGAAAGAUCAUAUCACUUAUGAUCCAACCAACCUUUUUGCCCAUAAUUGAACCUCGAAUACCUCUGUUUGUACCUGGAUUGGCAUCACUUGUGAUGUCAAUAGCCAUAGAGUCACAACCUUAGAUAUUUCUCAAUUCAAUCUACAAGGCACCAUCCCUCAACUUGGAAACCUCUCUUCACUCACAACACUUAAUUUUAGUCAUAAUAAGCUUUCUGGAAACGUUCCCUCCUCCAUCUACACCAUGCAUACGCUAAAAUUAUUAUAAGUGAAUAUGAAAUAGUUCACUCAAAGCAAGGAUAAAUGGAUGAAAGUACUACUCAUUUUAUUCACAAUGAGGUUGCCUUUUAUAGGCGUUACAUGAACAAACUUAAUGAAAUAAUAGCAGCUAUUAUUCAGCAAAUACUGCAGCCACUUUCCAGUAACUAUAGCCUAAAGACUAGGUAAACACAAUCUUGCAAAUAACAUUACCAACAAACUUCCUAAAGACUAGGACCAUAAAAGCAACUUAUUGACAUAAGGAAAUUCCAACAAUCCCUCCCUUAAACUAAAUGUUAUUAACAUUCAGUUUAAACAUUCUGCAGAAUCUUCCUCAAAUUGCAAUUUGCAAACUCCAAGUGACUUUCUCAACUUAAAAAAACUAGCCAAUUUGAGGGGUUUAGUAAAGAUGUCAGCAACUUGGUCUUCACUCUUGCAAUAAACAAGAUCAAUGACUUCAUUUUUUGUCAAGUCUCACAAGAAAUGAUAUCUCACAUCUAUGUGCUUGCAUCUUCCAUGUAGAACCGGAUUCUUUGAAAGUUUAAUUGUUGAACUAUUAUCACAGAAGAUUUGUGUUGACUUUGGUUGCUUAAACUGAAGUUCAUGAAGAAUAUUUCUUAGCCAAAGUGCUUGACAUGCACAAGAAGCUGCUGCAACAAACUCAGCUUCAGUUGUUGACAAAGUAACUAUCGGUUGCUUCUUAGAUGACCAUGAAAUAGCUGCUGAACCAAACAUAAAUACAUAUCCAGAUGUGCUUCUUCUGUCAUCCAAAUCUCCAGCAUAAUCAGUGUCUAUAAAGCCAUACAAAUUUGAUUUUUUACCCUUUUUAUAGAACAACCCAAAUUCAGCUGUACCACGCAAGUAUCGAAGAAUUCUUUUUGCAGCUAAAAGAUGAUCCUCUCUUGGACGCUCCAUAUAUCUGCUGAUGGAACUAACUGCAUGCAUUAUAUCAGGUCGAGUUGCCGUUAAGUACAUCAAGCUUCCAACAAUCUGUUUGUAAAGGGUACUAUCAAGCAGGAUCCUUAACAAACUUCAAUCCUUUUUCAAUUGGAGUAGUGACAGAGUUGCAGUUCUUCAUUUGAAAUCUUUCUAAGAUCUCUUUCACAUAUUUCUUUUGACAAAUAAAAUUUCCAGCAUCAGAUUGUAUGACUUCUAAGCCAAGAAAAUAAUGCAGCAAACCAACAUCAGUCAUAUCAAAUUCAAGCAUCAUGGAUUCCUUGAAUUUCUCAAACAUUACUCUGUCAUUUCCCGUGUAAAUCAAAUCAUCUACAUAUAAACAUACCAUAAGCAUUUUCCCAUCAUCUCCAAUUUUUAUGUACAGAGUAUGCUCAUAUGGGCAUUUUCGAAAACCUUCCUCCAAGAAAUAAGCAUCUAUAUGACUAUACCAAGCUCGGGGUGCUUGUUUUAGUCCAUAUAGAGCUUUUUUCAAUUUAUAGACUUUAUGCUCACUGCCUAAUUUCACAUAUCUAGGAGGUUGUUCGAUAAAUACCUCUUCUUGUAGCUCCCUAUGCAAGAAUGCUGAUUUCACGUCCAGUUGAAAAACAGGCCAUGAAUUUUGUGCUGCAAGAGCAAUAAUCAAUCUGAUCGUUUCAAGUCUUGCAACGAGAGAAAAUACUUCUUUAUAAUCCGCGCCGAACUCUUGCUUGUAGCCUUUGGCGACUAGGAGUGCCUUGUAUUUAUCAAUUUCACCAUUUUCCUUCAAUUUUGUCUUGUAAACCCACUUGACUCCUAUUGUCCUCUGCCCCAUUGGAAGUUCAGUCAACUCCCAAGUAUUAUUUUUUUCAAUGGAUGCAAUUUCUUCGUCCAUGGAUUUUAGCCAUUUUUGUUCUUUGACAGCUUCUUUAAAAGUUGUAGGAUCACAUUCUGAAAACAAGGCAAAGUGUAUGAGUGGAUUCUCAAGAGUGUUAAAUCUUGUUACCUCAUAAUCUGACAUCCAUGCAGGCCUUCUUCUAUCACGUUGAGAACGUGAAUCUGUAGCUUCAACUUGUUCAUUAAGUUCAUUUGUUGCUGGUGGAGUUUCUACUGAGACUCUAUUUUGCGGCAGGUCAGGAGCAGAGACUGUUGAAGGCUGAAGUUGCUGUGAAUUUUCUUCAAUUUCACCAUCGAAAUCUGCUGGAAUUUGCUGCCCAAUAGAACUGCAUCUCCACAUCCAUGUCUUCUCUUCAUAAAAAAUGACAUCACGACUAAUGACAAUUUUCUUGAUGAUGGGAUCAUAUAAUUUGUAGGCCUUUGAAUGAUCACUAACACUAAGAAAACUGCACUUUACACCUUUGUCAUCUAAUUUUCUUCUUUUCUCAUCUGGUAUGUGGACAUAUGCUAUACAUCCAAAUACCCGAAAGUGAUCUACUGCCGGCUUACAUCCACUCCAUGCUUCUUCAGGAGUUAUAUUUUGAACAGCUAUUGUGGGGCUUCUGUUCAAAAUAUAAACACUCCAAACAACUGCUUCAGGCCAAAAACUUUUGGGAAGACCACUCCUCCGCAGAAGGCUUCGUACCAUAUUAAGAAUUGUACGAUUUUUCCUCUCGCAUACACCAUUUUGCUGAGGUGUGUAGGCUGUUGUCAAUUGUCUUCUAAUUCCAUGAUUUUUGCAAAAGCUUCCAAAUUCUUGAGAGUUGAACUCUCCACCACGAUCAGUACGCAAUAUUUUAAUUUGGCUGUCAGCUUCUCUUUCAACUAAUGCUUUAAACAUUUAAAAGGCUGUGAAAACUUCCGAUUUUUCUUGCAAGAAAUAAACCCAGGUUUUUCAACUAAAAUCAUCAAUAAUUGAGAUAAAAUAUCGUUUACCUCCAUUUGAUGUUGGCUUGAUUGGCCCACAUAAGUCUGAAUGCACUAGCUCCAGCACUUUCUUUGCCCUCCGGGAUUUUCCUUUUGGAAAAUUAUCUCGAUGUUGCUUACUGACAAUACACUCUUCGCAAAGCUGUGAAGGUUGCUCAAAUUUCUAGACUUCACGGAUAACCAGCUCUCUGGUUCAGUGUCUUCCUUCGUCUUCAACAUGUCUUCAAUAUUAGACAUUCGUUUGACUAAUAACAGACUCUGGUGAGCUUCCGAAAAAUAUUUGCAACUAUAUUCCUUAUUUGAAAGCCCUUUCUUUAGACAAAAACAUGUUUCAUGGCAAAAUUCCUUAUGCUUUAUCAAAGUGCAAACAACUGCAACAAUUAAAUUUGCAGUUCAAUAAUUUAUCCGGUGCAAUACCGAAAGAAAUCGGCAACUUGACUAUGCUCAAAGGGAUAUAUCUCGGCUACAACAAACUCCACGGUAUGCUCAUAAUACUAUACAAAUAUUAUCUUUCUUGAAUACUUUAGAUAAGAUCUUGUAUGUGAGAUUUUUUUGCAUCUAUAUUAAUUUUCCAGGUGAGAUACCGCACGAAAUCGCUAAUCUUCGAAAUCUAGAGGCUUUAGCGCUUGGAAUGAACAACCUAGUUGGUGUGGUAUCAGCUCCAAUAUUCAACAUGUCAACAUUGAAGAUAAUUAUCCUCAUAAAUAACUCCCUCUUCGGAAGUCUUCCAUCAAGAAUAGGCCUUUCACUUCCAACUGUUGAGCAUCUUAACUUGGAACUUAAUAGAUUUUCUGGAACCAUUCCUAGUUCCAUCACCAAUGCUUCUAAGCUCACCCUUCUAAAGUUGGGAGGAAACACAUUUUCGGGCCUUAUUCCGGACACAAUUGGUAAUUUAAGAAACCUUGAGUGGCUCGGCUUGGCUUAUAACAACUUGACAUCUUCAACCUCAAAAUUGAGCUUUCUUUCCUCUUUGGCAAAUUGCAUGAAAUUAAGAUCCUUAAACUUAAUAGGCAAUCCACUUGACGGCUUCCUUCCAAGUUCAAUAGGUAAUCUUUCUAUGUCCUUGGAAACACUUCUCAUCACCAAUUGCAGUAUUAGUGGCAACAUUCCUCAAGCAAUUUCAACCAAAUAUCUUUUUCAAAAUAAUUAGGGUGUUUUAAGCAAUUUGAAAAAUAAAUGGAGUAAUUAAAAUUAUUUAGUAGGUAAUUAACUUGAACGGUAGAGGGUAAGCGAACAUUUAUCCCAAUUAUAUUAUGAGAAAUCCUUUUCCGAUUAGAAUUAGGAAACCGAGGUAUACUGAUUUUUUUGUUUUUUUAAUUUCCCUAUGCGAAAACGGAUUAGAGAAUAAGAAAACAAUCCUAGUGAUAUUAUUGUUAGGUUUAAAACACUGCAUAGAUAGUAAAAAGCGAACUAGUCUGUAGAGUAAUUUGUUAAUUGCUAUCGCCUCUCCAUGCAUGGUGAAUAAUUUGUUGCAUGCAAACUUUUUAUGUAUAAGAAAAAAAUUCUGUAGUUUAAGAAAAACAAAAAGGCAUGUUGAAUAGAUUACAAUAGUUUAAGGAAAAAAAUUAUUCAAUUGGGAAUUUUUUUUUCUUUAAUUUUUGUUGUACUUGAUUGAGAUUUCUCCUUAUUCCUUACAGUUUUAAGUUUGGAUACCGUAGGAUUAGUAAUUUCGUACUUCCUUUGCAAGCUGAGUAUAAGGAAGAAAUUCUUUUAAGAAAUUAAAAAAGAUAAAAAAAAGGCAUACCAGUAGGCAAUUAUAAAUAACCACAAAUAAAUAUAAACAAAAUGUUUAUGAAGUAAAUUAAACAUGCACAUAUUAUUUUCUUUUAUUUUCUGCUUGGAAACCCAUAAAUACACUAAUCCAGUACUACUAAUUUCAAACAGAAAAAUUUGAACUCUGGGCUGCAGUUUGACUCAAAAUGAUGAUCACUGGCUUCGCACCAUUUAACCGGUAUACAUUUCUACAAACUGAACAAGGCUAUUGAUUAUUAUUAUUAUUUUAAUUUGUUUAUAAAUUACUACUUUAAUUUUCACUUUUUAUUGGGUUGUUUAACGGAUUGGUGAAGUUGGUGGUCGUUGAUGCACUCACAAUGUACAAUUUUAUUUUAUAAUUUCAAAUUGGUAUUUUAAAAUGCAGGUACAUUGUGUAUACAUAAUUAUUGAUUUUCGAAUGAGGGUGUUUUGAAAUAUUGCUAAAAGACCAAACUUUAAUAAACUAUUUUUGAUCUUUUUUUUCUUCCUAAAGUUUGGGUGAUAUGCGCAUUUUAAAUUCAUGUGUAACAAAAGUUAAUGUAUGUAUAAAAAUUCUUUUAUUUUACUGAGCAAAAUAGGCAAGCGAAAAAGUUUUGGCAAAUGAGUUGCAACUGAAUUCAAAACCAAUACAAUGCGAGCAUAGGAAAGAGGUCAGUGUUCAGGAUUUGAAUUUAGUAUUAAGCUGAAUUUUAUGGUAAGCUCUUUUAUAGUACUGUAAUUAGUAAGCUAAGCCCCGGAUUUGCUUUUGCUUUUGCUUUUACUUCAAGUGAAAGAAAGAGGAAACCUUUUGUUUUUUCUUUGGUUUUCAACUAUGUUACCUAUACAGAGAGUCAAGAUACCUGCCAUAAGUGAUGGUGUUAAAAAGAUUAAGCAGAGCACACAAUCUUACUGUCGUCUAGACCAUCCAGUGAUGACUCUAGUCUUUUGGUUACGUUAGUUUUAGUUGAAAGAAGGGCCAAUUUAACAAAGACUAGAUUUGAUGGCUCACUAUGUUUAAUGUAAUGCUAAUUCUCAGGGAAUCUAAUGUUAUAACUUAUAAGAUGAUCUCCUAUGUUGAAUAACAGUAACACAUUACUGUGAUUGAGAGAACACAGUUACAAUAAACUCUUCCUUUACUCAUUGCGGAGAUUUAAUAGCAAACAGAGAAUAGAAUGAAGCAGAGGAAUCUCAUUGCCAGUAAAAUUGACCCUCUUUAUUAUUAUAUGGCACAGGUGUGGAGGAAGAACAAGUUACUUGCAGUUUUUAUUGUAAAAUAUACAGGUAUGACCAUGAUCAUUAUAGUUAGGUUUUGAUGAUUUCAGAUGCUUUUUUUUUUUAAAAAAAAAUUGUGACAUCUUUGAUUUACGGUAGUUUUGCAGAAAAAAAUAUCUAAAAAUUAAGAGGGAUGAGUUAACUGACGAUUACAAUCAUUACAACAAUGCUGAUGAGUGAUACAUCACUUGAAAUUUACUUGUCAGUUGCUGAAAUGAUGGAAAAAAACAAUAAACGAUAACAAUAAUAAUGUUCCCUUGCUGAAAUUCAAUUUUGACUUUCGACUCUUGGCUUUUAUGGAAAGUAAAAUGACUUGUACAUUAUACUCAUACAAUCCACUCUACAUAAUGAUAUCAUUUUAAUAAGGCAAUGGCUGAUGAUCUCCAUUGAAAAACUACUUCAAUUUUUUUGCUUUAUUUAACUUUUUGGUUGUUGAAAAUAACCUUAAUUAUCAAAUAUUUGGAGAAAGACAAAGGGUGCUUGCAGAAGUGGCAAUAUAUAUAUAUAUAUAAAAGGAGAAGUUGAAGAGAAAGGGUGCUUGCAGAAGUGGGUGUCAAAGAUAAAUCGGUCCAUAAGAAUUAUUACGGUUAUUUUUUGGCAAUAUAAAAAUUUUUUAGCAAAUAAAAAUUAAUUUUUUUCCAAUUUACUAAAAAAUUAAUUAAAAACUUCUGCGAUGGCAUUUUUUAUGGGUGCAUAUACCCUCCCUUUAAAAGAAAAAAUAAUAAUUAAUACUUAAUAUAGUAUUAAAUACGAAAAUAUCAAUAUUUGACUACUCAAAUUUAUAUCAAUAGGUCCUUAAAAUUUAAAAUUGAAGAUACAAGAGGAAAUAUAUAUAAAUUUAAUUCUCAUCGGAAAGGAUCCUCUUAUAAUUUUAUAUAUUUGAGCUUUGAAAGAUUUUUUGAAACAAAUGUACUUUUAUUUAUGUACAAUCAAUAUUUACUUAUUCAUUAUAUAUUUAUUUACUAACUAUCAAUCAUGUUAAUAUAUUUAGUCAGAAAAAUCAUAUCAAGAAAAAAUCAUGAUCCCACGCACAGAUAAAUACGUUAAUUUCUAUACUAUUCACUUACCUGUGUAAUCAAUUAUCUAAAAUGCAAGUUUGUGGCUACGGAAAACUCUCCAAAGAAAGAAGAUAAUAACAAUUGAGCAUUGAUAGCAAAACUAAUGCAUCAUUUUCUUCUUGACUUGAUGAGAUGACGCCAUGAUGUAAAAACAAGUACCUAAAUUGACCGGCAUUGAGUGAUGUGAAUACUACCAGCCGGUUCAUCUCUUCCAGUCUUGCUUAGUUACAAUCACAAACACCACGAGAUCGACAUUUGCAUUAUAUAUAUCUUCAGCAGUCGAAACACCUUGCAUUACCAAUAAACCAGUAACAAACAAAGCAAUCUUUCAUGGAGAGAAACCUUAGUCUCAGUAUGAUCACUGUGUCAUUAACCCACUGCCUGCUUCUUUGCUUGGUUGUUGCAGCAGCAGCAGCAGCAAGCAGCAAUAUUCCCACAGACCAACAAGCUCUUCUUGCCCUGAAAGAUCAUAUAAUUUAUGAUCCGACCAACCUUUUAGCCCAUAAUUGGACCUCGAAUACCUCUGUUUGUACCUGGAUUGGCAUCACUUGUGAUGUCAAUAGCCAUAGAGUCACAACCUUAGAUAUUUCUCAAUUCAAUCUACAAGGCACCAUCCCUCCUCAACUUGGAAACCUCUCUUCACUCACAACACUUAAUCUUAGUCAUAAUAAGCUUUCUGGAAGCAUUCCCCCUCCAUCUACACCAUGCAUACGCUAAAAUUUCUAGACUCCACUGAUAACCAGCUCUCUGGUUCAGUGUCUUCCUUCGUCUUCAACAUGACUUCAAUAUUCGACAUUCGUUUGACCAAUAACAGACUUUCCGGUGAGCUUCCGAAAAAUAUUUGCAAUUACCUUCCUCAUUUGAAAGCCCUUUUUUUGGACAAAAACAUGUUUCAUGGAAAAAUUCCUUCUGCUUUAUCAAAGUGCAAACAACUGCAACAAUUAAAUUUGCAUUCCAAUAAUUUAUCCGGGGCAAUACCAAAAGAAAUCGGCAACUUGACUAUGCUCAAAGGGAUAGACCUCGGCUACAACAAACUCCACGGUAUGUUCAUAAUACUAUCUAAAUAUUUUAAUUUAUCACUUGUUAAUUUUCUUGAAUACCUUAGAUAAGAUCUUGUAAGUGAGAUUUUUUGCAUCUAUGUUAAUUUACCAGGUGAGAUACCACACGAAAUCGCUAAUCUUCGAAAUCUAGAGGCUUUAGUGCUUGGAAUGAACAACCUAGUUGGUAUGGUAUCAGCUACAAUCUUCAACAUGUCAACAGUGAAGGUGAUUAUCCUCAUAAAUAACUCUCUCUCUGGAAGUCUUCCAUCAAGAAUGGACCUUUCACUUCCAACUAUUGAGCAUCUUAACUUGGCACUUAAUAGAUUUUCUGGAACCAUUCCUAGUUCUAUCACCAAUGCUUCUAAGCUCACCUUUCUAGAGUUGGGAGGAAACACAUUUUCGGGCUUUAUUCCAAACACAUUUGGUAAUUUAAGAAACCUUGAGCUGCUCGACUUGGCUAAUAACUACUUGACAUCUUCAACCUCAAAAUUGAGCUUCCUUUCCUCUUUGGCAAAUUGCAAGAAAUUAAGAACCUUAAGAUUAAGUGGCAAUCCACUUGACGGCGUCCUUCCAAGUUCAAUAGGAAAUCUUUCUAAGUCUUUGGAAACACUUGUCAUCGUCAAUUGCAGUAUUAGUGGCAACAUUCCUCGAGCAAUUGGCAAUUUAAGCAACUUGUUGGCCUUAGUAUUAGAAGCCAAUAAAUUGACUGGACCAAUUCCAAUUACAUUCGGCCGACUACAGAAACUCCAAGGCUUAGAUCUUGCAUUCAAUAAGUUGGUAGGUUCAUUCCCAGAUGAGCUUUGCCAUCUAGCUAGGCUGGCUGAAUUGGUCUUAUUUGGCAAUAAGCUUUCAGGAUCUAUACCUUCAUGCCUAAGUAAUCUCACUUCUCUAAGAUCUCUCUACUUAGGGUCCAAUAGGUUUACUUCUGUUAUUCCCUCAACUUUCUGGAGCCUAAAAGACAUCUUGUUCUUUGACUUUUCAUCAAAUUUCUUGGUUGGUCCUCUUUCUUUAGACAUAGGAAAUUUGAAGGUGCUUGUAAGAAUAAAUUUAUCAAAAAAUAACUUAUCCGGUGAUAUCCCAGCCACAAUUGGAGGACUGAAAGAUCUUCAAUUUAUGGACGUAGCAUAUAAUAGAUUGGAAGGCCCAAUUCCUGAAUCAUUUGGUGACUUGACAAGUUUGGAGGUUUUGAAUUUGUCAAAAAAUAAAAUCUCUGGGUCUAUUCCAACAUCCAUGGAGAAACUCUUUUACCUCCGAGAGUUAAAUCUCUCUUUCAAUGAACUAGAAGGUGAGAUUCCCAGUGGAGGAAUUUUUGCCAACUUCACAGCUGAGUCAUUUAUGGGAAAUGAGUUAUUGUGUGGUUUACCAAGUCUUCAAGUCCAACCAUGCAAAGUUAGCAAGCCGAGGACAGAACAUAAAUCAAGGAAAAAGAUACUUCUCAUUGUGAUUGUUUUGCCAUUGAGUAUUGCUCUAACAAUAGCAAUCACACUAGCUCUCAAAUCUAAGCUGAUCGAAUGUGGAAAAAGAAGCACAGUGUUGUCAAAUGAUAGUGUCUUGUCAUCACAAGCAACACUAAGAAGAUUUUCAUACUUAGAACUUUUACAAGCAACAGAUAAUUUUGCUGAAAACAACGUAAUUGGCAUUGGAGGUUUUGGUUCUGUUUAUAGAGCAAGACUUGAAGAUGGGAUGAAGAUUGCAAUAAAAGUGUUUCACCAGCAAUGUGCAAGCGCAUUGAAGAGUUUUGAGGCUGAAUGUGAAGUGUUAAAAAAUAUUCGCCAUCGAAAUCUUCUCAAAGUUAUCAGCAGUUAUUCAAACAAUGACUUCAAAGCAUUAGUCCUAGAAUACAUGUCCAACGGGAGCUUGGGGGAUUGGCUGCAUUCUAGCAAUUAUAUGCUGAAUAUAUUUCAAAGGUUGAACAUAAUGAUUGACGUUGCAUCAGCUUUAGAAUAUCUCCACUUCGAUCAUUCAACUCCUAUCAUUCACUGUGACUUAAAGCCUAGUAAUGUAUUGUUGGACGAAAAUAUGGUUGCUCAUUUGAGUGAUUUUGGCAUAGCAAAGCUUUUAAGUGGAGAGGAUGAGUAUUUGAUGCGAACAAAAACCCUUGCCACUAUAGGUUAUAUGGCACCAGGUUUGCUUCAAACAAUUGUUUUUUUUUAAGUUCAUUUUAAAUUUUCCAAAUCAUUGAUUUUUACGAUCCUCACAUCAAAAUUUUCUUGAUUAUUUAUCUAAUUGUGAAAUUAAUUUUAUUCAUAGAGUACGGCAUAGAAGGAGAAGUAUCUACAAAAAGUGAUGUUUACAGCUAUGGGAUUAUGUUGAUGGAAACUUUUACUAAGAAAAACCCCACAGAUGAAAUUUUUGUUGGAGAAUUGAGCUUAAAGCGUUGGGUUAAUGACUUGCUUCCUACUUCAUUAGUGGAAGUUGUGGACAAAACUCUGCUAAGUGGAGAGGAAAAACAUUCUGCAGUAAAGGAGCAAUGUCUGUUGUCUAUCUUUAGUUUGGCUCUGGAGUGUACAAUGGAAUCACCGGAAAAGAGGAUUAAUGCAAAAGAUGUUGUUACCAGAUUACUCAAGAUAAGAGACACAUUGAGUAAAAGGAUAGGAAACUGAAGUUAAUUUCGUUUGCUUUCAUUGAUAGUUAAUUCAAAUUCAUGUAAUAAGUGUAAGAAUCUUAUAUCCUUUCCUUUGAUUUUUUUUUUUUUUUGAGAAAACUGUUGUAGUCAUCUUGUUUCACUGCCCCCAAUGCUUUGGACACCUACUGGUAGGUUUGUACGUGUCCUCAACUUUUUUUAGGAGCACAAAAUUCGAGUCCCAUGGAGACUCAAACAUUCCUUUCCCACAUCCCGAGCACGCUAAGUUCGAGUGAAAGAGAUUAAUUUACGGAAACUAAAGCCAAGAGAAUAAAGGACAACACUUAUGUGAAGCGACAUAAAUGUAUUGAUAGCACAAUGUCAAAUUCAUACAGAGAUCUAGUAUACUAUUUACAGCCGGUAAGGGCUAAGAAUUGAUGUAGCUAGAAUACAAAGACGAUAAGGUAUGUUGUGCACUAUUGUUUUAUUCUACGAUCAAUCUUGACCCUUGAUGCUUGGCUCUCAAUCUUGUCCAUUGAUCUUCUUUGAUUUUGUACACUUCAAGACCUUUCAGUAUCAUUCCUUGUUGUUGGUGUCUUCCGUGCUGUAGAAUUCAUAUACAAGCCUUCCCGCCGACUUGCGAAGUAUUCGUUCAUUGAUGCAUUUUUAUCAAACAGUUGGCCGACUUGCCAAGUAUCAUGCCUUGUUAUAGGUAGGCUUGGUAGGAUUAUGGGUCGGUCGGUAGAUGUACAUGUGUUAAAGCUUUUGAAUUUAUGCCAAUUGAAAAUAAAAAAGAAUCUACAUAAAUUUUCAACGAGGCUAUUACCACAAUAAGCAUUUGGAUGAAUUAUUAUUGAAUCCUUUCUGAGAAGUAGGACAUGUCAGACAUCAAAGCACUGAGAUAUCUUCAAAUAGUGGUAACCCCCACGCAACAAGGCACAAUAAAUUAUACAGAUAAAAUCCUUCACUCUUUCGUAAUCAUCAGUGUAGGCACGGUGAUGCGUCAGACAGAUAUGGGUCGGAUCCACUCCAGCUCCAUAUCAAGAUUCAUAAACCAUGACAAAAAUAGAGAAUCAUAGGUGUUGCAGAUAGUGAUGGUUGUUGAUGCACUCGUGAUUUAAAAUUUUAUUUUAUAUCUUCAAGUUCGCAUUUUAAGUGUCCUUUUUUUUAAUUUUUUAUUGUGAUCAUUAUAACUUGUCAAAUCUAUUUUUAAAUAAUUUUUUAAAAAUAUUUUAUUAACAAUGAUAUGAAAAUAUUCGAACACCUUUUCAUAGUAAAGUGAAUUAUUAUCCGACGAUCCAACUCAUGUUUUCAAAUUGUAAAUUGCAAAUCGUGUGUUUGCUCCAUUACAGAGUUUCAUCAAUUUGAAAUAGAGAAUCAUUUGUGUUCUAGAUUAAUCGAGGGUCUAUAUCCAAAUCUAAAAAUUGACUAACUUGGUUUCUAUUAAAUUCUUAAUCCUAACAAGAAAAAUAGAAGAUUAAAAAUGACUAAUUUGGUUUCUAUUAAUUUGAGUAACGAUCGAAUUACCUAAUUUAUUAAGAUUUAUCAAAAUCCUAUGUCAAAAUCCAUUAAUGAUAUAGGUUCAAUGACGAAAUAGUCACUUGUUAUUAUUUUUGACUUCAUAAAUAGAUGAACGGAUGUUAUUUUUGGAUUCUGGAGAAUCGAAAAUAUCAGGAUAGGUGAUAAAUGGAAUUAAGUUGUAGAUAAGAUAGAAAUGGAUUUGGAGAGAGAUUGGAAUCCUGGGUAAUCCGGAGUACGUUGUUGUGUUGAAUGCUCGUUGACUUCACGUUGACUGAAACAUUAUUGGAAGAAGUGAGCAAGCUUAUUUUCUUCUCUCAUUUUUUAAAUUUGUCUUAAGUUUAUUGAUGUGAGGCCUUUGAGAUUGUAAGUUUCAAAUCUGAGAAGAAUAACCACACACCCAUUAUCCUAUUACUCUUAUUUUAUCACAUGAAGAGAAUUCGAAGUUUGAUAAAUUUGUGAGGAUUGUGAGGGUUGAUGCAAUAUAAUUUAGAUGCAAAGUGUUUACAAGUACGAUGCUUCAUAAGUGUUCUUGAAUCAUUAUAAACUCACGUUAUUUUUAUAAUGAUUGUUUCAUCUGCACAUGGAUAUAAUCAUAUGUUGAGAUUUUUUCCUAAAUUAUGGUCUUAUUUGGUAUUGAGGUGUUAGAUCUUUUAAGUUACAAUUACUAUUGGAAAAAAAAGUGCAACUAUGAAAUAAAAGUUAAUAUUGUGUACUAAAUAUAAUUGUUAAAUAAUAAUUUUGACAAAAUUAGUGAAGAUAUAUAGGUUUUUUUUUAAUCAUCUAAGUGUAAAAUCAAAUCAACUUAACUUCUAAACUAUAUAGCAGCUACUGUUUACCAAAUACUUUAGUACUGUAACUUUUAAGUUAUAGCUGCCUAACCUCAGUCUCAAACAAUGGCUAUAAAGAUCAAAGAUUUCCUCAUAAAAAUUAUACGUCUUGUGAUUGCUUAUUUAAUUUAUAUUUUUUUAUUUAUCUUUAUUAAUUACAGUCAUCUUUUAAUAAAUUACAAUUGCAGGAAGUUGAUGUUCGAAGUGCUUAUGUCGACUCAAAGUUGUUGGGAAUUAAUGCAUGUAUUGAUUUAUUGGGAGUGUUUAAAUGAUUUUGUGAUUUACUUGAUUGAUUGAUUGAAUAAUGUUUGAUUGCUUCAUAUCCGUUCUAGAAAGUUUAUUUCUUUGUGAAAUUUCAAUGAAAUAUGUUUUUUUAAAUUAUAAGGGUUUUUUAAGUAAUUUUAAAAAUAAAUGAACUAAUAAGGAUUAAUUAUUAGGUAAUUAACUUGAACUAUACAGGGUAAGCGAACAUGUAUCCUAAUUAUAUCAUGAUAAAUCCUUUUCCGAUCAGAAUUAGGAAACCAUAAGUAUAUUGAUUUUUUUUUCCAAUUCUCCUUUGCGAAAACGGAUUACAGAAUUAGAAAACAAUCCUAAUGAUAUUAUUGUUAGGUUUAAAACACUGCAUAGAUAGUAAAAAGCUAACUAGUUCGUAGAGUAAUUUGUUAAUUGCUAUCGCCUCUGCCUGCGCGGUGAAUAAUUUGUUGCAUGCAAAUUUUUUAUUUUAUGCAAAUCGUACUGAACAUUGGAAUUGAUGUAUAAGCAAAAAUACAAGAGUAUUUAUGUCAAUACAAAUUUUUUUUUUCCAUUUUAAAUAAACACAACGCGAUGUUUAUCUGCUCCGCGUUUUUGCAAUCUGUUUAUUCGUUGUUUAUUUGCUUCUUAAGGCCUCAAACUUUGAUAACCAAAAAUUUCACCAAACUAUGAAAAAUAUUCUGCAGGUUAGUUUUUAUUUUCGGAAUAAUUAUUUGAGAAUACUAAAACACAAUAUAAAAUAAGAAAAUAGGGGGUUAAAAUUUGAAAAAAAAACAAAAGGGCAUGUUGGAUAGAUUACUGUAGUUUAAGAAAAAAAUUAUUCAGUUGGGAAUUUUUUUUCUUUAAUUUUUGUUUUACUUAAUUGAGAUUUCUCCUUAAUCCUUACAGUUUUAAAUUUGGAUAACAUAGGAUUAGUAAUUUAGUACUUCCUUUGCAAGCCGAGGUUAAUGAUGAAAUUCUUUUAAGAAAAAAGAUAAAAGAGCAUACCAAUAGUCAAUUAUAAAUAACCACAAAUAAAUACAAACAAAAUGUUUAUGAAGUAAAUUAAAAAUGUGCAUAUUAUUUUUUUUUUAUUUCUUACUAAUCUUUGUAUUUGCUGCUUGAAAAACCAUAAAUACACAGAUGACCAUUGGCUUCGCACCAUUUAAUUGGGAUACAUUUCUACGUACAAACUGAACAAGGCUAUUGAUUUUUAUUAUUAUUUUUAUUUAUUUAUAAAUUACUAUUUCAAUUUUCACUUUUUAUUGGGUUGUUUAAUGGAUUAGUGAGGCUGGUGGUCGUUGAUGCACUCACAAGGUACAAUUUUGUUUUCCAAUUUCAAAUUCGUAUUUUAAAAUGCAGCACAUUAUGUAUACAUAAUUAUUGAUUUUCAUAUGUGGGUGUUUUGAAAUAUUGCUAAAAGACCAAACUUUAAUAAACUAUUUUUGAUCCUUUUUUGUUUCUUUUUUCCUAAAGUUUGAGUGAUAUCCGCAUUUUUAAAAGCUAAUGUAUGCAAAAAAUUCUUUUAUUUUUCUGGGGAAAAUAGGCAAGAGAAAACGUUUUGGCAAAUGAGUUGCAACUGAAUUCAAAACCAAUACGAUGCGAGCAUAGGAAAGAGGUCAGUGUUUUGGAUUUGAAUUUAGUAUUGAGCUGAAUUUUAUGUUUAACACAUGAUUCUAUUAUAGUACUGCGAUUAAUAAGCUCAGCCCCGGAUUUGCUUUUGCUUUUGCUUUUACUUCAAGUGAAAGAAAGAGGAAACCUUUUGUUUUUUCUUUGGUUUUUGACUAUGUUACCUAUACAGAGAGUCAAGAUAUCAGCCAUAAGUGAUGGUGUUAAAAAGAUUAAGCAGCGCACACAAUCUUACUGCUGUCUAGACCAUCCAAUGAUGACUCCAGUCUUUUGGUUACAUUAGCUUUAGUUGAAAUAAGGGCCAAUUUAGCAAACACUAGCUUUGGCGGCUUACUAUGUUUAAUGUAAUGCUUAUUCUCAAGGAAUCUAAUGUUAUAAGAUGAUUGAAUGAUCUUCUAUGAUUGUGAGUAGUAUAGGAUAAUUGAAAAGAGCCUGGCUCCUAUGAUAAAUAACAGUAACACAGUACUGUGAUUGAAAAAGUUCAGUUACAAAAACUUAGUUACAGUAAACUCUUCAUUUAUUCAUUGCGGAGAUUGAAUGGCAAAAAGAGAAUAGAAUGAAGCAGAGGAAUCUCAUUGCCAAUAAAAUUGACCCUCUUUAAUGUUAUAUGGCACAGGUAUGUUUACAUCAAGAACAAGUUACUUACAGUUUUUAUUGUAGUUAAGUUUUGAUGAUUUCAGAUGCUUUUUUUUUUUAAUUGUGACACCUUUGAUUUAUAAUAAUAUUGCAAAUAUAUAUAUAUAUAUAUAUUAGUAGUUUUUUGGUCCGAAAUUUUAAAGUGUGAGAAAGUAUGAGAAAGCUUUAAAACCGCACGGUGUUAAAGGCUUACAGUUUUAAGCAUUUUAAUCCAUGCGGUUUUAAAGUUUUACUGGAUUUUUCCGCACUUUAAAAUUCCAGACUGAAACAUUUCUGUAUAUAUAUACAUAUAAAUAUAUAAAUUAAGAGGGAUGAGUUAACUGAAGAUUAUAAUCAUUACAACAAUGCUGAUGAGUGAUACAUCACUUGAAAUUUACUUAUCAGUUGCUGAAAUGAUGAAAAAAAAACAAUAAACAAUAACAGUGAUAAUGUUCUCUUGCUAAAAUGACUUGUAUAUUAUACAAUCCACUCUACUUAAUGAUAUCGUUUUAAUAAAUGUUUGAUGAUCUCCAUUUAAAAACUACUUCAAUUUUUUUCUUCAUUUAACUUUUUGGUUGUUGAAAAUAACCUUAAUUAUCAAAUAAUUGGAGAAAGAGUAAAGAACAUUUAACAAAUUUAUGUGUAAAAAAAAAAAGGAGAAGUUGAAGAGAAAGGGUGCUUGCAGAAGUAGGUGUCAAAGAUAAAUCGGUCCAUAGGAAUUAUUUGUUGAGAUAUAAUUAAUAAUCUAGUAAAUUGAGCAAGAAGUUUGAAGGGUUAUUUGGUUUGUUUUUCAACAUGAAGUAAAGGGUAGAAUUGAUGUUUGCAAUGUAGCUUUGGAAAUGUAAAGCAUGAUUAAUGUAAUCUCUAGAGUUGUCUAUAAUGCAUAUAAAUAUAGAACUCUGGUUGUAUGAAAAGUAAGAGAGAAACGAAAAAAUGAAUUAAGCAAUAAAGUUUCAGAAAUUUCCAGCAAAAUACUCUGUUCUUAAAUAAAAAUUUUUCUGCACUUCCGCUUGCACCCAACAAAUUUGGUAUCAGAGCUAUUCCAAAACACCCUCAAAAUGACAUCAAACUUCUCCCUGUUUUGAGCUGGAAUAAGAGCAGAAAGCUGUGGGAAAAGGCACUAUUGCUGUCCAUACAAAGGAAGGUACUGAUUUCCUUAUUGUUUGCCUUUAUGUUGAUGCUGCAACAACAAUUUAUUGUGACAACAUGUCAGCCAUUGCUCUAACAAAGAACCCCGUAUUUCAUGCUAAAUCUAAGCACAUUGAGCUGCGUUAUCACUACAUCCGUGACUUAGUAAACAAAGGAGAAGUUAAUAUGGAGUUUAUCAGCACUAAUGAGCAGCCAUCAGAUUUUCUGACCAAAGCAAUCAACAUUGAGAAGUUUGAAAAAUUCAAGAAGCAAUUGAAGAUUACUAAUUAAGAGGGGGUGUUGAGAUAUAAUUAAUAAUCUAGUAAAUUGAGCAAGAAGUUUGAAGGGUUAUUUGGUUUGUUUUUCAACAUGAAGUAAAGGGUAGAAUUGAUGUUUGCAAUGUAGCUUUGGAAAUGUAAAGCAUGAUUAAUGUAAUCUCUAGAGUUGUCUAUAAUGCAUAUAAAUAUAGAACUCUGGUUGUAUGAAAAGUAAGAGAGAAACGAAAAAAUGAAUUAAGCAAUAAAGUUUCAGAAAUUUCCAGCAAAAUACUCUGUUCUUAAAUAAAAAUUUUUCUGCACUUCCGCUUGCACCCAACAUUAUUUUGGUUAUUUUUUAGCAAUAUAAAAAUUUUUUAGCAAGUAAAAAUUAAUUUUUUUCCAAUUUACUAAAAAAUUAACUAAAAACUUCUGCGAUAGCAUUUUUUAUGGGUGCAUAUACCUCCCUUUAAAAAAUAUAUAAUAAUUAAUGCUUAAUAUAGUAUUAAAUACGAAAAUAUCAAUAUUUGACUACUCAAAUUUAUAUCAUUAGGUCCUUAAAAUUUAAAAUUGAAGAUACAAAAGGAAAUAUAUAUAAAUUUCAUUCUCAUGGGAAAGGAUCAUCUUAUAAUCUUAUAAUAUUUGAGUUUUGAAAUAUUUUUUUGAAACAAAUGUACUUUUAUUUGUGUACAAUCAAUAUGUACUUAUUUAUUAUAUUUUUAUUUAUUAACUAUCAAUCAUGUGAGUAUAUUUAGUCAGAAAAAUUAUAUCAAGAGAGAACCCUAAUUUCACGUAAAGACAAAUACAAGACAAAUAUGGCAAUUUCUAUACUAUUCACUUUCCUGUAGAAUCAAUUAUCUAAAAUGCAAGUUUGUGGCUUCAAAAAACUCGCCAAAGAAAGAAGAUAAUUACAAUUGAGCAUUGAUAGCAAAUCUAAUGCAUCCAAUUCUUCUUAACUUGAUGAGUGACGUGAAUACUAGCAGUCUGUAACGCCCAAAUUUUUAUUAUUUUAUUUAUUUUUUAAUGGAAUUUAUAAAUGACAUUUUUGCCCUUAUAAAAACGGUUAUUCAUGGAAUAAUUUUUAGGAAAGGGUUAUUUUUCCAAAUUCAAUAGGGUUUCUUAAGACUCCCUAUAAAUUCAUAUUUUUCUCCUUCCAUAACCCUAAAAGCACGACGUUUCUUCUUCUUCUAUGCUGCUCAUUACGCUCUUACCCAAACCCUAGGAUUCAAACCUUUGGUUAAGAGAGAAUCAAAGCGAUUGGUAAGUUUAUUCCCCUUAUUCUCCACAAGAUUCCCAAUCACUCUAUCUAGGGUUUAUAUUGGCACGAUUUUAGAUUGUUAUAGAUCAUAAUGCAUGAUUUAGAAUGUGUUUAGGCUUUGUUUAGAGUUUUGAUUUAUUAUGAGUUUAGUUAAUCAACCUUGACGUAUUAAGCACAUAGAAUAGUUCCAUAGAAUAUUAUGUUAUUCUGAGUUUUAGAUUAAGAGUUAAAAUUCUGAGCAUCGGACCUGUACGGGUACGAAUUAAAAAAACCAGGUUCUUAGAAUAAGUUAUUAAUUGUCAUAUAUUGUAUUUGUUUAAGGCGUUGGAGGUGAUUGAGGCUCUUAGAGGGUUAGAGGUGUGUUAAUUCAAAUUCUUUUGUCAAGUUAAGUAACUUUAUUCCUAAUGUACUGGAUAUAUAUAUAUGAUUAUUUUGAUAUUAUUAUAAGUAUACGAAUUUUUUUACUACUUAGAAGAUUAAUGGAUUUUCAUAACAAAAUCAGUUUGUGUAAAUGUUUUCAAACCUAAAUUCUUUUUAAUAAAUUAUUUUGUAAAGGCUUUUAAAUAUGUAAGUUAUUUUAUGACAUGACUACCUUUUAUAAUUUUGUCUAUGAAAUAUUUGCAAGCCUAAAUUGUGGUUAUGGACUUUCAUGAAACUGAUACAAAUGUUUUGUACCUAUGUAUGAUUUCAAUUAUUUAUGAUUGUACGGGGGCCACCUCUUGGGACUAUAUGGGGGCCACCUCUUGAAAGCCAAAGCAUCGCAAAGUGCCACAUAUAAGUCAUUAUGUUUUGGCUCAUUGUCCAUAGUUAUUCUGAUUCUGAUUCUGAUCGUAUAAUACGAUAUAUGUCUGUUCUGGACCAGUACUGGGUUUUUGUUUUGAGUGUGCACACGAUAUUCUGAUUCUGUUUUUGGCCGAGUCACCAGGACUAUAGGUGACACUAUGUGACAUGAGCUAACCUUUUGUUUUAUGUGAAUGUGAUAUAUGAUUUGCUUUUGUAAGUAACUAUACUUUUGAUAUUCUGAGUUACAAUGAAUUUAAAUUAUUUUAUAGUGAUAUAUCGUUUUAUGAAAUUUAUGGAUUAUGAUAUAUGUUUUAAUUAAAAGAAGGCUUGCAAUAUUUUUGGUAUCGAUAGGCCUAGUGUGUUAGGAAUAGUUUUACUUACCGAGUUGACGGCUCACCCCUCGUCAUUACUUUUUGCAGAUUAAAUUUCUUUUGAGAGGUGCCCUUAGCUUUGGAGUUAGUAAUUUUCUGUUUCCGUUUGCCAUUUGAAUAAGAUGAGGAAUAGACUCAUGUUUCUAUUUAGUUUAUUUCUGUUAUGGACGUGUAAUUUGGAGUUUGAGACUUUUGUUAUUUUUUUUAUGUCCUCGGGAGAGAUUAUUUAGUAUUAGACGUUUGAAUUUGUGGAUUUAUUCGAAUAAGAAUUUGAGGUAUUUCAGUUUGAAACUUAUGAGUAAAGAUUAUGAUUUGUAAGUAACCUCCUUCUUCACGUGCUCCGCACGUGUUAGAUUUGGGGUGUUACAAUUGUGGUAUCAGAGCAUUAGGUUUGGGAUUCUGUAGACUUUAUUUGAGACUAGAUUUCUUAAGCACAAUCAAUUAGUUCAAUGGUAUUGCUUGCCAUGAGGUUAUCAGAAAGAGUAGAUCUUUAAGGCGAGGAGUAAUUUUGGUCUUUUUGAUUUUCUAGUUGCUUGUGACUUUGUAAUAACUCCUUGAUAUAGGAUUUUGGUAUUAACGUAGAAUGAAAUAUUUGUUUGCUCUUGUUGUCAAUCACUAAUGUUUCUCAGUUAUACUACUUACUCAGUACUUUGCGCACUAGCAAGGCCUUUAACUAUGAAUUAUUUACCGUUUUAUUUAUUUAUUUAUUUUUAUUCUUCGUGUUAUAGUCAAAAGAUGUUGCGUAGGGGAGGUGCUAGGCAUGCCUCUAGCUCGAGAGAUGUUUUAGGAAUCGCUGAUGACGUUGACCCAACCUUGCGUGAGAUGGCUAACGAAGGGAAUCCUAUGAUGCGCGCAAUGGUUAGAUUGAUGGAACAACAAAGUAAGUUGAUUCAAGAUAUGGCUAGAGGUAAAGUUGGGGCACAGGAGAAUGUGCCAGUUGAAAGACAAGGUGGUGGAAGAGAUCAGGGAGGUAUGAUGAGCUUAGAGCGGUUUAGGAAAUUGGGACCACCUACCUUUCAGGGGACUGCCGAUCCUAUGGUUGCAGAGGCAUGGUUAAGACAGAUGGAGAAAAUAUUUAUGGCUAUGGGUUGUAAUGAUGAUCAUAGGGUGAUAUUGGCCUCAUUCGUCCUUUAGGGCGAGGCAGACCACUGGUGGGAUGCCAAAUCCCGUCUUUUGAGGGCCGGGUUACAAGAUGCACCUAUUACUUGGGAGUUAUUUCUGGAGGCUUUUCAUGAAAAAUAUUUUCCUGAACGAGUUCGACAUCAGAUGGAGGUUGACUUCCUGAAAUUGACUCAAGGAACAAAGUUUGUUGCGGAGUAUGAGGAGCAAUUUACUGCUCUAUCUCAUUUUUCUCCUACCUUAGUUGCUAAUGAGGGUAGUAAGUGUAGGAAAUUCUUGGAAGGGUUACAUCCAAACAUCAAAAGACGGUUGACCAUCCUUAAGCUUAAUAAUUAUGCCGAUUUGGUGGAUCGUGCGAUUAUUGCAGAGAGGGAUAUAAUUCAAUCUCAAGUUGCACGAUCUAAUCGACAUAAUAACCAGCCAAUAAAACAUGAUAGUAAUGGUAGCGAAGGUGAACAUAAGGACUCUAAUGGUGGGUCUAUUCAAGAGAACAAACCAUUCUGUAAUCGUUGUGACAAGUACCAUAAUGGCACGUGCUAUUUAAAGAUAGAAGCUUGUUUUGGCUGUGGAAAGAUGGGGCAUAAGGUUAUAGAUUGCCCAAAAAAGCGCAGUGGUAACAUAGAUUCUGCCGAGAACCAAAGGAAAAAGCCAUGUGUCUUCGCCAUGGUGGAGCAAGAUAUUAAGAAACCGAAUAACGAAGCCUCAGGUGCAUUACCUAUUUUCCAUAGAAAGCCUUGAAUUUUUGAGUAAUUGGUAUUGUGCUUUUCCUCCAUCCUUUCUGAUUGGAUGCAUCGUAGCUAGAGUUUUUAGCCUAAUAAUUUCUUUUUUCAUCCAUUGAAUUUCUAUGGUACAUUAGUAGGAUAUGACGUGUGAUUUUAUAAGGCCAUUAGGAUUAACUUAUGGUUGGAUGGAGUAGGGACUAAUAUGAUAUUUAGUAGGAUAUGUGAUGAAGAUUGCAAUAAAAGUGUUUCACCAGCAAUGUGCGAGCGCAUUGAACAGUUUUGAAGUUGAAUGUGAAGUGAUAAAAAAUAUUCGCCAUCGAAACCUUAUCAAUGUUAUUGGCAGUUGUUCGAACGAUGACUUCAAAUCAUUAGUCCUAGAAUACAUGUCCAACGGGAGCUUGGAGGAUUGGCUGCAUUCUAGCAAUUAUGUGCUUAAUAUUUUUCGCAGGUUGAACAUAAUGAUUGACGUUGCAUCAGCUUUAAAAUAUCUCCACUUCGAUCAUUCAACUCGUAUCAUUCAUUGUGACUUAAAGCCUAAUAAUGUGUUGUUGGGUGAAAAUAUGGUUGCUCAUUUGAGUGAUUUUGGCAUAGCAAAGCUUUUAAGUGGAAGAUGAGUCUACGAUGCGAACAAAAACCCUUGCCACUAUAGGUUAUACGGCACCAGGUUUGCUUGAAACAACUUUUUUUUUUAGUUUAUUUUAAAAUUUCCAAAUUAUUGAUUUUUACGAUCCUCAUAUCAAAAUGUUAUUGAUUAUUUAUCUAAUUAUGAAAUAAUUUAAUUCAUAGAGUAUGGCAUAGAAGGAGAAAUAUCUGCAAAAAGUGAUGUUUACAGCUAUGGGAUUAUGUUGAUGGAAACUUUUACCAAGAAAAAACCCACAGAUGAGAUUUUUGUUGGAGAAUUGAGCUUAAAGCGUUGGGUUAAUGACUUGCUUCCUAAUUCAUUAGUGGAAGUUGUGGACAAAAUUCUGAUAAUUGGAGAGGAAAAACAUUUUGCCGCAAAGGAGCAAUGUCUGUUCUCUAUCUUUAUUUUGGCUCUGGAGUGUACAAUGGAAUCACCGGAAAAGAGGAUCAAUACAAAAGAUAUUGUUACCAGAUUACUCAAGAUAAGAGACACAUUGAGUAAAAGGAUAGGAAAUUUAAGUUAAUUUUGUUUGCUUUCAUUGAUAGUUACUUUGAAUUCAUGUAAUAAGUGUAAGAAUCGUUUAUCUUUUCUUUUGAUAUUUUUUUCUUGAGAAAACUGUUGUAGUCAUCUUUUUUCAAUGGGCAGAGUUGAUUUAGUUCUUCCAAGAAAUGCUAUUGUUGAUCUUUGUUAUAUACUUUUGUCUUUUUUUGCAUGCAUUUAGGUAGAAUAGUGGUCUAGCUGCAGGCUAACAAGUCAAGCUACGCUAAAAGGGUAUGAUUUAAUUUAUUAAACCUAACUUCAAGUUCAAGAAUUGUAUCUCAUUGCCACCAAUGCUUUAGACACCUAUUGGUAGGUUUGUGUCCUCAACUUUGUUUAGAGCAAAAGUUCCAGUCCCAUGGAGGCUCAAAUAUUCCUCUCCUACGUCCCGAACACACUAAAUUCAUCAGCCUCUUGAACCCUCUCCUGAGGGCGCCUUCUGUCCUCUGUUUUCUGUUUCCAUACACAAAUAGCAAAAAGAAUUCAGAAUGACAACUGGGACAUAUAUAAGAGUGAAAUAAUUAAAAAAAAUUAUGCUUUUUUGUUUGUCGUGUUAAAAUCGUAAGGUAUCUAAGUACUAUGAAAGAGAUUAGUUUACGAAAACUGAAGCCAAGGGUUCAUAAAAAAGUGCAAAGAGAAUAAAGGACAACGCUUAUGUAAAGCGACAUAAUUGUAUUGGUAGCACAAUGUCACGUUCAUACAGAGAUCAAGUACAUUAUUUACAGCUGGUAAGGGCUAAGAAUUGAUGUAGCUAGAAUACAAAUAUGAUAAGGUAUGUUGUGCACUAUUGUUUUAUUCUACAAUCAAUCUUGACCCUUGAUGCUUGGCUCUCAAUCUUGUCCAUUGAUCUUCUCUGAUCUCGAAAACUUCAAGACCUUUCAAUCUCAUGCCUUAUUAUUGGUAUGUUCUAUGCUGUUAAUUUCAAAUACUAGCUUUUCCGCCAACUUGCCAAUUAUUUGUUCAUUGGUGCGUUCUGUCAAACAGUGUGGAUACUUAUACCAAACGCUUUCUGUUUUAACUCCCCCUUUCAAGCUCAACUAUCUGGGAAGACACUAAUAAGCUUGUUUCUCAAGUAUAUGUAUCUGAAAAUUAAAUUUUCAAAAUUAUAUUCGGACUCUACAUUUUCUAAUGAACAUUGGUUUGGCUCAUAAGCUUAUUAUACUUGGGCUUGGUAGGAUUAUCGGUCGGUAGAUGAACAAGUGUUAGAGCUUUCGAAUUUAUGCCAAUUAAAAAAAAAUCUAUAUAAAUUUUCCACUAGGCUAUUACCACAAUAAACAUUUGGAUGAACUAUUAUUGAAACCUUAUUGAGAAGUAGGACAUGUCGCAUACCAAUGCACUGACAUAUCUUCAAAUAGUGGUAACUCCACACAACAUGGCACAAUAAAUUAGAGUUAUAUAGAUAAAAUCUUUCACUCUUUGGUAAUCAUCAAUGUCGGCAUGGCAAUGCGUCCGACAAAAUUCAUAAAUCAAAACAAAAAUAGAGAAUCAUAUUUGUUUCAGAUUGUAGUGAUGGUUGUUCAUAAUUCACAAUUUUAUUUAAUAUCUUCAAAUUCGCAUUUUAAAAUGCACAAAUGUUUGUGUAUACAUAAUUAGUAAUCGAUUCUCAAGCUUGGACAUUUAAAAGCACUGCUAAAAGACAAAAUUUUAAUUCACUAUUUUUUGUCUUUUAAUUUUCUUUAAGUUUUAAUGAUUCCGCAUUUUAAAAUCCUGUGGAACGUACAUGUAAAAUUCUUUUAUCUUUUAGAGGAAAAUGGGCAAGAGAAGAAGAUUUGGCAAAGGAAUUGCAACCGCAUUUGGAGCUAGUUUUAAUUUUGUCUUUUAAUUCUUUUACACUUGGCUUUUGUUAUUGAUGUCAACUUCGAUGUGUGUGCGUGUGCGACUGAAUUCAACUUACAUGCUAUUGAUGCAGCCACCAAAAAGGGGUGGUCCAUCAUCAAUCAACAAGGUUUAUUAUUAUUUCCAUAUUGAUUUUCUUAAUUAUAAAUAAUACUAAUGUUAUUUCAUAGUUAUAAAUAUAUUAGAAUUAAUCGAAAUCAUUUUUUAGUGUGGCAUGGCUAAAACUACCUUUUUUUUUUAUAAGUAAUUACUACUUUCACAUUAAGAAAAAUACUCCUAUUUUUAAGGAAAAGUCAAGUACCUGUAGUUGUGAAGACUCAAGCUCACUCCCUUAUGAUAAAUCUUCAUAUUAAUUACGUAAAUAUCCUCUAAAAUUUUAAAUUAGCUAUUCAAAAUUUGAUGUUAUACGGGUAUUUCAUUUAUUUGAGUAGGGGUUAGGGGUCAAUUGGAUACAAAUUCAAAAUUAUCCUUACUUGAGAAGGUGAUAAAAAUUGGGGAUUUAGUUUGGAUGUCAUUAGCUACAAAUAUUAAACUCAUACAUUUAAUUCAAAAUUAGAGGGCUGAUAUGUGCGCAUCAUCGUCCACGUUAUAGUGACACUGCGUCACCAUUCCACAACCUCUCCAAUGAAAAAUUGACAUGCUUCUUGUGCGCAUCUAAUCAGAAUCUUGAAAAUUAAUCACAAAAUUGUACUUUUAUUAUAAAAAGAAUAAAGAAACUCCAAGAAAAAAAAAAAGACUUACAUAAAUAGAUUGAAAAAUCUAGAUUUCAAGUUGUCUAUAUUAGCUUGAUAUUUUUAUUAAUAGUCAUCCUCCCAAAAAAAUUCCAUCAAAAUAUAUUUUAAUUUUAUGUUAAUUCAUAAACAUGAAAAAAUCAUUUUAGAAUUAAUUAAAACAUAAUUUAUUGUUGCUCAAAAAAGGUAGAACUUAGUUAUCAGAAAAAAGUGUCUAAAAUAUAUGUUAAAAAAAAAUCAUGGUUGGUUGGACUGAUUGAAUUUUUUUUUUCUUUUUUAAGAAUUAAGACAAUUGGAUGGAUUGAGUAAUAAUAAUACAUAUUUAUUUGGCAAAUGGCAGGGAGGCUUUCGUCUGAUGCAGAUUGAUUAGAGAGAAAAUAUAACAAUUUUAAGCUCGUCAGAUUCGAAGCUGCUUACCUGUCGUGUGGGGAUCACUUCCGUGUCUUAUUUUUCUAGAAAAAUCUGGACCAUUGGAUUUACCAUUAGUCAAUAGAGAAAUGUUGAUCUUGAUUCUUGAUCAAGAUCGAAGUUUGAUUCUAACUAACACGAUAUCAGAUUGCGAAGCAAGCAAAUUGAAAGUCACUUGUUCUAUGGAAGAAACACAAGUUCUAAUAAAACAUUCUCAUAGUAAAGUGAAUUACCAUCCAACGAUCCAACUCAUGUUUUCAAAUUGUAAAUUGCAAAUCGUGUGUUUGCUCCAUUACAGAGUUUCUUCAAUCUGAAAUAGCGAAUCAUUUGUGUUCUAGAUUAAUCGUGGGUCUAUAUCCAAAUCUAAAAAUUGACUAACUUGAUUUCUAUUAAAUUCUUAAUCCUAACAAGAAAAAUUGAAGAUUAAAAACGACUAAUUUGGUACCAUACCACUAUUGUAACAUAGGUAGAUCCUCUAUUAAUUGGAGUAAAGAUUGAAUUAUCUCAUUUAUUAAGGUUUAUCAAAAUCUUGUGUCAAAAUCUAUUAAUGAUAUAGGUUCAAGGAUGAAAAAGUCACUGCAUUACUUUUGAGUUCCCAAAUAGAUGAAUGGAUGUUAUUUUUAGAUUCCGGAGAGUCGAAAAUAUUAAGAUAGGUGCUAAAUCGAAUUAAGUUGUAGAUACGAUAGAAAUGGAUUUGGAGAGAUUGGAAUCCUAGGUAAUCCGGUGCACGUUGUCGUGUUAAAUUCUCGUUGACUUCACGUUGACUGAAGCAUUAUUGGAAGAAACAAGUUUAUUGAUGUGAGGCCUUUGAGGUUGUAAGUGUUAAAUCUGAGAAGAAUACCCACACACCCAUUAUCCUAUUACUCUUAUAUCACAUGAAGAGAAUUCAACAUUUGAUUCACACGGAAAAAAUUUGUGAGGAAUGUGAGGGUUGAUGGAAUAUAAUUUAGAUACAAAGUGUUUACCAGUGCGAUGCUUCGCAAGUGUUCUUGAAUCAAUAUAAACUCACAUUAUUUUCAUAGUGAUUGUUUCAUCUGCACGUUAAUAUAAUCACAUGUCGAGAUUUUUUUCCUUAAAUUAUGGUCUUAUUUAGUAUUGAGGUGUUAUAUCUUUUAAGGUACAAUUAUUGUUGGAAAAAAGUUACAACUAUCAAAUAAAAUUAAUACUAUGUGCUAAAUAUAAUUGUUAAAUAAUAAUUUUGACAAAAUUAGUGAAGUUAUAUAGAUUUUUUUCAUCAUCCAAGUAUAAAAUCAAAUCAACUUAACUUCUAAGUUAUAUAUCGGCUACUGUUUAUCAUAUGUUUUAGUUUUGUAACUUUUAAAUUAUAGUUACCCAACCUCAAUUCUAAACAAGACCUAUAAAGAUCAAAGAUUUCCUCAUUAAAUUAUAUGUCUUGUGAUUGCUUAUUUAAUUUAUAUUUUUGUUAUUUAUCUUUAUUAAUUAUAAUCAUCUUUUUAUAAAUUAAAAUUGAAGGAAGUUGAUUGAUGUUGUUGACACACACACGCACGCGCACGCACACACUCACAAAGAUAUAUUGGAAGUGCUUACGUCGACUCGAAGUUGUUGGGAAUUAAUGCAUGUAUUGAUUUAUUGGGAGUGUUUAAAUGAUUUUGUGAUUUACUUGAUUUAUUGAUUGAAUAUUGUUUGAUUGCUUCAUAUCCAUUCUAGAAAGUUUAUUUCUUUGUGAAAGUUCAACGAAAUAUGUUUUUUUUUUUAAAUAAGGGUGUUCUAAAUAAUUUUAAAAAAUAUAUGCUUGUCUUCCCAAAAUAGCCUUUGAAUACACAAGUAAAUGUCUAGCCUUUGGUGAGGAUAGUUUGGUCAUUGCAUUUUACAAGUAAGAUGAGUGGUGGAGAAAAAUGAGGAGUGCACAUAACUCUUCAGCAAAUCCCACCAACAAUUCCAUUUUCUUAAUUAAUUAAUCUCCUUUUUUAUCCCCAAACAAAUCCUAAUGAUACUAUUAUCAGGUUUAAAACAGUACACAAAUAGUGAAAAGCUAACUAGUCUGUAGAGUAAUUUGCUAAUUGCUAUCUCCUCUCUAUGCUCGCUGAAUAAUUUGUUGCAUGCAAACUUUUUAUUUUAUGCAAAUCAUACGUACUGUAACAUUGGAAUUGAUGUAUAAGCAAAAAUACAAUAAUAUUUAUGUCAAUACAAAUAGUUUUUUUUCCCUUUUUAAAUAAACACAACGCGAUGUUGCUCUGCUCUACAUUUUUGCUAUCUCUUUAUUAUUAUUAUUUUUUUUUGGGCUUCUUAAAGCCUCAAACUUUGAUAACCAAAACUUCAUCGACCUAUGAAAAAAUCUGCAGAUUAGUUUUUAUUAUCGGAAUAAUUGUUUGAGAAUACUAAAACAAAAUAUAAAAUAAGAAAAUACGGGGUUAAAUUUGGGGAAAACAAAAAGGCAUGUUGGAUAGAUUACUAUAGUUUAAGGGGAAAAAAAAAUUCAAUUGGAAAUUUUUUUCUUUAAUUUUUGUUUUACUUGAUUGAGAUUUCUCCUUAGUCCUUACAGUUUUAAGUUUGGAUGCCGUAGGGUUAGUAAUUUAGUAUUUCCCUUGCAAGCUGAGCUUAAGGAUGAAAUUUCUUUUAAGAAAUUAAAAAAGAUUAAAAAAAGCAUACCAAUAGGUAAUUAUAAAUAACCAUAAAUAAACAUAAACAAAAUGUUUAUGAAGUAAAUUACACAUGCACAUAUUAUUUUUUUGUUAUAUUUCUUACUUGUCUAUUUUAUUUGCUGCUUGAUAACCCGUAAAUACUAAUCUAGUACUGCUAAUUUCAGACACAAAAUGUUUAACUCUAGGCUGCAGUUUUACUCAAAAUGAUGACCACUGGCUUCGCACCAUUUAACCGGCAUACAUUUCUACAAAUUGAACAAGGCUAUUGAUUUUCAUUAUUAUUUUUUAUUUAUUUAUAAAUUACUAUUUUAAUUUUCACUUUUUAUUGGGUUGUUUACAGAUUAGUGAAGUUGGUGGUCGUGAUGCACUCACAAGGUACAAUUUUAUUUUAUAAUUUCAAAUUUGUAUUUUAAAAUGCAGGUACAUUAUGUAUACAUAAUUAUUGAUUUUCAUAUGUGGGUGUUUUGAAAUAUUGCUAAAAGACCAAACUUUAAUAAACUAUUUUUUAUCUUUUUUUUUCCUAAAGUUUGAGUGAUAUCCGCAUUUUAAAUUCAUGUGGAACAAAAGCUAAUGUAUGCUCAAAAUUCUUUUAUUUUUUCCGAGAAGAAUGGGUAAGAGAAGAAGAUUUUUCUGUUGAAAAAGAAAAACUAAUACGAUGCAAGCAUAGGAAAGAGGUCAGUGUUUUGGAUUAGAAUUUAGUAUUGAGCUGAAUUUUAUACUAAACUCUUUUAUAGUACUGCGAUUAAUAAACUCAUGAUUUGCUUUUGCUUUUACUUCAAGUGAAAGAAAGAGGAAACCGUUUGAUUUUUGUUUGAUUCUUGACUAUAGAUGUUACCUAUAUAGAGAGUUGAGGUAGCUGCCUUAAGUGAUGGUUAUAAAAAGAUUAAGCAGCGCACACAAUCUUACUGUCGUCCAGACCAUCCAGCUAUGAUGACUCUAGUUUUUUGGUUACAUUAACUUUAGUGGAAAGGAGGGCCAAUUUAACAAAGACUAGAUUUGGUGGCUUACUAUAAUGCUUAUUCUCAGGGAAUCUAAUGUUAUAAGAUGAUUUAAUGAUCUUCUAUGAUUGUGAGUAGUAUAGUAUAAUUGAAAAGAGCUUGGGCUCCUAUGAUGAAUAUUUAAUAGUAACACAGUACUGUUAUUGAAAAAAACACAGUUACAAUAAACUCUUCAUUUAUUCAUUGUGGAGAUUGAAUGGCAAACAGAGAAUAAAAUGAAGCAGAGGAAUCUCAUUGCCAGUAAAAUUGACCCUCUUUAAUGUUAUAUGGCACAGGUGUGUGUACAGCAAGAUCAAGUUACUUGCAGUUUUUAUUGUAAAAUAUAUAGGUUAUGACCAUGAUCAUUGUAGUUAGGUUUUGAUGAUUUUAGAUGCUUUUUUUAUUUUUUUUAAAAUUGUGACACCUUUGAUUUAUGGUAGCUUUGCAGAAGAAAAAUAUAUAUAUAUAAAUUAGGAGGGAUGAGUUAACUAACGAUUGCAAUCAUUACAGUAAUGUUGAUGAGUGAUACAUCAUUUGAAAUUUACUUGUCAGUUACUGAAAUGAUGAAAAAAAACAAUAAACAAUAGCAGUAAUAUUUUUAUGGAAAAUCUUGGUUUUUAUGGAAAUACUCUUGCUGAAAUUCUAAUUUUGACUUUCAACUCUUGGUUUUUAUGGAAAGUAAAAUGACUUGUUUGUUAUAUUCAUACAAUCCACUCUACAUAAUGAUUUCAUUUUAAUAAAUGCUUGAUGAUCUCCACUGAAAAACUACUUCAAUUCUUUUGUUUUAUUUAACUUUUUGGUUGUUGAAAAUAGCCUUAAUUUUCAAAUAAUUGGAGAAAGAGUAAAGAACAUUUAACAAAUUUAUGUGCCAAAAAUAAAGGAGAAAUUGAAGAGAAAGGGUGCUUGCAGAAGUGGGUGCAAAGAUAAAUCAGUCCAUAAGAAUUAUUGUGGUUAUUAAGUUUUUGGCAAUAUAAAAAUUUUUCAGCAAAUAAAAAUUGAUUUUUUCCGAUUUACUAAAAAAUUAAUUAAAAACUUCGGUGAUAGCAUUUUUUAUGGGUGCAUGUACCCUCCCUUUAAAAAAAAUAUAAUAAUUAAUACUUAAUAUAGUAUUAAAUACGAAAAUAUCAAUAUUUGACUACACAAAUUUAUAUCAUUAGGUCCUUAAAAUUUAAAAUUGAAGACACAAAAUGAAAUAUAUAUAAAUUUCAUUCUCACAGGAAAGGAUCCUCUUAUAAUCUUAAAAUAUUUGAGCUUUGAAAGAUUUUUUAAAACAAAUGUACUUUUAUUUUUGUACAAUCAAUAUUUACUUAUUUAUUAUAUUUUUAUUCAUUAACUAUCAAUCAUGUGAGUAUAUUUACUCAGAAAUAUCAUAUCAAGGAAGAAUCUUGAUCCCACGCACACACAAAUAUGUUAAUUUCUAUACGCUUCACUUACCUGUAGAAUCAAUUAUCUAAAAUGCAAGUUUGUGGCCACAAAAAAAGCCAAAGAAAGAAGAUAAUAACAAUUGACUUGUAUAUUAUACUCAUACAAUCCACUCGACAUAAUGAUAUCAUUUUAAUAAGGCAAUGGCUGAUGAUCUCCAUUGAAAAACCAAUUCAAUUUUUUUGCUUCAUUUAACUUUUUGGUUGUUGAAAAUAACCUUAAUUAUCAAAUAAUUGGAGAAAGAGUAAAGAACAUUUAACAAAUUUAUGUGCAAAAAAAAAAAAAAAAAAAGGAGAAGUUGAAGGGAAAGGGUGCUUGCAGAAGUGGGUGUCAAAGAAAAAUCUGUCCAUAAGAAUUAUUGCGGUUAUUUUUUGGCAAUAUAAAAUUUUUAUAGCAAGUAAAAAUUAAUUUUUUCCAAUUUACUAAAAAAUUAACUAAAAACUUCUGCGACAACAUUUUUUAUGGGUGCAUAUACCCGCCCUUUAAAAAAAAAAAUAAUUAAUGCUUAAGUUAGUAUUAAAUACGAAAAUAUCAAUAUUUGACUACUCAAAUUUAUAUCAUUAGGUCCUUAAAAUUUAAAAUUGAAGAUACUAAAGGAAAUAUAUAUAAAUUUCAUUCUCAUGGAAAGGAUUCUCUUAUAAUCUUAUAAUAUUUGAGUUUUGAAAUUUUUUUGAAACAAAUGUAAUUUUAUUUGUGUACAAUCAAUAUUUACUUAUUUAUUAUAUUUUAAUUUAUUAACUAUCAAUCAUGUAAGUAUAUUUAGUCAGAAAAAUUAUAUCGAGAGAGAAUCCUAAUUUCACGCAAACACAAAUACAAGACAAAUAUGUUAAUUUCUAUACUAUUCACUUUCCUGUAGAAUCAAUUAUCUAAAAUGCAAGUUUGUGGCUAUAGAAAACUCGCCAAAGAAAGAAGAUAAUAACAAUUGAGCAUUGAUAGCAAAACUAAUGCAUCAUUUUCUUCUUGACUUGAUGAGAUGGUGCCAUUACAAAACAAUAAUUACCUUAAUUGACGGGCACUGAGUGAUGUGAAUACUACCAGCCAGUUCAUCUCUUCCAGUCUUGCUUAAUCACAAUCACAAACACCACGAGAUUGACAUUUGCAUUAUAUAUAUCUUCAGCAAUCGAAACACCUUGCAUUACCAAAUUAACCGGUAACAAACAAAGCAACCUUUCAUGGAGAGAAACUUUAGUCUCAGUAUGAUCACUGUGUCAUUAACCCACUUCCUGCUUCUUUGCUUGGUUGUUGCAGCAGCAGCAGCAGCAGCAAGCAACAAUAUUACCACAGACCAACAAGCUCUUCUUGCCCUGAAAGAUCAUAUAACUUAUGAUCCAACCAAACUUUUUGCCCAUAAUUGGACCUCGAAUACCUCUGUUUGCACCUGGAUUGGCCUCAGUUGUGAUGUCAAUAGCCAUAGAGUCACAGCCUUAGAUAUUUCUCAAUUCAAUAUACAAGGCACCAUCCCUCCUCAACUUGGAAACCUCUCUUCACUCACAACACUUAAUCUUAGUCGUAAUAAGCUUUCUGGAAGCAUUCCCCCCUCCAUCUACACCAUGCAUACGCUAAAAUUUCUAGACUUCACUGAUAACCUGCUCUCUGGUUCAGUGUCUUCCUCCGUCUUCAACAUGUCUUCAAUAUUAGACAUUCGUUUGACCAAUAACAGACUUUCUGGUGAGCUUCCGAAAAAUAUUUGCAACUAUCUUCCUUACUUGAAAGCCCUUUUUCUGGACAAAAACAAGUUGCAUGGCAAAAUUCCUUCAGCUUUAUCAAAUUGCAAACAACUGCAACAAUUGCAUUUGCAGUUCAAUAAUUUAUCCGGUGCAAUACCGAAAGAAAUCGGCAACUUGACUAUGCUCAAAUGGAUAGAUCUCGGCUACAACAAACUCCACGGUAUGUUUCAUAAUGCUAUCUAAAUAUUUUAAUUUAUCACUUGUUUAUUUUAAUUUCUCACUUGUUAUUUUUCUUGAAUACUUUAGAUAAGAUCUAGUAAGUGAGAUUUUUUGCAUCUAUGUUAAUUUACCAGGUGAGAUACCCCCCGAAAUCGCUAAUCUUCGAAAUCUAGAGGCUUUGGUGCUUGGAAUGAACAACCUAGUGGGUGUGUUACCAGCUACAAUCUUCAACAUGUCAACACUGAAGGUAGUUAUCCUCAUUAAUAACUCUCUCUUCGGAAGUCUCCCAUCAAGAAUAGACCUUUCACUUCCAACUAUUGAGCACCUUAACUUGGCACUUAAUAGAUUUUCUGGAACCAUUCCUAGUUCCAUCACCAAUGCUUCUAAGCUCACCUUUCUAGAGUUGGGAGGAAACACAUUUUCGGGCUUUAUUCCGAACACAAUUGGUAAUUUAAGAAACCUUGAGUGGCUCAGCUUGGGUAAUAACUACUUGACAUCUUCAACCUCAAAAUUGAGCUUUCUUUCCUCUUUGGCAAAUUGCAAGAAAUUAAGAGACAUAGGCUUAACAGGCAAUCCACUCGACGGUAUCCUUCCAAGUUCAAUAGGUAAUCUUUCCAUGUCUUUGAAAACACUUUACAUCGGCAAUUGCAGUAUUAGUGGCAACAUUCCUCAAUCAAUUGGCAAUUUAAGCAACUUAUUGGCCUUAGUAUUAGAAGGCAAUAAAUUGACCGGACCAAUCCCAACUACAUUCGGCCAACUGCAGAAACUCCAAGGCUUAUUUCUUACAUUCAAUAAGUUGGUAGGUUCAUUCCCAGAUGAGCUUUUCCAUCUAGCUAGGCUGGAUAAAUUGGUAUUAUUGGGAAAUAAGCUUUCAGGAUCUAUGCCUUCAUGCUUAAGUAACCUCACUUCUCUGAGAUCUCUCUACUUAGGGUCCAAUAGGUUUACUUCUGUUAUUCCCUCAACUUUCUGGAGCCUAAAAGACAUCUUGUUCUUUGACUUUUCAUCAAAUUUCUUGGUUGGUACUCUUUCUUUCGACAUAGGUAAUUUGAAGGUGCUUCUAGGAAUAAGUUUAUCAGAAAAUAACUUAUCGGGUGAUAUGCCAGCCACAAUUGGAGGGAUAAAAAAACCUUCAAAUUAUGGACCUAGCAUAUAAUAGAUUGGAAGGGCAAAUUCCUGAAUCAUUUGGUGACUUGACAAGUUUGGAGGUUUUGAAUUUGUCAAAUAAUAAAAUCUCUGGGUCUAUUCCAAAAUCCAUGGAGAAACUCUUUUACCUCCGAGAGUUAAAUCUCUCUUUCAAUGAACUAGAAGGUGAGAUUCCUAGUGGAGGAAUUUUUGCCAACUUCACAGCUGAGUCAUUUAUGGGAAAUGAGUUAUUGUGUGGUUUACCAAAUCUUCAAGUCCAACCAUGCAAAGUUAGCAAGCCGAGGACAGAACAUAAAUCAAGGAAAAAGAUACUUCUCAUUGUGAUUGUUUUGCCAUUGAGUAUUGCUCUAACAAUAGCAAUCACUCUACCUCUCAAAUCUAAGCUGAUCGAAUGUGGAAAAAGAAGCACAGUGUUGUCAAAUGAUAGUGUCUUGUCAUCACAAGCAACACUAAGAAGAUUUUCAUACUUAGAACUUUUACAAGCAACAGAUAAUUUUGCUGAAAACAACGUAAUUGGCAUAGGAGGUUUUGGUUCUGUUUACGGUGGAAGACUUGAAGAUGGGAUGAAGAUUGCAAUAAAAGUGUUUCACCAGCAAUGUGCAAGCGCAUUGAAGAGUUUUGAGGCUGAAUGUGAAGUGUUAAAAAAUAUUCGCCAUCGAAACCUUAUUAAAGUUAUCAGCAGUUAUUCAAACAAUGACUUCAAAGCAUUAGUUCUAGAAUACAUGUCCAACGGGAGCUUAGGGGACUGGCUGCAUUCUAGCAAUUAUGUGCUGAAUAUAUUUCAGAGGUUGAACAUAAUGAUUGAUGUUGCAUCAGCUUUAGAACAUCUCCACUUCGAUCAUUCGACUCCUAUUAUUCAUUGUGACUUAAAGCCUAGUAAUGUAUUGUUGGACGGAAAUAUGGUUGCUCAUUUGAGUGAUUUUGGCAUAGCAAAGCUUUUAAGUGGAGAGGAUGAGUCUAUGAUGCGAACAAAAACCCUUGCCACUAUAGGUUAUAUGGCACCAGGUUUGCUUCAAACAACUUUUUUUUUUUAGUUCAUUUUAAAUUUUGCAACUUAUUGAUUUUUACGAUCCUCACAUCAAAAUGUUAUUGAUUAUUUAUCUAAUUUUGAAAUUAAUUUGAUUCAUAGAGUACGGCAUAGAAGGAGAAGUAUCUACAAAAAGUGAUGUUUACAGCUAUGGGAUUAUGUUGAUGGAAACUUUUACCAAGAAAAAACCCACAGAUGAAAUUUUUGUUGGAGAAUUGAGCUUGAAGCGUUGGGUUAAUGACUUGCUUCCUACUUCAUUAGUGGAAGUUGUGGACAAAACUCUGCUAAGUGGAGAGGAAAAACAUUCUGCAGCAAAGGAGCAAUGUCUGUUGUCUAUCUUUAGUUUGGCUCUGGAGUGUACAAUGGAAUCACCGGAAAAGAGGAUUAAUGCAAAAGAUAUUGUUACAAGAUUACUCAAGAUAAGAGACACAUUGAGUAAAAGGAUAGGAAAUUUAAGUUAAUUUCGUUUGCUUUCAUUGAUAGUUAAUUCGAAUUCAUGUAAUAAGUCUAAGAAUCUUAUAUCUUCAAAUUCGCAUUUUAAAAUGCACAAAUGUUUGUGUAUACAUAAUUAGUAAUCGAUUCUCAAGCUUUGGACAUUUAAAAGCACUGCUAAAAGACAAAAUUUUAAUUCACUAUUUUUUUGUCUUUUAAUUUUCUUUAAGUUUUAAUGAUUCCGCAUUUUAAAAUCCUGUGGAACGUGCAUGUAAAAUUCUUUUAUCUUUUAGAGGAAAAUGGGCAAGAGAAGAAGAUUUGGCAAAGGAAUUGCAACCGCAUUUGGAGCUAGUUUUAAUUUUGUCUUUUAAUUCUUUUACACUUGGCUUUUGUUAUUGAUGUUAACUUCGAUGUGUGUGCGUGUGCGACUGAAUUCAACUUACAUGCUAUUGAUGCAGCCACCAAAAAGGGGUGGUCCAUCAUCAAUCAACAAGGUUUAUUAUUAUUAAUUUCCAUAUUGAUUUUCUUAAUUAUAAAUAAUACUAAUGCUAUUUCAUAGUUAUAAAUAUAUUAGAAUUAAUCGAAAUCAUUUUUUAGUGUGGCAUGGCUAAAACUACCUUUUUUUUAUUAUAAGUAAUUACUACUUUCACAUUAAGAAAAAUACUCCUAUUUUUAAGGAAAAGUCAAGUACCUGUAGUUGUGAAGACUCGAGCUCACUCCCUUAUGAUAAAUCUUCAUAUUAAUUACGUAAAUAUCCUCUAAAAUUUUAAAUUAGCUAUUCAAAAUUUGAUGUUAUACGGGUAUUUCAUUUAUUUGAGUAGGGGUUAGGGGUCAAUUGGAUACAAAUUCAAAAUUAUCCUUACUUGAGAAGGUGAUAAAAAUUGGGGAUUUAGUUUGGAUGUCAUUAGCUACAAAUAUUAAACUCAUACAUUUAAUUCAAAAUUAGAGGGCUGAUAUAUGCGCAUCAUCGUCCACGUUAUAGUGACACUGCGUCACCAUUCCACAACCUCUCCAAUGAAAAAUUGACAUGCUUCUUGUGCGCAUCUAAUCAGAAUCUUGAAAAUUAAUCACAAAAUUGUACUUUUAUUAUAAAAAGAAUAAAGAAACUCCAAGAAAAAAAAAAGACUUACAUAAAUAGAUUGAAAAAUCUAGAUUUCAAGUUGUCUAUAUUAGCUUGAUAUUUUUAUUAAUAGUCAUCCUCCCAAAAAAAUUCCAUCAAAAUAUAUUUUAAUUUUAUGUUAAUUCAUAAACUUGAAAAAAUCAUUUUAGAAUUAAUUAAAACAUAAUUUAUUGUUGCUCAAAAAAGGUAGAACUUAGUUAUCAGAAAAAAGUGUCUAAAAUAUAUGUUAAAAAAAAAUCAUGGUUGGUUGGACUGAUUGAAUUUUUUUUUCUUUUUUAAGAAUUAAGACAAUUGGAUGGAUUGAGUAAUAAUAAUACAUAUUUAUUUGGCAAAUGGCAGGGAGGCUUUCGUCUGAUGCAGAUUGAUUAGAGAGAAAAUAUAACAAUUUUAAGCUCGUCAGAUUCGAAGCUGCUUACCUGUCGUGUGGGGAUCACUUCCGUGUCUUAUUUUUCUAGAAAAAUCUGGACCAUUGGAUUUACCAUUAGUCAAUAGAGAAAUGUUGAUCUUGAUUCUUGAUCAAGAUCGAAGUUUGAUUCUAACUAACACGAUAUCAGAUUGCGAAGCAAGCAAAUUGAAAGUCACUUGUUCUAUGGAAGAAACACAAGUUCUAAUAAAACAUUCUCAUAGUAAAGUGAAUUACCAUCCAACGAUCCAACUCAUGUUUUCAAAUUGUAAAUUGCAAAUCGUGUGUUUGCUCCAUUACAGAGUUUCUUCAAUCUGAAAUAGCGAAUCAUUUGUGUUCUAGAUUAAUCGUGGGUCUAUAUCCAAAUCUAAAAAUUGACUAACUUGAUUUCUAUUAAAUUCUUAAUCCUAACAAGAAAAAUUGAAGAUUAAAAACGACUAAUUUGGUACCAUACCACUAUUGUAACAUAGGUAGAUCCUCUAUUAAUUGGAGUAAAGAUUGAAUUAUCUCAUUUAUUAAGGUUUAUCAAAAUCUUGUGUCAAAAUCUAUUAAUGAUAUAGGUUCAAGGAUGAAAAAGUCACUGCAUUACUUUUGAGUUCCCAAAUAGAUGAAUGGAUGUUAUUUUUAGAUUCCGGAGAGUCGAAAAUAUUAAGAUAGGUGCUAAAUCGAAUUAAGUUGUAGAUACGAUAGAAAUGGAUUUGGAGAGAUUGGAAUCCUAGGUAAUCCGGUGCACGUUGUCGUGUUAAAUUCUCGUUGACUUCACGUUGACUGAAGCAUUAUUGGAAGAAACAAGUUUAUUGAUGUGAGGCCUUUGAGGUUGUAAGUGUUAAAUAUGAGAAGAAUACCCACACACCCAUUAUCCUAUUACUCUUAUAUCACAUGAAGAGAAUUCAACAUUUGAUUCACACGGAAAAAAUUUGUGAGGAUUGUGAGGGUUGAUGGAAUAUAAUUUAGAUACAAAGUGUUUUACCAGUGCGAUGCUUCGCAAGUGUUCUUGAAUCAAUAUAAACUCACGUUAUUUUCAUAGUGAUUGUUUCAUGUGCACGUGGAUAUAAUCACAUGUCGAGAUUUUUUUCCUUAAAUUAUGGUCUUAUUUAGUAUUAAGGUGUUAUAUCUUUUAAGGUACAAUUAUUGUUGGAAAAAAGUUGCAUCUAUCAAAUAAAAUUAGUACUAUGUGCUAAAUAUAAUUGUUAAAUAAUAAUUUUGACAAAAUUAGUGAAGUUAUAUAGAUUUUUUUUCAUCAUACAAGCAUAAAAUCAAAUCAACUUAACUUCUAAGUUAUAUAUCGGCUACUUAGGGAUGGCAAUGGAUUGGAUCUGACCCAAGAUCCACGUGAUCCAAAUCUAAUCGGAUCGGAUUUGGGUCAGUUUAAAAUGAAUUUGGAUCGGAUUUGGAUAUUGAUGUGCGGAUCUAAGACGGAUCUGGAGCAGGUCUGGAUCUAUCUUAGUAUCUAAAUCCAUAUCCAUAUCCACCCAUCUUUUAAUUUAAUUUUAUUUUAAAAGUUUCUUAACAAUUGUGGAAUUAUAAUGAUAAUGAAUUUUAUUCAUAGCAUAUUAGUGGUAUUUACCAUGCAUUUAAACUCUUUAAAAUUAAAGGUUAGUUUUGUAAAUUUAAAGACUAGCCAGGCCCAAAGCAUGUACAUGCAAUAUUCAAAUUGCAAGCCAAGUAAUACAACCUGGCAAUUUAUUUUAUUAUAUUGGCCAAAUAAUUUUUAAGGAAUAUAGGUAUUCAUAUAUUUUGUCAAAUAUGGUCAUAAUAAAAAUAAUAAAGGACUGAAUAUAAAUCAUAUUUUAUUUAUAUGUCAUUAUCUAAUAUUAUAAGAAUGAGGGUGGGUGUGUUGUAGAUAUUAGAAUGAUGAAUGAGACAAUAGAAUAUUAGAUUGAUCUUACUCCUGCAAUUACUUUUAAAGGAUAUUUUAUUAUCUUAUUUGUUGUUUUGGUGUAAAAGUAUAAGUUACAAUAUUUAUUAUAUUUUUGAGAAAAAUUAUAUAAUUUAUUUGUUAUCAAUACAUUUUAACCUUCAAUUUUCAUUCUAAAAAAUUAUUACUUUUUAAUUGAUGAGUUUUAGAAUUCAUGACAGAUCUAGAGCAGAUUUGGAUUUUAAUUUUUUUUUUCAGAUUUGGAGCAGAUAUAAAUAUUUAUUUCUUUUAUGGAUAUGGAUAUGGAGCGAAAAAUAUAGAUUCAUGAUGGAUCUGGAGCAGAUACGGAUCUUGAUUUUUAUUAUGGAUUUGGAUCUGGAGCAGAGUAGAUCCAACCCAUAUCUGCCCCAUUGCCAUCCCUACGGCUACUGUUAAUCAUAUGUUUUAGUUCUGUAACUUUUAAGUUAUAGUUACCCAAUCUCAAUUCUAAACCAGACCUAUAAAGAUCAAAGAUUUCCUCAUUAAAUUAUAUGUCUUGUGAUUGCUUAUUUAAUUUAUAUUUUUUUUUAUUUAUCUUUAUUAAUUAUAAUCAUCUUUUUAUAAAUUAAAAUUGAAGGAAGUUGAUUGAUGUUGUUGACACACGCACACACGCACACACUCACAAAGAUAUAUUGGAAGUGCUUACGUCGACUCGAAGUUGUUGGGAAUUAAUGCAUGUAUUGAUUUAUUGGGAGUGUUUAAAUGAUUUUUUGAUUUACUUGAUUUAUUGAUUGAAUAUUGUUUGAUUGCUUCAUAUCCAUUCUAGAAAGUUUAUUUCUUUGUGAAAUUUCAACGAAAUAUGUUUUUUUUUUUAAAUAAGGGUGUUCUAAAUAAUUUAAAAAUAUAUAUGGACUAAUUAGAAUUAAUUAUUAGGUAAUUAACUCAAUCUGUAUAGGGUGAAACAACAUUUAUCCUAAUUAUAUCAUGAUAAAUACUUUUCCUAUUAGAAUUAGGAAAUCAUAGGUUUAUUGAAUUGUUUUUUUUUUUCCUUUGCGGAAACGGAUUAGAGAAUUAGAAAACAAUCAUGUUGAUGUCAAAAUCUGAUCUAGUCGGUUAGCGACUUAAUAUCAUAUUACUGCACCAACAUUAAAUUUAUUGGGUGGAGAAUCGACUGGUCAAUUGUCAAGAUGUCCUGCAAUCACUAGCGAUUAACCUACGAAUACCUAAAAUCACAGAAGACGGUAAGAGGCACCGGAAGUUUUUUCGGCGUGAACCUUCCGACGCUCAAGUCAGUUUAUAGGUUUACCAUAAUAAAAAUAAAUAAUUUCUAUUUAAAAAAAAAUAGAGUUCAAAAGCUCAAAAAUAAAACCCAAUCCCAAUAUGAAAAUGAAUUUUUUUUUUUUUUUUUCUAGCUUGGCCGAAUCCUUCUGCCUCCUAAAGAAACAUAACAGAGAAGCAGGUAGCCAUGUUCCCUAGGUAACGCCCCACUCCCCUCUUUUAUUCCUCCCCCUCUCUUCCGUUUCCUUCUUUUGCUCACUAUCCUUCAUAAUUUUUUAUGCUUGUCUUCCCAAAAUAGCCUUUUAAUACACAAGUAAAUGUCUAGGCUUUGGUGAGGAUAGUUUGGUCAUUGCAUUUUACAAGUAAGAUGAGUGGUGGAGAAAAAUGAGGAGUGCACAUAUAACGCUUCAGCAAAUCCCACCAGCAAUUCCAUUUUCUUAAUUAAUUAAUCUCUUCAGCAAAUCCCACCAACUCUUCAGCAAAUCCUAAUGAUAUUAUUAUCAGGUUUAAAACAGUACACAAAUAGUGAAAAGCUAACUAGUCUGUAGAGUAAUUUGCUAAUUGCUAUCUCCUCUCUCCGCGCGCUGAAUAAUUUGUUGCAUGCAAACUUUUUAUUUUAUGCAAAUCGUACGUACUGUAACAUUGGAAUUGAUGUAAAAGCAAAAAUACAAGAAUAUUUAUGUCAAUAAAAAUAGUUUUUUUGGCCUUUUUAAAUAAACACAACGCGAUAUUGCUCUGCUCUACAUUUUUGCUAUCUCUUUAUUCUUCUUUUUUUUUUUGGGCUUCUUAAAGCCUCAAACUUUGAUAACCAAAACUUCAUCGACCUAUGAAAAAAUCUGCAGAUUAGUUUUUAUUAUCGGAAUAAUCAUUUGAGAAUACUAAAACAAAAUAUAAAUAAGAAAAUAGGAGGUUAAAUUAGAGGGGGGAAAAAAGGUAUGUUGGAUAGAUUACUAUAGUUUAAGAAAAAAAAAUCCAAUUGGGAAUUUUUUUCUUUAAUUUUUGUUUUACUUGAUUGAGAUUUCUCCUUGGUCCUUACAGUUUUAAGUUUGGAUGCCGUAGGGUUAGUAAUUUAGUACUUCCUUUGCAAGCUGAGUGCAAGAAUGAAAAUCUUUAAAGAAAUAAAAAAAAAAAAAAAAAGCAUACCAAUAGGUAAUUAUAAAUAACCAUACAUAAACAUAAACAAAAUGAGGUAAUUAUUAAUAUUAUUUUUUGUUUUAUUUCUUACUUGUCUAUUUUAUUUGCUGCUUGAUAACCCGUAAAUACUAAUCUAGUACUGCUAAUUUCAGACACAAAAUUUUUAACUCUAGGCUGCAGUUUUACUCAAAAUGAUGACCACUGGCUUCGCACCAUUUAACCGGCAUACAUUUCUACAAAUUGAACAAGGCUAUUGAUUUUCAUUAUUAUUUUUUAUUUUUUUAUAAAUUACUAUUUUAAUUUUCACUUUUCAUUGGGUUGUUUAACGGAUUAGUGAAGUUGGUGGUCGUGAUGCACUCACAAGGUACAAUUUUAUUUUAUAAUUUCAAAUUUGUAUUUUAAAAUGCAGGUACAUUAUGUAUACAUAAUUAUUGAUUUUCGUAUGUGGGUGUUUUGAAAUAUUGCUAAAAGACCAAACUUUAAUAAACUAUUUUUCAUCUUUUUUUUUUCCUAAAGUUUAAGUGAUAUCCGCAUUUUAAAUUCAUGUGGAACAAAAGCUAAUGUAUGCACAAAAUCCUUUUAUUUUUUCCGAGAAAAAUGGUUAAGAGAAGAAGAUUUUUCUCUUGAAAAAGAAAAACUAAUACGAUGCAAGCAUAGGAAAGAGGUCAGUGUUUUGGAUUAGAAUUUAGUAUUGAGCUGAAUUUUAUACUAAACUCUUUUAUAGUACUGCGAUUAAUAAACUCAUGAUUUGCUUUUGCUUUUACCUCAAGUGAAAGAAAGAGGAAACCUUUUGUUUUUUGUUUGAUUCUUGACUAUAGGUGUUACCUAUAUAGAGAGUUGAGGUAGCUGCCUUAAGUGAUGGUGAUAAAAAGAUUAAGCAGCGCACACAAUCUUACUGUCGUCCAGACCAUCCAGCUGUGAUGACUCUUGUUUUUUGGUUACAUUAGCUUUAGUGGAACGGAGGGCCAAUUUAACAAAGACUAGAUUUGGUGGCUUACUAUAAUGCUUAUUCUCAGGGAAUCUAAUGUUAUAAGAUGAUUUAAUGAUCUUCUAUGAUUGUGAGUAGUAUAGUAUAAUUGAAAAGAGCUUGGGCUCCUAUGAUGAAUAUUUAAUAGUAACACAGUACUGUUAUUGAAAAAAACACAGUUACAAUAAACUCUUCAUUUAUUCAUUGUGGAGAUUGAAUGGCAAACAGAGAAUAAAAUGAAGCAGAGGAAUCUCAUUGCCAGUAAAAUUGACCCUCUUUAAUGUUAUAUGGCACAGGUGUGUGUACAGCAAGAUCAAGUUACUUGCAGUUUUUAUUGUAAAAUAUAUAGGUUAUGACCAUGAUCAUUGUAGUUAGGUUUUGAUGAUUUUAGAUGCUUUUUUUAUUUUUUUUAAAAUUGUGACACCUUUGAUUUAUGGUAGUUUUGCAGAAGAAAAAAAUAUAUAUAAAAAUUAGGAGGGAUGAGUUAACUAACGAUUGCAAUCAUUACAGUAAUGUUGAUGAGUGAUACAUCAUUUGAAAUUUACUUGUCAGUUGCUGAAAUGAUGAAAAAAAACAGUAAACAAUAGCAGUAAUAUUUUUUGGCAAUAUAAAAAAUUAUUGCGGUUAUUUUUUGGCAAUAUAAAAAAAUUUUAGCAAAUAAAAAUUAAUUUUUUUCCGAUUAACUAAAAAAUUAAUUAAAAACUUCUGCGAUGGCAUUUUUUAUGGGUGCAUAUACCCUCCCUUUAAAAGAAAAAAUAAUAAUUAAUACUUAAUAUAGUAUUAAAUACGAAAAUAUCAAUAUUUGACUACACAAAUUUAAUAGUCUUGUGUAAUUAGUGAGUGAGAGAUUGGGUGUAUUGGAGUUUUGGGUAGUGAGCCAAAAUAUUACAAUACUUGUAAUCUUUAUUUCACUAGUGAAAUAUUUUCCUUCUGUUUUUGCCCGUGGACGUAGGCUAAAAGCCGAACCACGUAAUUUCUGGUGUCCUCUAUUGUACUUGUUCUUUAUUUGCUUCCAAUUUUAUUUUAACUGCGCGUCUGCUUCACCCAUCAAUUUCCUAACAAAUCUUGAUCCCAUGCACACGCAAAUAUGUUAAUUUCUAUACGCUUCACUUACCUGUAGAAUCAAUUAUCUAAAAUGCAAGUUUGUGGCCACAAAAAAAGCCAAAGAAAGAAGAUAAUAACAAUUGACUUGUAUAUUAUACUCAUACAAUCCACUCGACAUAAUGAUAUCAUUUUAAUAAGGCAAUGGCUGAUGAUCUCCAUUGAAAAACUAAUUCAAUUUUUUUGCUUCAUUUAACUUUUUGGUUGUUGAAAAUAACCUUAAUUAUCAAAUAAUUGGAGAAAGAGUAAAGAACAUUUAACAAAUUUAUGUGCAAAAAAAAAAAAAAAGAAGUUGAAGAGAAAGGGUGCUUGCAGAAGUGGGUGUCAAAGAAACAUCGGUCCAUAAGAAUUAUUGCGGUUAUUUUUUGGCAAUAUAAAAUAUUUAUAGCAAGUAAAAAUUAAAUUUUUUCCGAUUUACUAAAAAAUUAACUAAAAACUUCUGCCACAACAUUUUUUAUGGGUACAUAUACCCUCCCUUUAAAAAAAAAAUAAUAAUUAAUGCUUAAUAUAGUAUUAAAUACCAAAAUAUCAAUAUUUGGCUACUCAAAUUUAUAUCAUUAGGUCCUUAAAAUUAAAAAUUGAUGAUACAAAAGGAAAUAUAUAUAAAUUUCAUUCUCAUGGAAAGGAUUCUCUUAUAAUCUUAUAAUAUUUGAGUUUUGAAAUUUUUUGAAGCAAAUGUAAUUUUAUUUGUGUACAAUCAAUAUUUACUUAUUUAUUAUAUUUUAAUUUGUUAACUAUCAAUCAUUUAAGUAUAUUUAGUCAGAAAAAUUAUAUCAAGAGAGAAUCCUAAUUUCACGCAAACACAAAUACAAGAUAAAUAUGUCAAUUUCUAUACUAUCCACUUUCCUGUAGAAUCAAUUAUCUAAAAUGCAAGUUUGUGGCUACCGAAAACUCGCCAAAGAAAGAAGAUAAUAACAAUUGAGCAUUGAUAGCAAAACUAAUGCAUCAUUUUCUUCUUGACUUGAUGAGAUGGUGCCAUUACAAAAAAAAAAGUACCUUAAUUGACGGGCACUGAGUGAUGUGAAUACUACCAGCCAGUUCAUCUCUUCCAGUCUUGCUUAAUCACAAUCACAAACACCACGAGAUUGACAUUUGCAUUAUAUAUAUCUUCAGCAAUCGAAACACCUUGCAUUACCAAAUUAACCGGUAACAAACAAAGCAAUCUUUCAUGGAGAGAAACUUUAGUCUCAGUAUGAUCACUUUGUCAUUAACCCACUACCUGCUUCUUUGCUUGGUUGUUGCAGCAGCAGCAGCCGCAAGCAACAAUAUUACCACAGACCAACAAGCUCUUCUUGCCCUGAAAGAUCAUAUAACUUAUGAUCCAACCAACCUUUUUGCCCAUAAUUGGACCUCGAAUACCUCUGUUUGUACCUGGAUUGGCAUCACUUGUGAUGUCAAUAGCCAUAGAGUCACAGCCUUAGAUAUUUCUCAAUUCAAUCUACAAGGCACCAUCCCUCCUCAACUUGGAAACCUUUCUUCACUUACAACGCUUAAUCUUAGUCAUAACAAGCUUUCUGGAGACGUUCCAUCCUCCAUCUACACCAUGCAUUCGCUAAAAUUUCUUGACUUCACUGAUAACCAGCUCUCUGGUUCAGUGUCUUCCUUCGUCUUCAACAUGUCUUCAAUAUUAGAAAUUCUUUUGACCAAUAACAGAUUUUCUGGUGAGCUUCCGAAAAAUAUUUGCAACUAUCUUCCUUAUUUGAAAGCCCUUUUCUUAAACAAAAACAUGUUUCAUGGCAAAAUUCCUUCUGCUUUAUCAAAGUGCAAACAACUGCAAAAAUUAAAUUUGCAGUUCAAUAAUUUAUCCGGUGCAAUACCGAAAGAAAUCGGCAACUUGACUAUGCUCAAAGGCAUAUAUCUCGAAUACAACAAACUCCACGGUAUGUUCAUAAUACUAUGUAAAUGUUUUAAUUUCUCAAUUGUUAUUUUCUUGAAUACUUUAGACAAGAUCUUGUAAGGGAGAUAUUUUUGGAUCUGUGUUAAUUUGCCAGGUGAGAUACCCCACGAAAUCGCUAAUCUUCGAAAUCUAGAGGAUUUAUUGCUUGGAAUGAACAACCUAGUUGGUGUGUUACCAGCUCCAAUCUUCAACAUGUCAACACUGAAAUUAUUUGACCUCAUAAAUAACUCUCUCUCCGGAAGUCUUCCAUCAAGAAUAGACCUUUCACUUCCAACUGUUGAGUUUUUUGGCUUGGCACUUAAUAGAUUUUCUGGAACCAUUCCUAGUUCCAUCACCAAUGCUUCUAAGCUCACCGUUCUAGCGUUGGGAGAGAACACAUUUUCGGGCUUCAUUCCAAACACAAUUGGUAAUUUAAGAAACCUUGAGUGGCUCAGCUUGGAGAAUAAUUACUUGAAAUCUUCAACCUCAAAAUUGAGCUUUCUUUCCUCUUUGGCAAAUUGCAAGAAAUUAAGAUUCUUAAACUUAGCAGGCAAUCCACUUGACGGCUUCCUUCCAAGUUCAAUAGGUAAUCUUUCUGUGUCUUUGGAAACACUUUUCAUCGGCAAUUGCAGUAUUAGUGGCAACAUUCCUCAAGCAAUUAGCAAUUUAAGCAACUUGUUGACCUUAGUAUUAGAAGGCAAUAAAUUGACUGGACCAAUUCCAAUUACAUUUGGCCGACUACAGAAACUCCAAGGCUUAGAUCUUGCAUUCAAUAAGUUGGUAGGUUCAUUCCCAGAUGAGCUUUGCCAUCUAGCAAGGCUGGAUCAAUUGGUCUUAUUUGGCAAUAAGCUUUCAGGAUCUAUACCUUCAUGCCUAAGUAAUCUCACUUCUCUAAGAUCUCUCUACUUAGGGUCCAAUAGGUUAACUUCUGUUAUUCCCUCAACUUUCUGGAGCCUAAAAUACAUCUUGUUCUUUGACUUUUCAUCAAAUUUCUUGGUUGGUACUCUUUCUUUCGACAUAGGUAAUUUGAAGGUGCUUCUAGGAAUAAAUUUAUCAGAAAAUAACUUAUCGGGUGAUAUGCCAGCCACAAUUGGAGGACUGAAAGAUCUUCAAUUUAUGGACCUAGCAUUUAAUAGAUUGGAAGGCCCAAUUCCUGAAUCAUUUGGUGACUUGACAAGUUUGGAGGUUUUGAAUUUGUCAAAAAAUAAAAUCUCUGGGUCUAUUCCAACAUCCAUGGAGAAACUCAUUUACCUUCGAGAGUUAAAUCUCUCUUUCAAUAAACUUGAAGGUGAGAUUCCUAGUGGAGGAAUUUUUACCAACUUCACAGCUGAGUCAUUUAUGGGAAAUGAGUUAUUGUGUGGUUUACCAAAUCUUCAAGUCCAACCAUGCAAACUUAGCAAGCCUAGGACAGAACAUAAAUCAAGGAAAAAGAUACUUCUCAUUGUGAUUGUUUUGCCAUUGAGUAUUGCUCUAACGAUAGCAAUCACUCUAGCUCUCAAAUCUAAGCUGAUCGAAUGUAGAAAAAGAGGCACAGAGUUAUCAAAUGAUAGUAUCUUGUCAUCAGAAGCAACACUAAGAAGAUUUUUAUACUUAGAACUUUUACAAGCAACAGAUAAUUUUGCUGAAAACAACAUAAUUGGCAGAGGAGGUUUUGGUUCCGUUUAUGGAGCAAGACUUGAAGAUGGGAUGAAGAUUGCAAUAAAAGUGUUUCACCAGCAAUGUGCAAGCGCAUUGAAGAGUUUUGAGGCUGAAUGUGAAGUGUUAAAAAAUAUUCACCAUCGAAACCUUAUCAAAGUUAUCAGCAGUUGCUCGAACGAUGACUUCAAAGCAUUAGUCCUAGAAUACAUGUCCAACGGGAGCUUGGAGGAUUGGCUGCAUUCUAGCAAUUAUGUGCUGAAUAUAUUUCAGAGGUUGAACAUAAUGAUUGACGUUGCAUCAGCUUUAGAAUAUCUCCACUUCGAUCAUUCAACUGCUAUUAUUCAUUGUGACUUAAAGCCUAGUAAUGUAUUGUUGGACGAAAAUAUGGUUGCUCAUUUGAGUGAUUUUGGCAUAGCAAAGCUUUUAAGUGGAGAGGAUGAGUCUACGAUACGAACAAAAACCCUUGCCACUCUAGGUUAUAUGGCACCAGGUUUGCUUCAAACAACUUUCGUUUUUAGUUCAUUUUAAAUUUUCCAACUUAUUGAUUUUUACAAUCCUCACAUCAAAAUGUUAUUGAUUAUUUAUCUAAUUGUGAAAUUAAUUUGAUUCAUAGAGUAUGGCAUAGGAGGAGAAGUAUCUACAAAAAGUGAUGUUUAUAGCUAUGGGAUUAUGUUGAUGGAAACUUUUACCAAGAAAAAACCCACAGAUGAAAUUUUUGUUGGAGAAUUGAGCUUAAAGCGUUGGGUUAAUGACUUGCUUCCUAAUUCAUUAGUGGAAGUUGUGGACAAAACUCUGCUAAGUGGAGAGGAAAAACAUUCUGCAGCAAAGGAGCAAUGUCUGUUGUCUAUCUUUAGUUUGGCUCUGGAGUGUACAAUGGAAUCACCGGAAAAGAGGAUUAAUGCAAAAGAUAUUGUUACCGGAUUACUCAAGAUAAGAGACACAUUGAGUAAAAGGAUAGGAAAUUUAAGUUAAUUUCGUUUGCUUUCAUUGAUAGUUAAUUCGAAUUCAUGUAAUAAGUGUAAGAACCUUAUAUCUUUUACUUUGAUUUUUUUUUUCUUGAGAAAACUGUUGUAGUCAUCUUGUUUCCAUGGGCGGAGUUGAUUUAGUUCUUCCAAGAAAUGCUACUGAUGACAUUUGUUUUAUACUUUCUCUUUUUUUUUGCAUGUGUUUAGGUAGAAUAGUGGUUUGGUUGCACUCUAAGAAGUCUAACUACACUAAAAGAAUAUGAUUUAAUUUAUUAAACAAAACUUCAAGUUCAAGAAAAGUAUCUCAUUGCCCCCAAUGCUUUGGACACCUAUUGGUAGGUUUGUACGUGUCCUCAACUUUUUUUUGGAGCACAAAAUUCGAGUCCCAUAAAGGCUCAAACAUUCCUUUCCUUCAUCCCGAGGGCGCCUUCUGUCCUCUGUUUUCUGUUUCCACACACAAAUAGCAAAAAGAAAUUAGAAUGACAACUGGGACAUAUAUAAGAGUGAAAUAAUUAAAAAAAUUAUGCUUUUUUGUCUGUCGUGUUAAAAUCGUAAGUACCGAAGUACUGUGAAAGAGAUUAAUUUACAGAAACUGAAGCCAAGGGUUCAAAAAAAACUAUUGAUGUAGGUAGAAUGCAAUGUCAUAUUCAUACAGAGAUGAAGUAUAUUAUUUACGGCUGGUAAGGACUAAGAAUUGAUGUAGCUAGAAUGCAAAGAUGAUGAGGUAUGUUGUACACUAUUGUUUUUAUUCUACAAUCAAUCUUGACCCCUGAUGCUUGGCUCUCAAUCUUGUCCAUUGAUCUUCUCUGAUUUUGGAGACUUGAAGACCUUUCAGUAUCAUGCCUUGUUGUUGGUGUCUUCCGUGCUGUAGAAUUCAUAUACAAGUUUUCCCGCCGACUUGCCAAGUAUUUGUUCAUUGAUGCAUUUUAUCAAACAGUUGGCCUGCUCAGAGCAAACAGCUCCUGUUUUAACUCCCCCUCCGUAGCUCAACUAUCUGGGAAGACAAUUAAUUGAGCUUGUUUCACAAUUAUAUGAAUCUGAAAGUUCAAUUAUAUCCUCUAAUGGAGAGAACUCAUUGCCUCAGUAUGAUCACUGUGUCAUCAACCCACUCCCCGCUUCUUUGCUUGGUUGUUGCAGCAAGCAACAAUUUUACCACAGAUCAACAAUAGUUUGUCCAUUUGUUCCAGUGAGGUCGUCAUUAAAAAUUAAUUUUCAUAUUGAUUUUCUUAAUUAUAAAUAAUACUAAUGAUAUUUCAUAGUUAUAAAUAUAUUAGAAUUAAUCGAAAUCAUUUUUUAGUGCGGCAUGGCUAAAACUACCUUUUUUUUUUUUAAGUAAUUACUACUUCAAGGAAAAUACUCCUAUUUUCAAGGAAAAGUCAAGUACCCGUAGUUGUGAAGACUCGAGCUCACCCUCUUAUGAUAAAUCUUCUUAUCAAUUACAUAAAUAUCCUCUAAAUUUUUAGUUAACUAUUCAAAAUUCGAUGUUAUACGGGUAUUUCAUUUAUUUGAGUAGGGGUUCGGGGUCAAUUGGAUACAAAUUCAAAAUUAUCCUUACUUGAGAAGGUGAUAAAAAUUGGGGAUUUAGUUUGGAUGCAUUAGCUACAAAUAUUAAACUCAUACAUCUAAUUCAAAAUUAGAGGGCUGAUAUAUGUGCAUCCUCGUGCACAUUAUAGUGACACGUGUCACCAUCCUACAACCUAUCCAAUGAAAAAUUGACAUGCAUCUUGUGCGCUUCUGAUCAAAAUCCUGAAAAUUAAUCACAAAGUUAUACUUUUAUUAUAAAAAGAAUAAAGAAACUCCAAAAAAAAAAAAAGACUUACAUAUAUAAAUAGUUUGAAUAAUCUAGAUUCCAAGUUGUCUAUAUUAGCUUGAUCUUUUUAUAAAUAGUCAUCUUCGAAAAAAAAUUCCACCAACAUAUAUUUUAAUUUUAUGUUAAUUAAUAAAUAGAAAAAAAUCAUUUUAGAAUUAAUUAAAACAUUAUUUAUUGUUGCCAAAAAAAGGAAGAAUUUAGUGAUAAGAAAAAAGUGUCUCAAAUAUACGUUAAAAAAAUUAAUCAUGGUGGGUUCGAUUGAUUGAAUUUUUUUUUUUAAUCUUUUUCUUUUUUAAGAAUUAAGACAAUUGGAUUGAUUGAGUAAUAAUAAAAUAUAUUUAUUUGGCAAAUGGCAGGUAGGCUUUCUUCUGAUGCAGAUUGAUUAUAGAGAAUAUACAACAAUUUUAAGCUCGUCAGAUUCGGAACCUGCUUAUCUGUCGUGUGGGGAUCACUUCCGUGUCUUAUUUUUCUAGAAAAAUCUGGACCAUUAGGCAGUAGAGAAAUGUUGAUCUUGAUUCCUGAUCAGGAUCGAAGUUUGAUUCUAUCUAACAUGAUAUCAGAUUGCGAAGCAGGCUAGUAUGUAAAUUUCUUUUAUCUUUUAGAGGAAAAUGGGCAAGAGAAGAAGAUUUGGCAAAGGAAUUGCAACCGCAUUUCUAGUAUGUUCUGAUCAGAGAAGCGAAAUCCAUCACGGUCUUUUAUCUUUACCCAUGUGGAGAAAUCAAGGGAUUUCGAAUCAGAGAAGCGAUGGGAUUUAGUUCUGAUCUGGGAUUUUGGAGACUUAGGGAGUGUGCGGUCUUGGACCAACAUUGAUGACGAUGACGCUUCAAAUUCAAUGACUUGAAAGCAGAAAACAAAGACAGACAAAAACAGACAUGCACUACAGCAAGAAAGAUUGACUGAAUCUUGGGUUACUGUGUCUGUGGUCUCAAAUGAAACACAAGUGGGAAGCCUUGCUGCAGUUUCAGCUUUGGUUUGUGUUUGAAGUUUUGAAUGUAAAAAGAGAACCGAGCAUGUGGUUGCCGACAAGAAUGGCCUGAGGUUUCUUAAGCUUCAUUGUAAUGUUACAACUGCUACUAAUUUGGUGGGGUGGGAGGUCGCUGGGUCGCUGUCAGUCCAUUUGCUUCUUUUCUUUCUUUUUGUUAUUUGUUGAGUUUUUUCCAUUUCUACUUUUCUUAAUAUAUAAAUUAUCAUUUUUUUAACAUGCAAAAUAUAUAGAACAUUUUAUGAGUUUAUAAAUAAAAAUUAUAUUAUGGGAUAAUAGUGAAUGAGUUCCUGGUGCUUUGGAGUUCUUUAAAUUAAGGGCCCAGUUUGUCCAUUUGUUUUAGUUAGGUCCUUCUUAAAAAUUGAUUUUCUUAAUUAUAACUAAUACUAAUGAUAUUUCAUAGUUAUAAAUAUAUUAGAAUUAAUCCAAAAUAUUUUUUAGCGUGGCAUGGCUAAAACUACCUUUUUCUAUAAGUAAUCACUACUUUUGCAUUAAGGAAAAUAUUCCUAUUUAAAAAAAAAUUGAAUAUCUAUAGUUGUGAGGACUCGAACUCACUCGCUUAUGAUAAAUCUUUGUUGAUGCGAGAUUCUGGUUACCCACUCGACCACGUCCAGGAUCUCUGCUCAAUCAACUAACUCGACCACGAUCAGGAUCUCUCCUCGUAUGCUUUCUUCUUCAAAAAUUCCUGCGUACACAGAAACAAGUCAGAGCACGCCAGUUGUUUUCCCGGCGUAAACCCUCCGACGCUCAAGUCAGAUAUGAAGGUUUUGUGUUCCUGGGAACGUUAGCCACUAGUCUUAAGCUUUGCUUUUGGUAUCGAUUGCUGAAUGCUCUCUUUAUCUCAAUUUCCGUAUUAAAAGUUAACCCUUUUACCUUCGUUGGCUGCCUUUUUAUAGGCUCCACCUGAGUCCAGAUCCUCCCCUCCAUUCACGCCCGUUACCUUCCCACCUCUCGAAAGUGGAUGCUUUGUUUCCGUAAUCGUGGGUGAUUGCAUGGCCUUCGUGCCUCGAUUCUCAGGCUGGAGAGUACGUCUCGCCAACUGUCGUUGACUGGGUCUCCUCGCCUCAAACCUUAGCAGGAAUGGCUUUAUGCUUCUAACAAGAGACCGGCUUCGCGGAUGGCGUAUUCAUGGACGAGCAGAUAUUCCUGCUUAUGUUCCAAUGCUACCAGACCUCUGCUCAUCACGGCUGGUCUCGUCGAAGUACAUCCCCCAAACACCGGUCCCCCAGUUUCUGGUGUUGGGUAACAUAGUGAGCCAACAGUAGAAACUCGACAGUUCUUGCUCGCGCGAGAUAGGAAAAGACUGCCAAGAGUCGUGUCGCAUUUAAUGGCGGAUGAGGUGAUGUGGCAGAAAUCUACCCCUCCAUUUGAAUUUCAAACCGACGGUUACGAAACCCUAGGGAUUUGUGCCGUUAAAUGCCGGCAGCCCAAGAGUUUGUUCUUCAUUAGGAAAACCCAAAACCCCCAAAAGAGGAACUCGUCUUUUACUCCGUUUCUGUCUCUCCUGCGAAUGAGUCCUUCCUCUCCCUCGGCGUAAAAGCUUCCUUCCUUGUCUCUCUCCGACUAAGUCACAACUUCAGGUACUAUUUCUUUUUUCCUCGGUCGUGGAUAGUUGUAAACAAUUUCUUUUACAUUUUGCUUGGGUAGUGUUUGGUGGUGCAGUUCUGGUUAUAGUUUAGGGAAUGUCGAAAGGUAAGGAGAAAGUCAUUGAGAUUGAUGACGACGAGUUAGACUUCUUGCCUAGUCUGCUCGCCGAUUCUGCUUUCGACACCGGGAUCCCCUUAGAACCCGUUAGACCUAAUGUUGCGACUAGUGCUAGGAGGAUGUCCCCCCAAGUAACCUCCUCAACUGGAAAUAGCGACGACGAGGGUUCUUCUGGUUCGGAAGACACUUUGAGUGAAGAUCAGGGAAAUGAUUCUGGUGAGAUGUCCUCACCAGGAACAUCGUGACCAGAUAGGAGGGGCAUAGUAGGAGGUAGAGCUCUAUCACAGAAUUACACUAUUGAUUUUAUGACGUGCACGACCACAGUAGAUGAGCUAGUUAGUCUCCGGGCUAGAUACGGCAUCCCUGAUGAAAUUUCCCUUAGGAUCCCAGGAAAAAAAGAUACCCCCAGCCGGCCUCCUAGGGGAUAUAUUACUCUGUUUCUAGAGAGUUUUAAACUUGGGCUAAGGUACCCCAUACAACCCUACUUUGCCCGAAUACUCAAUGGGUUGAAUUUAGCUCCUGGUCAACUGAACCCCAAUGGGUGGUGAGUACUUUCUGGUCUGUUCAUAUUGUGAGACAGAUGUUGCCAAAGCGAGCCAACAAUUGACGAGGUGAAGCACCUGUACCAGCUAAAGAGCAGCCCCAAAGAUGUCGGCUGGUAUUACUUCCAGUCUAGUACCAAGACCAGGAAACCCAUAACCGAUCUUCCAACUGGUGGUGGUAGGACUUGGAAGAAAAAAUUCUUUUUUGCUGGGGGUCCCUGGGGUCAAGUUGCACAGAUUGACGAGAAGGAUUACCGUGUCCCACCUCAUUUCGUGGUCCCAGGUUGCCUACUCGCUUAAGAUGUUUUGUCUCCAUAGUCGUUCUCAUUUUGCUGAUUUGUUUCUAAUCCAAAAUCUGUUCGCAUUGCAGGUUCCUGGGGUGUGCACUACCAGCUUAAACCCGAGCCGCUCAAGCGAGUCGAAGCUGUACUGGCCAAUUUCUACACGAACCGAGAGCUGCUAACUACUUUCAAUUUGGUCGAAUCUCGUUUGGUGUCUACCGGCCAUAAAAUGGAGGAUGCUGUGAUCGGGGCUCUGACUCGGAAACGUCCCCAACCUCAUGCUACCAAGCAGGACCAGAAUAAAUAUGCUCCCACUGCGAAGCGGGUGAACAUUGUGCAGCAGGUUCCUCCCUUGAAGACCCUACCACCUCCUUCUGCCAAAGUCGGAGAAACUAGCGGAGCAGCCACCGAUCCCGCUUCCUCUUAUCCUCCAGUCGGGCCGAGAUCUCGUUUAUCUGACAAUCGAGCAAAACAUUUGGUCCCCUAUAUCAACGAGUUCUCUAAACUCGUGAGCAAGAGGGACCUAGAGGACUUUGACGACAGCACCUUGGGUGAGCUGGUGGGGGCCAUGCAAUAUAGCGCUUUCCAUCUCGACUGUAUGGCCACUUACUACAAGGCCAAGGUUGGUCGUUAUGACCGAAAGAUGAAGGAGGACAUUCAAUCGGCCAUGAUCAAAGCUGAUGCUGCCGAGAAGAAAGCAGGGGACUUGAAUCUCGAGAAUUUGAAGUUGAUAGAGCGAGAAUCUCUUGCUCAAGCAAAAGCCAUUACUCUCGAGGAUGAGCUAGCUAAGGUCAAGGAGGAUCUGCAAAGACAGCAGGCUAUGUACGAGGCCCAGCUCGAAUCUCUUCGGGAUUCCCACAAGGUUUAGGUCGAGAACCUGGAGAAGGAAGCUGAUAAUCAAUAUGACCAGGGGCUUCAGCACUCCUAUCAUUGCAUCAUGGCCGUCCUUGGGAAGCAGCAUCCGGAUAUGAAAAUGGACGAGCUUGCUACUGGUGUUGCUCAGCAUAUGGAUGAGGAGGCAGCAAAAGAGGACGCCGAAGAGGUGGAGCCAACUGAGGUUGAGGAGGGAAACACUCCUCCUCGUGCAAUCCUUGCUGAUGUCGCUGAGGCGAGUACCCCCCGAAUGCAACUGGUGAUACCCCCUGCCCCUGAGGUGGACCAGCCAACCAAGGCUGCUCGGCUUACUGACCCGCCGUCCUCUUGAUUGUAUUUUGUGUUGUAGUUGCUUUCUUGAAACGCUAUAUGUUAUGACUAGCAGUUUUUUCUGGUUGUUGAUUAAUAAAUAAGAAUGUUCUCAUUUGCUUUCUCGUCGUAAAUCAUUUUAAGUUUGAGGGUCUACUUGCCUUCUCUUGUACUAGCAGUUCUUGACACGCUUGGCUUCUGGUCUCGCCAUAGAACAUGCUUGUGACUUGGUGAGCCUUUGCAUGCCUUAGAAAUUUUUUCAAUGUUGGGAUUCUGCUCGCCUUCGCUUGGUCGAGCAGAUCUUGGCACGCUUGGCUUUUGGUCUCGCCAUAAAAACAGGCUUUGAAAAUUGGUGAGCCUUUGCAUGCCUUAGAAAUUUUUUCAAUGCUUGGGAUUUUGCUCGCCGUCGCUUGGUCGAGCAGAUCCUGGCACGCUUAGCUUUUGGUCUCGCCAUAAAAUAGGCUUUGAGACUUGGUGAGCCUUUGUAUGCCUUCGAAAUUUUUUCAAUGAUAGGGAUUCUGCUCGUCGUCGCUUGGUCGAGCAGAUCCUGGCACACUUGGCUUCUAGUCUCGCCAUAAAACAGGCUUUGAGACUUGGUGAGCCUUUGCAUGCCUUAGAAAUUUUUUCAAUGCUUGGGAUUCUGCUCGCCGUUGCUUGGUUGAGCAGAUCCUGGCACGCUUGGUUUCUGGUCUCGCCAUAAAACAGGUUUUGAGACUUGGUGAGCCUUUGCAUGCCUUAGAAAUUUUUUGCACAGUUACAAGUGAAUGAAAUUCCUCGACGUUUCAUUAAUUACAGAAUUCAACUUACAUAGGAAUGCAUAGCAACGAGAACAAAUUAAAGUAAUUUUUGAACAUGAGCAAGUCUUACUGGAAAUAUUUCCUGAGGUGCGCUGCGUUCCAUAGGCGUUUCACCUCGUGGCCAUCCGUGCGAACAAGCUUGUAAGCUCCGAGUCCCACUAUCUGCUUGACCCUGUAUAGCCCCUGCCAAUUCGGUCCAAGCACUCCUUGAGUCGAGUCUUUGGUGUUCUGAUUCACUCUCCUUAGCACCCAAUCUCCGACCCUAAACUGCCGUACAUUCACCUUCUGGUUAUAAUACCGAGCAACCCUCUGCUGGUAAAUGGCUAAUCGCUUCGAUGCUUGCUCCCUCUUCUCUACAAGCAAAUUCAGAUUCAAGCACAUCUGCUCGUUGUUAUCUUGCUCAUUGAAAUGAUCUGUCCGGUGCGUGGUCGUUCCUAUCUCGGCUGGUACGACCGCUUCAUGUCCGAAGGCCAAGGCGAACGGUGUUUCUCCAGUUGCUGUUUUGUAGGUUGUCCUGUAUGCCCAUAAAACACAUGAUAGCUCAUCAACCCAUGCUCCAUUUUUUGCUCCAAGCCUGGUUUUCAAAAGCCUCUUGAUCGUCUUGUUGGCUGCUUCUACUUGUCCAUUGGAUUGAGGGUGAGCAAGCGAGCAGUACUUCAACUCUAUCCCGAGGUUCUGGCAGAAAUCCCUGAAACUGUGAUUAUCGAACUGCCUGCCAUUAUCCAUUACCAAGGCAUAGGGGAUCCCGUACCGACAGACCAGGUUUCUCCAUACGAAGUCUGUUGUCUUCUUCUCUGUGAUCUUGCUGAGGGCUUCUACUUCUAUCCACUUCAUGAAGUAGUCUAUUGCUACUAUUCCAUGUGUUGUUGCUCCUCGUCCCCUUGGCAACGGCCCGAUCAGAUCAAUUCCCCACUGAGCAAAUGGCCAAGGGGAGGCUAUAGAGGUGAGCUUCUCUGGUGUUUGGCUGGAGAAACUUGCAAAACUCUGGCAGCUUAAGCAGCUCCUGGUCUUCUCCUGCGCAUCCUGGUGCAUUGUCGGCCAGAAAUAUCCCUGCCUUAGAACCUUAUGGGCAAGGGACCUCCCACCAGAAUGGUUUCCGCAAAUUCCUUCAUGUACUUCUCUCAGUACGUAGUCUGCGUUGUCCUCAUCUAAGCACCGAAGGAACGUGAGUGUAUAUCCUCGCCGAUAUAGCACCCCAUCAAUCAUUGUGUACCUUGAGUCUUGGGCUCUAAUCUUCCGAGCUCGUAGCUUAUCUGGUGGUAACACCCCGUCUCUGAUAUAUGAAAUUAUCGGAUCCAUCCACGAGCCUUUUUGUUCUAUCUGCAUCACCUUCAAAUUCUGCUCGAUGCUAGGGUUGGUUUUCACUUCCAAAGGGACCGUCUUAGGCAUUUUAGGGUCUGCUACAACUGUCAUCCUGGCCAGAAUAUCGGCUCGACUAUUUUGUUCCCUUGGGAUUUGUAUCAACUUAACCGCUUCGAACUUCCUCAUCAUCUGCCUGACUUUCUUCAAGUACUGCUCCAUCUUCUCAUCUCUCGGUUGAAAACUUUCACUGACAUGAUUUGCGACCAGCUGAGAAUAAGUUCUGAUCUUCACCCUAUCUGCUUUCAUUGCCUUAGCCAAUUCCAAACCUGCUAUCAAGGCUUCGUAUUCUGCCUGGUUAUUUGUGGCUGUGAACUCUAACUUUACAGCAUAAGAAAUCUCCUCCCCCUCUGGGUCUUUUAAGACAAUUUCUGCUCCUGAUCCUUGCUCACCUGAUGACCCAUCUACAGACAUCUGCCAUACUCGAGCUUUGCUGCUAUCUGUAGCGGUGUCCAGUUGGUCCAAACAUACUUCAAGCUCCGCGAAUUCUGCUAUGAAAUCGGCCGUUGCCUGAGCCUUUAUUGCUGCUCGGGGUUUGUAAUCUAUGUCGAACUCGCUAAGCUCUAUAGCCCACUUCACGAGCCGACCAGAAGCAUCUGGCUUGUGCAGAGUUUGACGCAAUGGCUGGUUUGUUAUUACCGUGACGGGGAAUGCUUGAAAGUACGGCCUCAGCUUCCGAGCAGCAACCACAAGGGCGAGUGUCCAUUUCUCCACCAAUGGGUAUCUGGUCUCGGCAUCGAGCAGGGUCUUGUUGGUGAAGUAUAUCGGGUACUGAACCCCUUCUUCUUCUCUUACUAGAACAGAACUUGCAGCAUGAUUUGAUACCGCCAAAUAUAAGAACAACCUAUCGUCAUCCCUUAGUGUGGACAGCAAAGGUGCUUGUUGCAAGUACUGCUUCAAGUUCUGGAAGGCUUCUUCACAUUCUGGGGUCCAUUCUGUAUUCUUUCCUCUCCUUAUCACUUGGAAAAAUGGCUGACACUUAUCUGUAGCCUUGGAUAUGAAUCGGCUUAAUGCCGCCAACCUCCCCGUAAGGCUCUGUGUCUCCUUCAGGUUACGAGGUGACCUCAUCUGCACGAUCGCCUGGAUCUUCUCAAGAUUUGCCUCGAUCCUGCUCGAACAUGGGGAUUUGGUUGUAUCCCGAGAAUGCGUCCAUGAAGCUGAGCAAGCCAUGUCCGGCUUUUAAGUCUACAAGCUGGUCAAUCUUUGGUAAUGGAAAGCUGUCUUUCGGGCACGCCUUGUUGAGGCCCGUGAAAUCCACACACAUCCUCCACUUGCCAUUAGCCUUUUUUACUAACACCACAUUCGAUAUCCACUCGGGAUAAUUGACUUCCCGAAUGAACCCUGCUUUCAAGAGCUUCUCCACCUCGCCGUUUAUAGCCUCAUACCUCUCCUGGUUGAAGCACCUCCUUUUCUGCCUUACUGCCCGAGCACCUUUCUUUAUUGCCAGUUUAUGACAUGCGACCUAAGGGUCGAUUCUUGGCAUGUCUUCAUGUGUCCAAGCAAACACAUCUGCAUGAGCCCGCAAGCAUUGCACCAACUCCUGCUUCUGCUAUUCUUUAAGCCUCAACCCAAUUCGGAUCGUUUUUCCCAGAUCCUUUGGUCCUAGGCUCACUGUCUUCAACUCCUCUACAGGUUCUUGUCUACCAGUCUUGGUUCCCACUCGGGUAUCAAGGGAUGUUAUCUGCAUUGCUUCCCUUGCUGACGAGGAGUAAUAGCUUCGUGCGAUUCUCUGGUCUCCUCAUACCACUCCAACUACCCCAUUCACCCGGUACUUGAGAGCUAGAUAAUGGUUGGAUGACACCGCUUUACUCAUCCUCAGAAAUGGUCGACCUAGGAUCAUCUGGUAAGGACCCUCUUCAUCGACUACCAAAAAAUCCAGCAUCAUAGUCCUUUCUGUCGGGGAGCUUCCAAUCGUGAUAGGCAGCUCAACCACGCCCAGGGGGACCAGCUUUCCUCCUCCAAAUCCCUUCAAGGAGGUAUUGGUGUGCUCCAACCUCAGGUCUGUUAUUCUCAUCUCCUCCAGAGUUGACUUAAACAACACAUCAACUGAGCUCCCUGUGUCAACCAGUAUCCGGUCAAACUUCUUGCUGGCGACGGUGGCCUUGAUGACUAAGGCAUCCUUGUGUGGGUAUAGAAUCCCUUAUUCAUCCUCAUCUGUCCACAUGAUUGGCACUUGUCAGACUCUUGCUCGUUUGGCUGCUGGGGUGUUGAAGAACACAUCUUUACUAGUCAUGGCAAAUUUAGCAUAAUUUUUCCUCGAUCUGUUGGAAUCUCCGGCCAACGUUGGACCCCCUAACAAUCACUCUUACUAUAGGCUGCCUGUGGCUCAAGUUCCUGUUACCCUGCUCCUCUUCACAUAUCGGGGCCACCGUCGGAAAAGUCCCAUCGAUAAACUCGUCCAGGUAUCGAUUUCUCACCAAAUCUUUAACCUGGGUCUUAAGGUCUCUUCAUUCUAUUGUGGUAUGGCCAUGAGUACCAUGGAACUUGCAAUAGUGCCCCUAUCCCUUCUGCUGGGUAGCUUUGUUAUUGGGGCUGGGAGGUACAGUAAUCCCCAGUCCUUUAUGGCCUCACAGACUUCGUCCAGUGGGAUAUUCAAGGAAGUAUACUGCCCAUAGUCCUGGUUCUGGUCGAUCAUAUGCACUGCCCUUUCUCUGUUUGUGCCAUUCUGAGUUGGAGGUGGUGGCAGCGCUUCUGGUCUGCUCCCCCUACUACCAUGGGGGUGUGGGUGAAGGUGACCGUAUGUCGCGUCAUGCCUUCUCCUAGGCUCCCUAGCUGGUGAGCGAGAAGGUUGCGCCCUGCUGUGCUGAUACUGUGGUGGCCUCUAAUGAGGUUGGUAAGCGGUUACCCGACCUCUUGUACCACUACCUAAGGCAUGGUGGUCCCUCCUCUUAAUCGGCCCAUUUCCUGGUACGGCUCUCUUCUCUUUCCUCUUUAAUCCUUCCAGCUGGUCUGUCUUAAUCCGUGCCGCCUUUUCCUCCUCUAUUUCUAUGUCUCUCUUAGCCUGCUCGUAAGCAACUGAAUAUGUCUGAAUAACUGGGCUUCUCAAGUUAUAUCACAUCCGUCUUAUCUUCACUCCUUCUUUCAAUCCCCUUAAUGCCUGAGGAUGGUUGAAGGCUCCCAAGUCGAGGACAGCACGGUGGAACCUUUUGAUGAAUUCCCGAAGGGUUUCCUCCUCUCUCUGCUUCAUGCUCGUUAACUCCAUCAUAUCAUCUUCCGGUGCCAUUACCCCACGAAACUGCUCUGCAAAUUCCUGGCACAUCUGCUCGAAGGCUUUAAUGCUCCCUCGAGGAAGUUUCCUGUACCACUCGCGUGCUCGUCCCUCUAGAGAUAGUGGGAACACCCUGCAUCUUUGGGCUUGAGAUAGUCCUUGCACCCCGGUCAUGUUGUUGAAGCGCUCUAUGUGCACCAACGGAUCAGUUCGCCCCAAAUAUCUGAGGUCUGGGAGGCGAAAAUCUCUUGAAAUGACUGCCCUCAUGAUCUCUGCCGAGAGCGGGGUUUCUCCGUCCAGCAUUAUCCUCCAACCAGGUGCUCUACUCCUUCCUUGCAUAUCAUCAAUUACUUGCGCUAGUUUGCGCACUUCCUUCUCUAGCUGCAUUGCACGACCAGGGUCACGUGCUGUAACUUGAUCCCGCUCUUUCUCUACAUCAUGUAAGUAUUGCCUGAGCUCUGUUUCCUCUGCAUUCACCACCCCAUCAUCCUCAUCAAAAAUCUAUCUUCUUGGGGAUUGCUCUUCUUCUCUAUGAAUUCCUCCCCGUAAAGAUAAGUUACCUCUCUCACCACCAAAUCUCCUGGUGGUCUGACUUCUCAUCAUACCAUCGUGCCCUGGUGCCACUCUGCCACCUCUCACCCUUUUCUCAUGGGUUCCCCUUCGUUCACUCCUUAGUUCAUGUAGGAUGGUUGUCAGGGUCUCCAUCUGCUUUUCCAUCCGUUCCAUUCGGUCAUGCAUGGCUUUUUCCCGUGCUUCAAUGGCUAUCUCCCUUAACGUCAUGGAUUCGUUAAGCCUCAUAUCACCUCCUUGUGCACUACUUCCUCCUACAUCCAUUGUUUCUUCUCUUGCUUUGUUUUUCCUUUCUCUGUCAACAGAAGUUUUUUUAUCAGCUCCCUACAGACGGCGCCAAAAUGUUGAUGCGAGAUUCUGGUUACCCACUCGACCACGACCAGGAUCUCUGCUCAAUCAACUAACUCGACCACGAUCAGGAUCUCUCCUCGUAUGCUUUCUUCUUCAAAAAUUCCUGCGUACACAGAAACAAGUCAGAGCACGCUGGUUGUUUUCUCGGCGUAAACCCUCCGAUGCUCAAGUCAAAUAUGAAGGUUUUGUGUUCCUGGGAACAUUAGCCACUAGUCUUAAGCUUUGCUUUUAGUAUCGACUGUUGAAUGCUCUCUUUAUCUCAAUUUCUGUAUUAAAAGUUCUAACCCUUUUACCUUCGUUGGCUGCCUUUUUAUAGGCUCCUCCUGAGUCCAGAUCCUCCCCUCCAUUCACGUCCGUUACCUUCCCACCUCUCGAAAGUGGAUGCUCCGUUUCCGUAAUCGUGGGUGGUUGCAUGGCCUUCGUGCCUCGAUUCUCGGGCUGGAGAGUACGUCUUGCCAACUGUCGUUGAUUGGGUCUCCUCGCUUCAAACCUUAGCAGGACCAUUAUGCUUCUAACAGGAGAUCGGCUUCGCGGAUGGUGUAUUCGUGGACGAGCAGAUAUUCCUGCUUCUGUUCCCAUGCUACCAGACCUCAGCUCAUCACGGCUGGUCUCGUCGAAGUACAUCCCCCAAACAAUCUUCAUAUUAAUUACGAAAAUAUCCUCUAAAUUUUAACUUAACUAUUCAUAAUUCAAUGUCAUUCGGAUAUUUCGUUUAUUUGAGUAGGGAUUAGGGGUCAAUUUGAUACAAAUUCAAAAUUAUCCUCAUUUGCGAAGGUGAUAAAAGUUAGGGAUUUAGUUUGGAUGUCACUAGCCACAAAUAUUAAACGCAUGCAUCUAAUUCAAAAUUAGAGGCAUUAUCGUUAUAUUGACAUGUGUCACCAUCCCACAACCUCUCCAAUGAAAAAUUGACAUGCAUCUUGUGUGCUUCUUAUCAAAAUCCUGAAAAUUAAUCACAAAAGUUAUAUUUUUAUUAUAAAAAGAAGAAAGAAACUCCAUGAGUGAAGAAAAAAAAAAAAGACUUACAUUAAUAGUUUGGAUAAUCUAGAUUUCAAGUUGUCUAUAUUAGCUUGAUAUUUUUAUAAAUAUCAAGAUUUCAAGUUGUCUAUAGUAGCUUGAUAUCUUCUAAAAAAAACUCCAUCAACAUAUAUUUUAAUUUUACGUUAAUUAAUAAAUAGAAAAUCCAUUUUAGAAUUAAUUAAAGCAUUAUUUAUUGUUGCCAAAGAAGGAAGUAUUUAGCGAUAAGAAAAAAGUGUCUCAAAUAUAUGUUUAAAAAAAAAUAAUCAUGGUUGGUUGGACUGAUUGAAUUUUUCUUUUCUUUUUUCUUUUUUAAGAACUAAGACAAUUGGAUUGAUUGAGUAAUAAUAAAAUAUAUUUAUUUGGCAAAUGGCAGGUAGGCUUUCUUCUGGUGCAGAUUGAUUAGAGAGAAUAUAUAACAAUUUUAAGCUCGUAAGAUUCGGAACCUGCUUAUCUGUCGUGUGGGAAUCACUUCCGUGUCUUAUUUUUCUAGAAAAAUCUAGACCAUUGGAUUUACCAUUGGGCAGUAGAGAAAUGUUGAUCUUGAUUCCUGAUCAGGAUCGAAGUUUGAUUCUAUCUAACAUGAUAUCAGAUUGCGAAGCAAGCUAGUUGUGAGUAACUUGUUCUAUUUUGAUGGAAGAAACACAAGUUCUAAUAAAAAAUUCUAAGUAUACAUUUUUUUUUUUAAUUUUUUUAUUGUGAUCAAUAUAACUAGUCAAAUCUAUUUUUAAACAUUUUUUUUAAAUAUUUUGUUAACAAUGAUAUGAAAAUAUUCGAACCCCUCCUCAUAUAGUAAAGUGAAUUACUAUCCAACGAUCCAACUAACGUCUUCAAAUUGUAAAUUGCAAAUCGUGUGUUUGCUCCAUUACAGAGUUUCUUCAAUUUAAAAUAGAGAAUCGUUUGUGUUCUAGAUUAAUCGUGGGUCUAUAUCCAAAUCUAAAAAUUGACUAACUUGAUUUCUAUUAAAUUCUUAACCCUAACAAGAAAAAUAGAAGAUUAAAAAUGACUAAUUUGGUUUCUAUUAAUUUGAGUAACGAUUAAUAUUUAUCAUUCAAUAGUCACUUAUAUUAUCAAAAUCUUGGGUCGAAAAUAUUAGGAUAGGUGAUAAUUGGAAUUAAGUUGUAGAUAAGAUAGAAAUGGAUUUGGAGAGAGAUUGGAAUCCUGGGUAAAUCCGGUACACGUUGGUGUGUUAAAUUCUCGUUGACUUCACGUUGACCGAGGCAUUAUUGGAAGAAACAAGCAAGCUUAUUUUCUUCUCUCAUUUUUAACCUUUGUCUAAAUUUAUUGGUGUGAGGCCUUUGAGAUGGUAAAGUGUUAAAUCUGAGAAGAGUACCCACACUAUUACUCUUAUUUUAUCACGUUUUAUCACAAUAUUACUCUUAUAGUCAAUGUUUGAUUCGCACGAAAAAAAAUUUGCGAGGAUUGUGAGGGUUGAUGCAAUAUAAUUUAGAUGCAAAGUGUUUACAAGUGCGAUGCUUCGUAAGUGUACUCGAAUCAUUAUAAACUCACGUUAUUUUCAUAGUGAUUAUUUCAUUUGCACGUGAAUAUAAUCAUAUAUGUGGAGAAUUUUUUUUCCUAAAUUAUGGUCUUAUUUAGUAUUGAGAUGUUAUAUCUUUUAAAUUAUAAUUAAUAUUAGUAAAAAAACUGCAACUAUAAAAUAAAAGUUAAUAUUAUGUCCUGAAUAUAAUUGUUAAAUAAUAAUUUUGACAAAAUUAGUGAAGACAUACAGAUUUUUUUAUCAUAUAAGUGUAAAAUUCUAUCAACUUAGCUUUUAAGUUAUACAGCAUCUAUUGUUUACCAAAUACUUUAGUGUUGUAACUUUUAAGUUAUAACUGUCUAACCUUUAACCUCAAUCUCAAACGAGGCUUAUAAAGAUCAAGGAUUUCCUCAUAAAAAUUAUUACGUCAUGUGAUUGCUUAUUUAAUUUAUAUUUUCGUCAUUUAUCUUUAUUAAUUAAACAUGCACAUAUUAUUUCCUUUUAUUUUCUGCUUGGUAACCCGUAAAUACUAAUCCAGUACUACUAAUUUCAGACAGAAAAUUUUGAACUCUAGGCUGCAGUUUGACUCAAAAUGAUGGUCACUGGCUUCGCACCAUUUUACCGGUAUACAUUUCUACAAACUGAACAAGGCUAUUGAUUAUUAUUAUUAUUAUUUUAAUUUGUUUAUAAAUUACUAUUUUAAUUUUCACUUUUUAUUGGGUUGUUUAACGGAUUGGUGAAGCUGGUGGUCGUUGAUGCACUCACAAGGUACAAUUUUAUUUUAUAAUUUCAAAUUCGUAUUUUAAAACGCAGGUACAUUAUGUAUAUACAUAAUUAUUGAUUUUCGUAUGAGGGUGUUUUGAAAUAUUGCUAAAAGACCAAACUUUAAUAAACUAUUUUUGAUCUUUUUUUUUUUUCCUAAAGUUUGGGUGAUAUGCGCAUUUUAAAUUCACGUGGAACAAAAGUUAAUGUAUGUAUAAAAAUUCUUUUAUUUUACUGAGCAAAAUAGGCAAGCGAAAAAGUUUUGGCAAAUGAGUUGCAACUGAAUUCAAAACCAAUACAAUGCGAGCAUAGGAAAGAGGCCAGUGUUUAGGAUUUGAAUUUAGGUAGCGUUUACUUUUUGGAUUGGAUUGGGAAUCCUGGGGAGUGGGAAUCCUAGGAUUGAGAGUGUGGAGUGGGAGUGGGAGUAGGUUGUUUACUUACACUGGAAUGGAAGCAUGGAAUGGAGAUCAGAAUCCAAUUUAUGUGUUUACUUUGUCUUGGAUUGGGAGUAAAUAGUUUCAAAUUACAAUUUUAUCCUUAUUUAAAGAAUUAUAAUUUUAAUUACAAAACUAAUAAAAUAUAUAUUUAAUGAAUAAUAUUUAUUUUAUUAUAUUUGUAAAUUUAUUAUAAUUAUUAAUAUUCUUAAUUAUGAACAAUAAAUUAUUAAUUGUAAUUUUAAUAUAAAAUGAAAUGUUAUUUUAUUUAAUAUAAUUAUAUUAAAUUUAUUAUUAUAUAAAAUAAUAAUAUAAUAUUAUUUAGUACAAAAUUAAUAUUUUCUUAGAAUAAAGUAUUUAUUAUUAUUAUUAAAUAAAAUAUAGUACUAUUAUUUUUAAAAUAAAUAUAAUAAUAUUAUAUUUAUUAAUUCUCUAUUAAUAUAAUAAUAUUAUUUUAAAAUAAUUUUAACUUAGAAUCAAUGUAAAUUAUUAUUUAGUUAAAUAUAAUAUUAUUAUUUAAAUAAAUAUAAUAUUAUUAUUUAAAUAAAUAUAAUAUUAUUUAUUUUAUUUUAUUAAUUAUAAAACAUAAAAUAAAAAAAAAAAGGGUAGAAAUGGGAGAGGUGGGAGUGGAUUCCCACUCCCACCUCCCCCAAUGGGAGUCCCACUCCCACUCCCCACUCCAAAAAUGGGUGGGGCCCACGGAGUGGGACUCCCAAUUCCUUCUCAUUUUAAGUAAGUAAACGCUGGAGUGGGAGGAAUCCACACUCCUCACUCCCACUCCAGCAAGUAAACACAACAUUAGUAUUAAGCUGAAUUUUAUGGUAAGCUCUUUUAUAGUACUGUGAUUGAUAAGCUCAGCCCCGGAUUUGCUUUUGCUUUUGCUUUUACUUCAAGUGAAAGAGAGAGGAAACCUUUUGUUUUUUUCUUUGGUUUUCAACUAUGUUACCUAUACAAAGAGUCAAGAUACCUGCCAUAAGUGAUGGUGUUAAAAAGAUUAAGCAGCGCACACAAUCUUACUGUCGUCUAGACCAUCCAGUGAUGACUCUAGUCUUUUGGUUACGUUAGCUUUAGUUGAAAGAAGGGCCAAUUUAACAAAGACUAGAUUUGAUGGCUUACUAUGUUUAAUGUAAUGCUAAUUCUCAGGGAAUCUAAUGUUAUAACUUAUAAGACGAUCUCCUAUGAUGAAUAACAGUAACACAUUACUGUGAUUGAGAAAACUCAGUUACAAUAAACUAUUCAUUUACUCAUUGCGGAGAUUGAAUAGCAAAUAGAGAAUAGAAUGAAGCAGAGGAAUCUCAUUGCCAAUAAAAUUGACCCUCUUUAAUGUUAUAUGGCACAGGUGUGGAGGAAGAACAAGUUACUUGCAGUUUUUAUUGUAAAAUAUACAGGUAUGACCAUGAUCAUUACAGUUGGGUUUUGAUAAUUUCAGAUGCUUUUUAAAAAAAAAAAAAAUUAUGACAUCUUUGAUUUACGGUAGUUUUGCAGAAAAAAAAAUAUAAAAAUUAAGAGGGAUGAGUUAAACUGACGAUUACAAUCAUUCCAGCAAUGCUGAUGAGUGAUACAUCACUUGAAAUUUACUUGUCAGUUGCUGAAAUGAUGAAAAAAAAACAAUAAACGAUAACAGUAAUAAUGUUCCGUUGCUGAAAUUCAAUUUUGACUUUCUACUCUUGGCUUUUAUGGAAAGUAAAAUGACUUGUAUAUUAUCCUCAUACAAUCCACUCUACAUAAUGAUAUCAUUUUAAUAAGGCAAUGGCUGAUGAUCUCCAUUUAAAAACUACAUCAUUUUUUUUGCUUCAUUUAACUUUUUGGUUGUUGAAAAUAACCUUAAUUAUCAAAUAAUUGGAGAAAGAGUAAAGAACAUUUAACAAAUUUAUGUGCAAAAAAAAAAAAGGAGAAGUUGAAGAGAAAGGGUGCUUGCAGAAGUGGGUGUCAAAGAUAAAUCGGUCCAUAAGAAUUAUUGUGGUUAUUUUUUUGGCAAUAUAAGAACUUAUGCGAUAGCAUUUUUUAUGGGUGCAUAUAACCUCCCUUUAAAAAUAUAUAUAAUAAUUACUGCUUAAUAUAGUAUUAAAUACAAAAAUAUCAAUAUUUGACUACUUAAAUUUAUAUCAUUAGGUCCUUAAAAUUUAAAAUGGAAGAUAUGAAAGGAAAUAUAUAUAAAUUUCAUUGUCCUGGUAAAGGGCCCUCUUAUAAUCUUAUAAUAUUUGAACUUUGAUAGAUUUUUUGAAACAAAUGUACUUUUAUUUGUGUACAAUCAAUAUUUACUCAUUUAUUAUAUUUUAAUUUAUUAACUAUUAAUCAUGUAAGUAUACUUAGUCAGAAAAAUUAUAUCAAGAGAAAAUUCUAAUUUCACGCAAAAACAAAUACCAAAACAAAUAUCUCAAUUUCUAUACUAUUCACUUUCCUGUAGAAUCAAUUAUUUAAAAUGCAAGUUUGUGGCUACAGAAAACUCGCCAAAGAAAAAAGAUAAUAACAAUUGAGCAUUGAUAGCAAAACUAAUGCAUCCAAUUCUUCUUGACUUGAUGAGAUGGCGCCAUAACGUAGACACAAGUACCUAAAUUGACCGGCACUGAGUGAUGUGAAUACUACCAGCCAGUUCAUCUCUUCCAGUCUUGCUUAAUCACAAUCACAAACACCACGAGAUCGACAUUUGCAUUAUAUAUAUCUUCUGCAAUCGAAACACCUUGCAUUACCAAAUAAGCCCGUAACAGACAAAGCAAUCUUUCAUGGAGAGAAACCUUAGUCUCAGUAUGAUCACUGUGUCAUUAACCUACUGCCUGCUUCUUUGCUUGGUUGCUGCAGCAGCAGCAGCGGCAAGCAACAAUAUUACCACAGACCAACAAGCUCUUCUUGCCCUGAAAGAUCAUAUAAUUUAUGAUCCUACCAGCCUUUUAGCUCACAAUUGGACCUCGAAUACCUCUGUUUGUACCUGGAUUGGCAUCACUUGUGAUGCCAAUAGCCAUAGAGUCAAAACCUUAGAUAUUUCUCAAUUCAAUCUACAAGGCACCAUCCCUCCUCAACUUGGAAAUCUCUCUUCACUCACAACACUUAAUCUUAGUCAUAACAGGCUUUCUGGAAGUGUUCCCUCCUCCAUCUACACCAUGCAUACGCUAAAAUUUCUUGACUUCACUGAUAACCAGCUCUCUGGUUCAGUGUCUUCCUUCGUCUUCAACAUGUCUUCAAUAUUAGUAAUUCGUUUGACCAAUAACAUAUUUUCUGGUGAGCUUCCGAAAAAUAUUUGCAACUAUCUUCCUUAUUUGAAGGCCCUUUUCUUAAACAAAAACAUGUUUCAUGGCAAAAUUCCUUCUGCUUUAUCAAAGUGCAAACAACUGCAACAAUUAAAUUUGCAGUUCAAUAAUUUAUCCGGUGCAAUACCAAAAGAAAUCGGCAACUUGACUAUGCUCAAAGGGAUAUAUCUCCUCUACAACAAACUCCACGGUAUGUUCACAAUACUAUAUAAAUAUUUUAAUUUAUCACUUAUUAUCUUUCUUGAAUAAUUUAGUUAAGAUCUUGUAAGAGAGAUUUUUUGCAUCUACGUUAAUUUACCAGGUGAGAUACCCCACGAAAUCGCUAAUCUUCCAAAUCUAGAGGCUUUAGCGCUUGGAAUCAACAACGUAGUUGGUGUGUUACCAGCUCCCAUCUUCAACAUGUCAACACUGAAGGUACUUAUCCUCAUAAAUAACUCUCUCUCCGGAAGCCUUCCAUCAAGAGUAGACCUUUCACUUCCAACUGUUGAGCAACUUAACUUGGCACUUAAUAGAUUUUCUGGAACCAUUCCUAGUUCCAUCACCAAUGCUUCUAAGCUCACCUUUCUAGAGUUGGGAGCAAACACAUUUUCGGGGUUUAUUCCAAACACAAUUGGUAAUUUAAGAAACCUUAAGUGGCUCGGCUUGGCUAAUAACUCCUUGACAUCUUCAACCUCAAAAUUGAGCUUUCUUUCCUCUUUGGCAAAUUGCAAGAAAUUAAGAUUCGUAAACGUAAUAGGCAAUCCACUGGACGGCUUCCUUCCAAGUUCAAUAGGUAAUCUUUCUGUGUCUUUGGAAACACUUGGCAUCGGCAAUUGCAGUAUUAGUGGCAACAUUCCUCCAGCAAUUAGCAAUUUAAGCAACUUGUUGACCUUAGUAUUAGACGGCAAUAAAUUGACUGGACCAAUCCCAACUACAUUCGGCCAACUGCAGAAACUCCAAGGCUUAGAUCUUGCAUUCAAUAAGUUGGUAGGUUCAUUCCCAGAUGAGCUUUGCCAUCUGGCAAGGCUGGAUCAAUUGGUCUUAUUUGGCAAUAAGCUUUCAGGAUCUAUACCUUCAUGCUUAAGUAACCUCACUUCUCUAAGAUCUCUCUAUUUAGGGUCCAAUAAGUUUACUUCUGUUUUUCCCUCAACCUUCUGGAGCCUAAAAGACAUCUUGUUCUUUGACUUUUCAUCAAAUUUCUUGGUUGGUCCUCUUUCUUUAGAUAUAGGAAAUUUGAAGGUGCUUCUAGGAAUAAGUUUAUCAAAAAAUAAUUUAUCCGGUGAUAUCCCAGCCACAAUUGGAGGACUGAAAGAUCUUCAAUUUAUGGACCUAGCAUAUAAUAGAUUGGAAGGCCCAAUUCCUAAAUCAUUUGGUGACUUGAUAAGUUUAGAAGUUCUGAAUUUAUCAAAUAAUAAAAUCUCUGGGUCUAUUCCAACAUCCAUGGAGAAACUCUUUUACCUCGGAGAGUUAAAUCUCUCUUUCAAUAAACUAGAAGGUGAGAUUCCUAGUGGAGGAACUUUUGCCAACUUCACAGCUGAGUCAUUUAUGGGAAAUGAGUUUUUGUGUGGUUUACCAAAUCUUCAAGUCCAACCAUGCAAAGUUAGCAAGCCGAGGACAGAACAUAAAUCAAGGAAAAAGAUACUUCUCAUUGUGAUUGUUUUGCCAUUGAGUAUUGCUCUAACAAUAGCAAUCACUCUAGCUCUCAAAUCUAAGCCGAUCGAAUGUGGAGAAAGAAGCACAGUGUUGUCAAAUGAUAGUAUCUUGUCAUCACAAGCAACACUAAGAAGAUUUUCAUACUUAGAACUUUUACAAGCAACAGAUAAUUUUGCUGAAAACAGCAUAAUUGGCAGAGGAGGUUUCGGUUCCGUUUAUGGAGCAAGACUUGAAGAUGGGAUGAAGAUUGCAAUAAAAGUGUUUCACCGGCAAUGUGCAAGCGCAUUGAAGAGUUUUGAGGCUGAAUGUGAAGUGUUAAAAAAAAUUCGCCAUCGAAACCUUAUCAAAGUUAUCAGCAGUUGCUCGAACGAUGACUUCAAAGCAUUAGUCCUAGAAUACAUGUCCAACGGGAGCUUAGGGGAUUGGCUGCAUUCGAGCAAUUACGUGCUGAAUAUUUUUCAAAGGUUGAACAUAAUGAUUGACGUUGCAUCAGCUUUAGAAUACCUCCACUUCGAUCAUUCAACUCCUAUUAUUCAUUGUGACUUAAAGCCUAGUAAUGUAUUGUUGGACGAAAAUAUGGUUGCUCAUUUGAGUGAUUUUGGCAUAGCAAAGCUUUUAAGUGGAGAAGAUGAGUCUACGAUGCGAACAAAAACCCUUGCCACUAUAGGUUAUAUGGCACCAGGUUUGCUUCAAACAACUUUUUUUUUUAAGUUCAUUUUAAAUUUUCUAAAUCAUUGAUUUUUACGAUCCUCAUAUCAAAUUGUUAUUGAUUAUUUAUCUAAUUGUGAAAUUAAUUUGAUUCAUAGAGUAUGGCAUAGGAGGAGAAGUAUCUACAAAAAGCGAUGUUUACAGCUACGGGAUUAUGUUGAUGGAAACUUUUACCAAGAAAAAACCCACAGAUGAAAUUUUUGUUGGAGAAUUGAGCUUAAAGCAUUGGGUUAAUGACUUGCUUCCUAAUUCAUUAGUGGAAGUUGUGGACAAAACUCUGCUAAGUGGAGAGGAAAAACAUUUUGCAUCAAAGGGGCAAUGUCUGUUGUCUAUCUUUAGUUUGGCUCUGGAGUGUACAAUGGAAUCACCGGAAAAGAGGAUUAAUGCAAAAGAUAUUGUUACCGGAUUACUCAAGAUAAGAGACACAUUGAGUAAAAGGAUAGGAAAUUUAAGUUAAUUUCGUUUGCUUUCAUUGAUAGUUAAUUCGAAUUCAUGUAAUAAGUGCAAGAAUCUUAUAUCUUUUCCUUUGAUAUAUUCUUUUUCUUGAGAAAACUGUUGUAGUCAUCUUGUUUCCAUGGGAAGAGUUGAUUUAGUUCUUCCAAAAAAUGCUACUGAUGACCUUUGUUUAAUACUUUCUCUUUUUUUGCACGUGUUUAGGUAGAACAGUGGUUUGGCUGCAGGCUAAUAAGUCAAGCUACGCCAAAAGCGUAUGAUUUAAUUUAUUAAACAUAACUUCAAGUUCAAGAAGUGUUUCUCAUUGCCACCAAUGCUUUGGACACCUGUUGGAAGGUUUGUUGUCCUCAGCUUUUGUUUAGAGCAAAAGUUCGAGUCCCAUAAAGGCUCAAACAUUCCUUUCCUUCAUCCCGAGGGCGCCUUCUGUCCUCUGUUUUCUGUUUCCACACACAAAUAGCAAAAAGAAAUUAGAAUGACAACUGGGACAUAUAUAAGAGUGAAAUAAUUAAAAAAAUUAUGCUUUUUUGUCUGUCGUGUUAAAAUCGUAAGUACCGAAGUACUGUGAAAGAGAUUAAUUUACAGAAACUGAAGCCAAGGGUUCAAAAAAAAACUAUUGAUGUAGCUAGGAUGCAAUGUCAUAUUCAUACAGAGAUGAAGUAUAUUAUUUACGGCUGGUAAAGACUAGGAAUUGAUGUAGCUAGAAUCCAAAGAUGAUAAGGUAUGUUGUGCACUAUUGUUUUAUUCUACGGUCAAUCUUGACCCUUGGUGCUUGGCUCUCAAUCUUGUCCAUUGAUCUUCUCUGAUCUUGGAAACUUCAAGACCUUUCACUCUCAUGCCUUAUUAUUGGUGUCUUCCAUGCUGUAGCUUUCAAAUACAAGCUUUCCCGCCAACUUGCCAAUUAUUUGUCCGUUGGUGCAUUUUAUCAAACAGUUUGGAUACUUAUACCAAACGCCUUCUGUUUUAACUCCCCCCCUCAAGCUCAAGCAUCUGGGAAGACAUUAAUAAGCUUGUUUCUCAAGUAUAUAUAUCUGAAAAUUAAAUUUUAUAAAUUAUAUUCGGACUCUACAUUUUCUAAUGAACAUUGGUUUGGCUUAUAAGCUUAUUAUACUCAGGUUUGGUAGGAGCCAUAUCACAAUGUUAACGCUAACCAGCAGUACUGCCAAAGCUGGCCAACUCAGCCUGCAAGUUCAUAGCAACCAUAGUUACAGUCCUAGUCCGGUACAAAAAUCGUAAAUAUCAUUUACAUUACAAUGGUGUGGGGGGGGGGGGGGGGGUUUGUUGGGUGGCUGGAGAGGGAAUCAACAAAGAUCUAGAACGAAGGGUAGGCUUGUAUCCGUAACCCAUGUCACAGUGUUAAUGCUAACCGUGGACCUUAUUAUAUUAGUUGCUGGACUAUUAUUACUUUUGAAUUGCCAUCUUUGAAUUUACGUUCAUUUCUGCCUCGACAAGAUGUUUGUAAAAAUAUGCUAAUUAUUAAUGUGCCGUGUACAAAUAAGCAUGUUACUGUGCAAGGAUUGUAGUCAUGAUACAGUGGUGCAAAAUGUACAUGCUACUUCUUCUUUUCCUCAGUUAGGAUCACCGUCGUCACCAUUUAAUUCUAAGUCCACCCAUGCGGCCUAUGCAAUUGAAAUCAUGUGACCAUGUAAUUUUAGGUUCUGAUCUUCCUUGUGGGGUUAAACCUCAAAACUGUGACCAUUUUGGGACUUUUAAUCAGUUCCAAUCAUUUUCUGGUUCCCAUUCGUCCACCCAAGCCUUGAUUCCCCCGAUAUAGCAUUGCAAUAUAUAUAGGAAUAUUAAGGUUGUGUACAGUUUUUUUCUUUUCUGUUUUUAAUUUGAUAUAAAUUAUCAAUCAUGAAUCUACAUAAAGUUUCAACUAGGCUACUACCACAAUAAACAUUUGGAUGAACUAUUAUUGAAACCUUAUUGAGAAGUAGGACAUGUCGCAUACCAAUGCACUGACAUAUCUUCAAAUAGUGGUAACUCCACACAACAUGGCACAAUAAAUUAAGAGUUAUAUAGAUAAAAUCUUUCACUCUUUGGUAAUCAUCAAUGUCGGCAUGACAAUGCGUCCCACAAAUAUGGCUCCUUAUCAAAAUUCAUAAAUCAAAACAAAAAUAGAGAAUCAUAUUUGUUCUAGAUUGUAGUGAUGGUUGUUGAUGCACUCACAAUUUACAAUUUUAUUUAAUAUCUUCAAAUUCGCAUUUUAAAAUGCCCAAAUGUUUGUGUAUACAUAAUUAGUAAUCGAUUCUCAAGCAUGGCCAUUUAAAAGCAUUGCUGAAAGACAAAAUUUUAAUUUACUAUUUUUUGUCUUUUAAUUUUCUUUAAGUUUUUAAUGAUUCCGCAUUUUAAAAUCCUGUGGAACGUGUAUGUAAAAUUCUUUUAUCUUUUAGAGGAAAAUGGGCAAGAGAAGAAGAUUUGGCAAAGGAAUUGCAACCGCAUUUGGAGCUAGUUUUAAUUUUGUCUUUUAAUUCUUUUACACUUGGCUUUUGUUAUUGAUGUCAACUUCGAUGUGUGUGAAGACUCGAGCUCACUCCCUUAUGAGCUAGUUUUAUUUUUCUACUUUCACAUUAAGAAAAAUACUCCUAUUUUUAAGGAAAAGUCAAGUACCUGUAGUUGUGAAGACUCGAGCUCACUCCCUUAUGAUAAAUCUUCAUAUUAAUUACGUAAAUAUCCUCUAAAAUUUUAAAUUAGCUAUUCAAAAUUUGAUGUUAUACGGGUAUUUCAUUUAUUUGAGUAGGGGUUGGGGGUCAAUUGGAUACAAAUUCAAAAUUAUCCUUACUUGAGAUGGUGAUAAAAAUUGGGGAUUUAAUUUGGAUGUCAUUAGCUACAAAUAUUAAACUCAUACAUUUAAUUCAAAAUUGGAAAGCUGAUAUAUGCGCAUCAUCCCACAACCUCUCCAAUGAAAAAUUAACACGUUUCUUGUGUGCAUUUGAUCAGAAUCCUGAAAAUUAAUCACAAAAUUGUCCUGGAAAAAAAAAUGCUUACAUAAAUGGUUUGAAAAAUCUAGAUUUCAAGUUGUCUAUAUUAGCUUGAUAUUUUUAUAAAUAGUCAUCCUCUCAAAAAAAUUCCAUCAAAAUAUAUUUUAAUUUUAUGUUAAUUCAUAAACAUGAAAAAAUCAUUUCAGAAUUAAUUAAAACAUAAUUUAUUGUUUCUCAAAAAAGGUAGAACUUAGUGAUAAGAAAAAAGUAUCUCAAAUAUAUGUAAAAAAAAAAAAAUCUUGGUUAGUUGGAAUGAUUGAAUUUGUUUUUUUUUUCUUUUUUAAGAAUUAAGACAAUCGGAUUGAUUGAGUAAUAAUAAUAUAUAUUUAUUUGGCAAAUGGCAGGUAGGCUUUCGUCUCAUGCAGAUUGAUUAGAGAGAAAAUAUAACAAUUUUAAGCUCGUCAGAUUCGAAGCUGCUUUCCUGUCGUGUGGGGAUCACUUCCGUGUCUUAUUUUUCUAGAAAAAUCAGGACCAUUGGAUUUAUGCGAAUCGUACUGAACAUUGGAAUUGAUGUAUAAGAAAAAAAUUCUGUAGUUUAAGAAGAACAAAAAGGCAUGUUGAAUAGAUUACAAUAGUUUAAGGAAAAAAAUUAUUCAAUUGGGAAUUUUUUUUUCUUUAAUUUUUGUUGUACUUGAUUGAGAUUUCUCCUUAGUCCUUAGAGUUUUAAGUUUGGAAACCGUAGGAUCAGUAAUUUCGUACUUCCUUUGCAAGCUGAGUAUAAGGAUGAAAUUCUUUUAAGAAAUUAAAAAAGAUAAAAAAAAAGCAUACCAAUAGGUAAUUAUAAAUAACCACAAAUAAAUAUAAACAAAAUGUUUAUGAAGUAAAUUAAACAUGCUCAUAUUAUUUUCUUUUAUUUUCUGCUUGGAAACCCAUAAAUACACUAAUCCAGUAUUACUAAUUUCAGACAGAAAAUUUUGAAUUUAACCAGUAUACACUAAUCCAGUAUUAUUUUUAUUAUUAUUUUAAUUUGUUUAUAAAUUACUAUUUUAAUUUGUUUAUAAAUUACUAUUUUAAUUUUCACUUUUUAUUGGGUUGUUUAACGGAUUAGUGAAGCUGGUGGUCGUUGAUGCACUCACAAGGUACAAUUUUAUUUUAGAAUUUCAAAUUCGUAAUUUAAAAUGCAGGCACAUUAUGUAUACAUAAUUAUUGAUUUUCAUAUGUGGGUGUUUUGAAAUAUUGCCAAAAGACCAAACUUUAAUAAACUAUUUUUGAUCUUUUUUUUUCCUUUGUACCUAAAGUUUGAGUGAUAUCCGCAUUUUAAAUUCAUGUGGACCAAAAGCUAAUGUAUGCACAAAAUUCUUUUAAUUUUUUCCGAGAAAAAUGGGUAAGAGAAGAAGAUUUUUCUCUUGAAAAAGAAAAAAUAAUACGUUGCAAGCAUAGGAAAGAGGCCAGUGUUUUGGAUUUGAAUUUAGUAUUGGGUUGAAUUUUAUGCUAAGCUCUUUUAUAAUACUUUAUAGAAUAAAAAUGUAAGGGAUAUUUGGCUAGGCAUGUACUUUAUAGAAUAAAAAUGUAAUAAUGUAAGUCAGUGCAAUGAUCUGCUGUCAUAGUAGUUAUAAAUAUUUAUGUGUAAUACAGUAACAUGAUGCUUAAUCAGUUAAAAAAAAAUUGUAUAUCUUUUUUUAUUUUUUUUAUUGUGAUCAAUAUAACUAGUCAAAUUUAUUUUUAAAUAUUUUUUUAAAAAUAUUUUUAUCGUGUGUUUGCUCCAUUACAGGGUUUCUUCAAUUUAAAAUAGAGAAUCAUUUGUGUUCUAGAUUAAUCGUGGGUCUAUAUCCAAAUCCAAAAAUUGACUAACUUGAUUUCUAUUAAGUUCUCAACCCUAACAAGAAAAAUAAAAGAGUAAAAAUGACUAUUUUGGUUUCUAUUAAUUUGAGUAACGCUUAAUAUUUAUCAUACAAUAGUCACUUAUAUUAUCAAAAUCUUGGGUCGAAAAUAUUAGGAUAGGUGAUAAUUGGAAUUAAGUUGUAGAUAAGAUAGCCUUUCAAAAAAAAGAAAAGAAAAAAAGUUGUAGAUAAGAUAGAAAUGGAUUUGGAGAGAGAUUGGAAUCCUGGCUAAUCCGGUGCACGUUGUUGCGUUAAAUUCUCGUUGACUUCACGUUGACCGAAGCAUUAUUGGAAGAAACAAGCAAGCUUAUUUUCUUCUCUCAUUUUUUACUUUUGUCUAAAUUUAUUGAUGUGAGCCCUCUGAGAUGGUAAAGUGUUAAAUCUGAGAAGAGUACCCACACACCCAUUUGUUGGAGGAUUAACAAUUAAAACACACUAUUUUAUUUCUUCAACAACACUCCUCACCAAUUACAACUCUUAUUUUUCACUCUCUACACCUUAGAGAUUUUGCUGCUUCACUUGAUGUUUAAACCAAAAGGGAGAGGGGGUAUUUAUAUAUGAAACAAACUAAUCACAACCAUUCAUUUAUUCAACUAAUAAACACAUCCUCACCAUCCAUUAAAACCUACCACUCACCUACUUCACCAACCACACCUAACACACCUAACACAAAUAAUUCAAACCUCACCAACCAUACCUACUCAUGGAACCUUCCAUGAGUUGGGCUUGAUUUAUUCAUCUUGGAUCAAGUUUAUGAUCCAACACCUCUCCUUAAACUUGAUCCUGUGACACCAAGCAAACUUCUGAAUCUUACAAAGUCUUCUUGUUUGAGUGGUUUAGUGAAGAUAUCAGCUGCUUGAUCUUGUGAUUUUACAUACUUGAUUUGCACUUCUUUUCUUGCAAUACACUCUCUUAUGAAAUGAUAGCGAGUGGCUAUGUGUUUACUUCGAUCAUGAAAGACUGGAUUCUUGGAUAGGGCAAUUGCUGAUUUGUUAUCAACACAAAUCUCAGUUGGCUCUUCUUGUGCCAAACUCAACUCCUUUAGCAAAUUUCUGAGCCAAAUUGCAUGACAAACACUUGAUGUGGCAGCUACAUAUUCAGCUUCACAGGUGGAUAGCGUGACAAUUGGUUGCUUCUUUGACAUCCAUGUGAAAGCAGUAUCUCCUAUGAAGAACACAAAUCCUGUGGUGUUAUUUCGAUCAUCUACAUCUCCACCCCAAUCGCUAUCGCUAUAUCCAACAAGCUUGUAGUCAUUAGAAAAUGAGUAUAGCAAGCCGAAAUUAGUUGUACCUUUGAUGUAGCGAAGGAUUCUUUUUGCAGCUUUAAAAUGGGUGGUCUUUGGAUUCUCCAUGUAUCGGCUCACAAGUCCAACAACAUAAAGGAUAUCUGGUCUUGUGCAUGUCAAAUAACGUAGGCUUCCAACCAAACUUUUAAAGAAUGUUGGAUCUAUAUCUUCGCCUUCAUCAUGUUUGGAUAACUUGACUCCGCAUUCCACUGGCGUGCUUAUAGGCUUACAAUCAUUCAUCUUGAACUUCUUGAGAAUCUCCUCUGCAUAGCUUUCUUGGGAGAUAAAUAUGCUUUCUUCCUUUUGCUUGACUUCAAUGCCGAGGUAAUAUGCCAUCAGUCCGAUGUCAGUCAUCUCGAACUCUUUGAUCAUCACUCUCUUGAACUCUUCAAACAAGCCUGGAUUACUUCCAGUGAAAAUGAGAUCAUCCACAUACAGGCACACAAUCAAAAUAUCUCCAUAUUUUUCUUUGACGUAGAGAGCAUGUUCAUAUGGGCAUUUGGUGAAGCCUUUCUCUUGAAAAUACUUGUCAAUUCUGCUAUUCCAUGCCCUUGGUGCUUGCUUUAACCCAUAAAGAGCUUUCUUCAAUCUCAAAACUUUGUCCUCGUGUCCUUUCACCACAUAGCCUAAUGGUUGUUCGAUGUAAACUUCUUCUUCAAGGAAUCCAUUCAAGAAAGCAGACUUCACAUCCAUUUGAAAAAUCUUCCAUUUGUUCUGAGCAGCCAAAGAAAUAAUAAGUCUAAUAGUUUUAAGUCGAGCUACAGGAGCAAAUACCUCGUCAUAGUCUAUGCCAGCCUUUUGACUAUAGCCUUUUGCAACUAGCCUCGCCUUGUGCCUUUCAAUUUCUCCCUUCGCAUUUCUUUUUGUUUUAUACACCCAUUUGACACCGAUCGCCUUGUGACCUUUUGGAAGAGUAGUAAGCUCCCAAGUAUCAUUCUUCACAAUGGCUUUGAUUUCUUCAUCCAUUGCAAUUCUCCACUUCUCAUCUAGUGCAGCUUCUUGGAAGUUGACUGGCUCACAAUCAGCAAAGAGGCAAAAGAGAGUGAGAUUAUCAUGUCUCUCAGUUACCUCAUAGAGAUCUUGAAGACUCCUUGCACGUUCUUCGGUUCUUUCAUUUAAGAAAGACGGCGGUGAAUCUCCGCAUGUGGUUGGUGCUGGUGAGAUAGGUGGAGUGGCAGGCUCUUGUUGUUCGUCUACUUGUUUUACCUGUGUAUGAUCAUCUUCUUCAAUGGGAAAGAAGUUGAAGUCAUCCACACCAGAGCCAAAAUCUCAUUCUCCUUCUUCAUCAAAAAUUACAUCUCGACUGAUCACAAUCUUUCCGUUGUUUGGAUUGUAAAGCUUGUAUCCUUUGGAGUUGUUGUCGUAGCCGAUGAAGAUGAACAACUCACUUUUGUCAUCCAGCUUGGCUCUACUUUCGUCUGGUACAUGUACAUGGGCAAUGCUUCCGAAAACUCUUAGAUGGGUGAUGCCAGGUUUUCUUCCACUCCAAGCUUCUUGUGGCGUCUUGCCCCACACGCUUCUUGUUGGAGAUCGAUUGGAUAAGUAGAUUGCACAUGCAACUGCUUCAGCCCAAAAUUCUUUAGGUAGCCUCUUACUCUUAAGCAUGCUUCUUGCCAUGUCGAGGAUGGUUCUGUUCUUCCUUUCUGCAACACCAUUUUGUUGGGGGGAUCUUGGAACUGUCAAAGGGCGUCGAAUUCCAUUUGCUUCACAAAACUCUAAAAAUUCUUUGGAAGUGAACUCUCCACCUCGAUCAGAUCUCAUGGCUUUAAUCUGGUAUCCACUUUCUUUUUCAACUGCAGCUUUAAACUUCUUGAAAGCUUCAAAGACUUCUGAUUUUUGCUUCAAAAAAUACACCCAAGUUUUUCUUGAAAAAUCAUCUAUAAAAAGAAUGAAGUAGUUACUUUUACCAAGGGAGUUUGGCUUGAAUGGACCGCACACAUCAGUAUGAAUGAGCUCGAGUGGCUUCUGAGCUCUUGAGUUUGACUCCUUUGGAAAGCUCUUUCUGAACUGCUUGCCAAGUAAACAUCCUUCACAAAGUUGAUCAGGGUGAUUGAUGUAUGGUAAGCCUUUCACCAUGUUCUUCUUAGAGAGUAGCUCCAGUCCUCUAAAGUUGAGAUGCUCAUAUCGAAGAUGCCAAGUCCAGGAUUGAUCUUUGUGACAGGCUUUGAGACAUUUUGCAACAUCAUUUUGAAUAUUUAAAGGAAACAUUCUAUUCUUUGACAUUCUCACUUUUGUAUUUAGAUUUCCUUUUUCAUCUCUUAGAAAAAGACUAUAAUCUUUUAAGUGAAUAUCAUAGCCCUUUUUCUAAAAGUUGACCUAAACUAAGAAUGUUGCUUUUCAUAUUGGACACAUAGUAAACAUUCGAAAUUAUUUGGUGGCUACCAUCUUUUGCACGAAAAAGAAUGUUACCUCUACCCUUCACUGGUACUUUUGAAUCAUCUCCAAAAGUGACACUGCCAUUCACAAAUUCACUUAGUUGCACGAACAUGCUUCUGUUUCCACUCAUAUGAUUGCUAGCACCUGUGUCAAGAUACCAUGUAUUUUCUUGACCUCCAUUUGUGUCAUUGCGUGCUAGUAAAAGUGUGUCAUCUUCACCAUUUUUCUCUUCAGCAUAGUUCACUCUCUCUUUAAUUCUGGUGCUUGGAGCUCUGCAUUCUGAAGCAUAAUGCCCAAACUUUUGACAAUUAUAGCACUGUACUUGGGAUUUGUCAUACCUCGAUCUUGAAUUGCCUCUGCCUUGUUCUCUGGUUGAGCUUUCUCCUUUGGCAUAAUUGGAGUUGUUGUUGUUGAAAUUCCAACCUCGUCCAUGACCACGACCUCUACCUCGUCCUCGACCUCUACCUCGGACAUAGUGCCUUCUCUCAUUGUCGGAGCUUUCUUCUCUUUUCUUUGGAUUGACUUCCAUCUUGAGAAGUUGUUCUUCGAUUCCUUGCUUCUUUUUUUGUUUUUCUUCAUAGGCUUGCAACCUUCCUUGAAGUUGCUCGAUCGUCAUAUCCUCCAGAUCUCUUGUUUCUUCAAUUGUCAUAACAAUAUGAUCAAACUUCGAGUCUACUGAUCGAAGUAUCUUUUCAAUGAUCCUUACCUCUUUUAACUCCUCGCCAUUUCUUUUUAAUUCAUUGGAAACGGUCACAACUCGAGUAAAGUAGUCAGAAAUUGACUCCGACACCUUCAUGUGUAAGGACUCAAAUUCUCCUCGUAAUGUUUGGAGACGAACCUUCUUAACUUGCUCUGCUCCUUUGUAAGAGGUCUUUAGUUUCUCCCAUGCUUCUUUUGAGGAGGUUGUACCAGCAAUCUUUUCAAAAGCAUCUUCAUCUAAUGAUUGAAAGAUGAGAUACUUUGCUUUAUUCUCUUUCUUCUUCAAGUCUUUUAAAUUCUCCUUCUGCGCCGCAGUUAAAGUGGCUUCAUUUUCUGGCACAAUAAAGCCUUUCUCCACGACAUCCCAUACGUCAUGUGCACUCAAUAGAGCCUUCAUUUUAAUACUCCAAUUGUCAAACUUACUUCCUUUUAAUUGUGGAACUUGAAAUGACAUCAUCAUACCACCGUUUGCCAUAACUCACAAAUUGAGUGAGAAUUUGGAGAUUCUGAAUGCACAGAUGGAUCCGGCACGUCGAAAAACCUUGGGAAGGACUCGAGUCAACUUUCGGUCAACGGUCAACGUCGGUCAACGGUCAACACCGGCUUGGUAGUCUCGGUUCGGUCCGGAUUGGUUCAGCUCGAGUUGGCUCGGUUCGACUUGAUUCGGUUCAGCUCGGCUCGGCUUGGUUCAGUUCGGCUCAGCUUGGUUCAACUCGGUGAGUCGACUCAGCUUCAGGACAUAAAACUUCCGGCGGCAGGUGUGGGCGCGUACGGUCUCGGAUCGGGAUGAUUUUUGCGGCGUCACGUUCCUCUCGUCGAGAUCUUCGAUUUGAUAUGCUAUAUGACUAUAUAUAGCAUCAAACACUAGCUCUGAUACCACUUUGUUGGAGGAUUAACAAUUAAAACACACAAAAAACACACUAUUUUAUUUCUUCAACAACACUCCUCACCAAUUACAACUCUUAUUUUUCACUCUCUACACCUUAGAGAUUUUGCUGCUUCACUUGAUGUUUAAACCAAAGGGGAGAGGGGGUAUUUAUACAUGAAACAAACUAAUCACAACCAUUAAUUUAUUCAACUAAUAAACACAUCCUCACCAUCCAUUAAAACCUACUACUCACCUACUUCACCAACCACACCUAACACACCUAACACAAAUAAUUCAAACCUCACCAACCAUACCUACUCAUGGAACCUUCCAUGAGUUGGGCUUGAUUUAUUCAUCUUGGAUCAAGUUUAUGAUCCAACACCAUUAUCCUAUUACUCUUAUUUUAUCACAUGCAGAGACGUCAACGUUUGAUUCGCACGGAAAAAAAUUUGCGAGGAUUGUGAGGGUUGAUUCAAUAUAAUUUAGAUGCAAAGUGUUUACAAGUGCGAUGCUUCGUAAGUGCACCCGAAUCAUUAUAAACUCACCUUAUUUUCAUAGUGAUUAUUUCAUCUGCAUGUGAAUAUAAUCAUAUGUGGAGAUUUUUUUUUUCCCUAAACGAUGAUCUUCUCUAGUAUUGAGGUGUUAUAUCUUUUAAAUUAUAAUUAUUAUUAGUAAAAAACUGCAACUAUGAAAAAUAAAUUUAAUAUUAUGUCCUGAAUAUAAUUGUUAAAUAAUAAUUUUGACAAAAUUAAUGAAUAUAUACAGAUUUUUUUAUCAUAUAAAUGUAAAAUUAUAUCAACUUAGCUUCUAAGCUAUACAACGGUUACUAUUUACUAAAUACUUUAGUGUCGUAGUUUUUAAGAUAUAUUUAUCCACCCUCAAUCCCAAACAUAACCUGUAAGGAUAAAAAAUUUCAUCCUAAAAAUUAUACGUCUUGUGACUUAUUUAAUUUAUAUUUUUGUUAUUUAUAUUUAUUAAUUAUAGUCAUCUUUUAAUAAAUUACAAUUGAAGGAAGGUGGUUGAUGUUGUCGAGACACACACACAAAGAUAUAUUGGAAGUGCUUAUGUCCACUCGAAGUUGUGGGGAGUUAAUGCAUGUAUUGAUUUAUUGGGAGUGUUAAUGCAUGUAUUGAUUGAUUGAGUGAUUGAAUACUGUUUGAUUGCUUCAUAUCAAUUCUAGAAAGUUUAUUUCUUUGUGAAAUUUCAACGAAACGUGUUUUUUAGAAUAAUAAGGGUGUUUUAAGUAAUUUUAAAAAAUGAAUGGACUAAUUAGAAUUAAUUAUUAGGUAAUUAACUCGAAUUGUAGAGGGUAAGCAAACAUUUAUCCUAAUUAUAUUAUGAUAAAUCCUUUUCCAAUUAGAAUUAGGAAACCAUAGAUAUACUGAAUUUUUUUUUAUUUCCCUUCGCGAAAACGGAUCAGAGAAUUAGAAAACAAUCCUAGUGAUACUAUUGUUAGGUUUAAAACACUGCAUAGAUGGUAAAAACAUUGGAAUUGAUGUAGAUUAAUUUGUUAAUUGCUAUCGUACUGAACAUUGUUUUAUGCAAAUUAAUUUGAGAAUUAGAAAAAAGUUUGUUGCAUGCAAACUUUUUGUUUUAUGCAAAUCGUACUGAACAUUGGGACUGAUGUUUAAGAAAAAAAUUCUGUAGUUAAAGAAAAACAAAAAGGCAUGUUGAAUAGAUUACGAUAGUUUAUUCAAUUGGGAAUUUUUUUUCUUUAAUUUUUGUUGUACUUGAUUGAGAUUUCUCUUUAGUCCUUUCGUACUUCCUUUGUAAGCUGAGUAUAAGGAUGAAAUUCUUUUAAGAAAUUAAAAAAGAAAAAAAAGCAUGCCACUACGCAAUUAUAAAUAACCACAAAUAAAUAUAAACAAAAUGUUUAUGAAGUAAAUUAAACAUGCACAUAUUAUUUUCUUUUAUUUGCUGCUUGGAAACCCAUAAAUGCACUAAUCCAAUAUUACAAUUAAUUUCAAACAGAAAAAAUUGAACUCUAGGCUGCAGUUUGACUCAAAAUGAUGACCACUGGCUUCGCACCAUUCAACCGGUAUACAUUUCUACAAACCGAACAACGCUAUUGAUUUUUAUUUUUUUUUUUAAUUUGUCUAUAAAUUACUAUUUUAAUUUUCACUUUUUAUUGGGUUGUUUAACGGAUUAGUGAAGCUGGUGGUCGUUGAUGCACUCAUAAGGUACAAUUUUAUUUUAGAAUUUCAAAUUCGUAUUUUAAAAUGCAGGCACAUUAUGUAUACAUAAUUAUUGAUUUUCAUAUGUGGGUGUUUUGAAAUAUUGCCAAAAGACCAAACUUUAAUAAACUAUUUUUGAUUUUUUUUUUCCUUUUUACCUAAAGUUGGAGUGAUAUCCGCAUUUUAAAUUCAUGUGGAACAAAGCUAAUGUAAGCACAAAAUUCUUUUAUUUUUUCCGAGAAAAAUGGGUAAGAGAAGAAGAUUUUUCUCUUGAAAAAUGAAAAAAAAUACAAUGCAAGCAUAGGAAAGAGGUCAGUGUUUUGGAUUUGAAUUUAGUAUUGAGCUGAAUUUUAUGCUAAGCUCUUUUAUAGUACUGCGAUUAAUAAGCUAGCUCAGGAUUUGCUUUUGCUUUUACUUCAAGUAAAAGAAAGAGGAAGCCUUUUGUUUUUUUGUUUGAUUUUUGACUAUAUAUGUUACCUAUAUAGAGAGUUGAGGUAGCAGCCUUAAGUGAUGGUGAUAAAAAGAUUAAGCAGUGCACACAAUCUUACUGUCAUCCAGACCAUCCAGUGAUGGCUCUAGUUUUUUUGUUACGUUAGCUUUAGUGGAAAGAAGGGCCAAUUUAACAAAGACUAGAUUUGGUGGCUUACUAUGUUUAAUGUAAUGCUUAUUCUCAGCGCACACAAUCUUACUAUGUUUAAUGUAAUGGUUAUGUUGAAUGAUCUUCUAUGAUUGUGAGUAGUAUAGUAUAAUUGAAAAGGGCCUGGGCUCCUAUGAUGAAUAACAGUAACACAUUACUGUGAUUGAGAAAACUCAGUUCCAAUAAACUCUUCAUUUACUCAUUGCGGAGAUCGAAUGGCAAACAGAGAAUAGAAUGAAGCAGAAGAAUCUCAUUGUUAGGUUUUGAUGAUUUCAGAUGCUUUUUUUUUAAAAAAAAAUUGUGACAUCUUUGAUUUACGGCAGUUUUGCAGAAAAAAAAAACAUAUAAAAAUUAAGAGGGAUGAGUUAACUGACGAUUACAAUCAUUACAGCAAUGCUGAUGAGUGAUAUAUCACUUGAAAUUUACUUGUCAGUUGCUGAAAUGAUGAAAAAAAACCAACAAACGAUAACAGUAAUAAUGUUCCCUUGCUGAAAUUCAAUUUUGACUUUCGACUCUUGGCUUUUAUGGAGAGUAAAAUGACUUGUAUAUUAUACUCAUACAAUCCACUCUACAUAAUGAUAUCGUUUUAAUAAGGCAAUGGCUGAUGAUCUCCAUUUAAAAACUACAUCAAUUUUUUUGCUUCAUUUAACUUUUUGGUUGUUGAAAAUAACCUUAAUUAUCAAAUAAUUGGAGAAAGAGUUAAGAACAUUUAACAAAUUUAUGUGCAAAAAAAAAAAAAAAAGGAAGAAGUUGAAGAGAAAGGGUGCUUGCAGAAGUGGGUGUCAAAGAUAAAUCGGUCCAUAAGAAUUAUUGUGGUUAUUUUUUGGCAAUAUAAAAAUUUUUUAGCAAGUAAAAAUAAUUUUUUUUCCGAUUUACUAAAAAAUUAACUAAAAACUUCUGCGAUGUCAUUUUUUAUGGGUGCAUAUACCCUCCCUUUAAAAAAUUUAUAAUAAUUACUGCUUAAUAUAGUAUUAAAUACGAAAAAUAUCAAUAUUUGACUACUCAAAUUUAUAUCAUUAGGUCCUUAAAAUUUAAAAUGGAAGAUAUGAAAGGAAAUAUAUAUAAAUUUCAUUGUCCUGGGAAAGGACCCUCUUAUUAUCUUAUAAUAUUUGAAAUUUGAUAGAUUUUUUGAAACAAAUGUACUUUUAUUUGUGUACAAUCAAUAUUUACUCAUUUAUUAUAUUUUAAUUUAUUAACUAUCAAUCAUGUAAGUAUACUUAGUCAAAAAAAUUAUAUCAAGAGAGAAUUCUAAUUUCACGCAAAAACAAAUACCAAAACAAAUAUCUCAAUUUCUAUACUAUUCACUUUCCUGUAGAAUCAAUUAUUUAAAAUGCAAGUUUGUGGCUACAGAAAACUCGCCAAAGAAAGAAGAUAAUAACAAUUGAGCAUUGAUGGCAAAACUAAUGCAUCCAAUUCUUCUUGACUUGAUGAGAUGGCGCCAUAACGUAGAAACAAGUACCUAAAUUGACCGGCACUGAGUGGUGUGAAUACUACCAGCCAGUUCAUCUCUUCCAGUCUUGCUUAAUCACAAUCACAAACACCACGAGAUCGACAUUUGCAUUAUAUAUAUCUUCUGCAAUCGAAACACCUUGCAUUACCAAAUAAGCCCGUAACAGACAAAGCAAUCUUUCAUGGAGAGAAACCUUAGUCUCAGUAUGAUCACUGUGUCAUUAACGUACUGCCUGCUUCUUUGCUUGGUUGCUGCAGCAGCAGCAGCGGCAAGCAACAAUAUUACCACAGACCAACAAGCUCUUCUUGCCCUGAAAGAUCAUAUAAUUUAUGAUCCGACCAGCCUUUUAGCUCACAAUUGGACCUCGAAUACCUCUGUUUGUACCUGGAUUGGCAUCACUUGUGAUGCCAAUAGCCAUAGAGUCACAACCUUAGAUAUUUCUCAAUUCAAUCUACAAGGCACCAUCCCUCCUCAACUUGGGAACCUCUCUUCACUCACAACACUUAAUCUUAGUCAUAACAAGCUUUCUGGAAACGUUCCCUCCUCCAUCUACACCAUGCAUACGCUAGAAUUUCUUGACUUCACUGAUAACCAGCUCUCUGGUUCAGUGACUUCCUUCGUCUUGAACAUGUCUUCAAUAUUAGACAUUCGUUUGACCAAUAACAGACUUUCUGGUGAGCUUCCGAAAAAUAUUUAGAGCUAUCUUCCUCAUUUGAAAGCCCUUUUUUUGGACAAAAACAUGUUUCAUAGCAAACUUCCUUCUGCUUUAUCAAAGUGCAAACAACUGCAACAAUUAAAUUUGAAGUUCAAUAAUUUAUCCGGUGCAAUACCAAAAGAAAUCGGCAACUUGACUAUGCUCAAAGGGAUAGACCUCGGCUACAACAAACUCCACGGUAUGUUCAUAAUACUAUACAAAUAUUAUCUUUCUUGAAUACUUUAGAUAAGAUCUUGUAUGUGAGAUUUUUUUGCAUCUAUAUUAAUUUUCCAGGUGAGAUACCGCACGAAAUCGCUAAUCUUCCAAAUCUAGAGGCUUUAGCGCUUGGAAUGAACAACCUAGUUGGUGUGUUACCAGCUCCAAUCUUCAACAUGUCAACACUGAAUGUACUUAUCCUCAUAAAUAACUCUCUCUCCGGUAGUCUUCCAUCAAGAAUGGACCUUUCACUUCCAACUAUUGAGCAUCUUAACUUUGCACUUAAUAGAUUUUCUGGAACAAUUCCUAGUUCCAUAACCAAUGCUUCUAAGCUCACAUUUCUAGAGUUGGGAGGAAACACAUUUUCGGGCUUUAUUCCAAACACAAUUGGUAAUUUAAGAAACCUUGAGUUGUUCGGCUUGGUUUUUAACUACUUGACAUCUUCGAGCUCAAAAUUGAGCUUUCUUUCCUCUUUGGCAAAUUGCAAGAAAUUAAGAGUCAUAGGCUUAACAGGCAAUCCACUCAACGGCAUCCUUCCAAGUUCAGUAGGUAAUCUUUCUAUGUCUUUGAAAACACUUCACAUCGCCAAUUGCAGUAUUAGUGGCAACAUUCCUCCAGCAAUUAGCAAUUUAAGCAACUUGUUGGCCUUAGUAUUAGAAGGCAAUAAAUUGACUGGACCAAUCCCAACUACAUUCGGCCAACUACAGAAACUCCAAGGCUUAGAUCUCGCAUUCAAUAAGUUGGUAGGUUCAUUCCCAGAUGAGCUUUGCCAUCUAGCUAGGCUGGAUGAAUUGGUCUUAUUUGGCAAUAAGCUUUCAGGAUCUAUACCUUCAUGCUUAAGUAACCUCACUUCUCUGAGAUCUCUCCACUUAGGGUCCAAUAGGUUUACUUAUGUCAUUCCCUCAACUUUCUGGAGCCUAAAAGACAUCUUGUUCUUUGACUUUUCAUCAAAUUUCUUGGUUGGUCCUCUUUCUUUAGACAUAGGAAAUUUGAAGGUGCUUCUAGGAAUAAAUUUAUCAGAAAAUAACUUAUCGGGUGAUAUGCCAGCCACAAUUGGAGGACUAAAAAACCUUCAAAUUAUGGACCUAACAUAUAAUAGACUGGAAGGGCAAAUUCCUGAAUCAUUUGGUGACUUGACAAGUUUGGAGGUUUUGAAUUUGUCAAAUAAUAAAAUCUCUGGGUCUAUUCCAAAAUCCAUGGAGAAACUCUUUUACCUUCGAGAGUUAAAUCUCUCUUUCAAUGAACUAGAAGGUGAGAUUCCUAGUGGAGAAAUUUUUACCAACUUCACAGUUGAGUCAUUUAUGGGAAAUGAGUUAUUGUGUGGUUUACCAAAUCUUCAAGUCCAACCAUGCAAACUUAGCAAGCCAAGGACAGAACAUAAAUCAAGGAAAAAGAUACUUCUCAUUGUGAUUGUUUUGCCAUUGAGUAUUGCUCUAACAAUAGCAAUCACUCUACCUCUCAAAUCUAAGCUGACCAAAUGUGGAAAAAGAUGCACAGUGUUGUCAAAUGAUAGUGUCUUGUCAUCACAAGCAACACUAAGAAGAUUUUCAUACUUAGAACUUUUACAAGCAACAGAUAAUUUUGCUGAAAACAACGUAAUUGGCAUAGGUGGUUUUGGUUCUGUUUAUAGAGCAAGACUUGAAGAUGGGAUGAAGAUUGCAAUAAAAGUGUUUCACCAGCAAUGUGCAAGCGCAUUGAAGAGUUUUGAGGCUGAAUGUGAAGUGUUAAAAAAUAUUCGCCAUCGAAAUCUUAUCAAAGUUAUCAGCAGUUAUUCAAACAAUGACUUCAAAGCAUUAGUCCUAGAAUACAUGUCCAACAGGAGCUUGGGGGAUUGGUUGCAUUCCAGCAAUUAUAUGCUGAAUAUAUUUCAAAGGUUGAACAUAAUGAUUGACGUUGCAUCAGCUUUGGAAUAUCUCCACUUCGAUCAUUUACCUCCUAUUAUUCAUUGUGACUUAAAGCCUAGUAAUGUAUUGUUGGAUGAAAAUAUGGUUGCUCAUUUGAGUGAUUUUGGCAUAGCAAAGCUUUUAAUUGGGGAGGAUGUGUAUGUCAUGCGAACAAAAACCCUUGCCACUAUAGGUUACAUCGCACCAGGUUUGCUUCAAACAACUUUUUUUUAGUUCAUUUUAAAUUUUCUAAAUCAUUGAUUUUUACGAUCCUCAUAUCAAAUUGUUAUUGAUUAUUUAUCUAAUUGUGAAAUUAAUUUGAUUCAUAGAGUAUGGCAUAGAAGGAGAAAUAUCUACAAAAAGUGAUGUUUACAGCUAUGGGAUUAUGUCGAUGGAAACUUUUACCAAGAAAAAACCCACAGAUGAAAUUUUUGUUGGAGAAUUGAGCUUAAAGCGUUGGGUUGAUGACUUGCUUCCUGAUUCAUUAGUGGAAGUUGUGGACAAAACUCUAGUAAGUGGAGAGGAAAAACAUUUUGCCGCAAAGGAGCAAUGUCUGUUGUCUAUCUUUAGUUUGGCUCUGGAGUGUACAAUGGAAUCACUGAAAAAGAGGAUCAAUGCAAAAGAUAUUGUUACCAGAUUACUCAAGAUAAGAGACACAUUGAGUAAAAGGAUAGGAAAUUUAAGUUAAUAUCGUUUGCUUUCAUUGAUAGUUAUUUUGAAUUCAUGUAAUAAGUGUACGAACCUUAUAUCUUUUCCUUUGAUAUUUUUUUCCUUGAGAAAACUAUUGUAGUCAUCUUAUUUCCAUGGGCAGAGUUGAUUUAGUUCUUCCAAGAAAUGCUACUGAUGACCUUUGUUUUAUACUUUCUCUUUUUUUGCAUGUGUUUAGGUAGAACAGUGGUUUGGCUGCAGGCUAAGAAGACUAACUACACUAAAAGAAUAUGAUUUAAUUUAUUAAACAAAACUUCAAGAAAAGUAUUUCACUGCCCCCAAUGCUUUGGACACCUACUGGUGGGUUUGUACGUGUCCUCAACUUUUUUUUGGAGCACAAAAUUCGAGUCCCAUGGAGACUCAAACAUUCCUUUCCCACAUCUCGAGCACGCUAAAUUUAUCAGACUGACAACUGGGACAUAUACAAGAGUGAAAUGUUUAGAGCACUCUAAGUUCGAGUGAAAGAGAUUAAUUUACAGAAAAUAAAGCCAAGGGUUCAGAAAAAAGUGCAAAGAGAAUAAAGGAACGUCUGAGCUAUUUAAAGCUUCAUGGAAAGUUGAAGGCUCUCCAUAUUUUGUUAGAAGAUAGUAUGCAACAUUGAUCUCUGUGACAUACUCCGAGUGCCACGUUGGCGGUCGUCUCUCACGAGUUGACCGACGAAUUUCUUGAGCCUCGGACUCGACUAGUUCUUGUUCCUCGUGCUCUGGUGCUGCUUCAGAAGAAUUUGAAUCUUUUGAAUUAUUUUUCACAUAUACCGGUACAGUCUCUGACUUUUCUUUUACAGUGCUAUCAUCCUCAUCUUUCCUUUGCAAUUGAUCUUCUAUAAAAAUAACAUCUCUGCUGAUGACGAUCUUGUGGGCAGUGGGAUCCCACAGACGAUACCCUUUUACUCCAUCAGCAUAUCCCAAGAAGAUACAUCUUCUAGAUUUUGCAUCCAGUUUUGUUUUUUCUUGAGCAUUGUACAUCACGUACACAGGACAUCCAAAUGUAUGUAGGUAGGAAUAAUCAGCUGGCUUUCCAGUCUAUAUCUCCAUCGCUGUCUUCAGCCCAAUUACUGUAGAUGGUGAUCGAUUUACUAUAUAACAGGCAGUUUUGGCUGCUUCUACCCAAAAUGAAUUGGGUAGACCAGCAGUCCUCAACAUAGCUCUUAUCCGUUCUGUAAUAGUUCUAUUCAUCCGCUCUGCCACUCUAUUUUGUUGAGGAGUGUAUGCCACCGUGAACUGUCUCUGAAUACCUUCUUGCUUACAGAAAACAAGAAACUCGCCGUCUAUAUACUCUCCACCAUUAUCUGUCCUCAAGCACUUGAUCUUUUUACCAGAUUCAAGUUCUACCGUGCUUUUAAACACUGGAAAUACAUCUGACUUUUUCUUAAUUGGAUACACCCAACAUCUUCUGGAAUAAUCAUUAAUGAAAGUCACCAUGUACUUUGCACCUCCCAUGGAUAUAUCCGGUGAUUCCCAAAUAUCAAAAUGAAUCAAGUCUAUAAUGCAUUUACUUCUAGCAAUAGAUCUACUGAAUUUUAAUUUAUGCUGCUUACUUGUAACACAAUGCUCGCAAAAUGGUAAACUUACCGAUUUGAGCCCCGGAAGCAAUUUUCGCUCAAAGAGAAUCUUCAAUCCUUGUUCUGACAUGUGGCCAAGUUUGAGAUGCCACAUCAUCGUUGACUCUUCUCCAUUUGACGCGACACAUGCAUCAGCCUCUUGUAGUGUUUCUCCUUUAAGCAUGAAUAAAUUAGCACCGAUCUUUUCUGCCUUCAUCAAUACAAACGCACCUUUAACGAUCUUCAUAAUUCCAUUCUCCACAUGAGUUUUGUACCCAUGACUAUCCAUUUGUCCCAAAGGUAAAAGAUUUUUCUUCAGGCCGUUGACAUGUCGUACCUCCCUAAUUGUGCGAAUUGUACCAUCAAACAUUUUUAUUUUGAUAGUACCAAUACCAACGAUCUCCAAGGCAUGAUCAUUACCCAUAUAUACAGAUCCUCCUGAGAUAGGUUCAUAUGUGUGGAACCAUUCUCUCCGAGAGGUCAUGUGUCAGGUAGCUCCUGAGUCUAUAAGUCAGACAUCAGAUAGUCGUUUUCUGCCUUCUAAAACAGUUGUUGCCUCGCUGUAGAGAAUUUCGCCAUCAUCCGAGGUACUUACGACACAACCCUGAGCAUUUGAUGACUUAGGUUCUUUGCCCACUCUUGUCUUCUAAUUACUCCAACACUCUUUCUUGACGUGCCCUUUCUUGCCACAGUUGUAGCAUUUAACAUUCUUCUUACUUCUAGAUUUUGAUCUACCAUGAUUUUGACUCCCAUUGGGGCCACGUUCCGUUGAUCUCCCUCUCGUCACCGAUAGCGCCUCCGCUUGCUGCGAACUUGCUUGUCUGUUUUUCUUAUUUUUUCGUCUGCUUUCCUCAUUUAAUACAGAGGCUGCAACAUCGUCGAAAACUAGACUGUCCACUGGAUUGCUGUUCGUUAGGUUGAUGAUGAGUUGAUCAUACGAAUCUGGUAGACUUUGAAGUAGAAGCUCUGCACGUUCAUUCUCCUCUAUAUUAUGACCCAACGUUGUAAGUUGUGAAAAUAGAGUCUUCAAGGUGUUGAUGUGAUCGGUUACCAUUAUAGAUUCCGCCAUUUGAAGAGUAUAAAGUUUCCUCUUCAAGAAGAUUUUGUUGUGUAGUGACUUGGCCUCGUACAAUUUUGUGAGAGUAUCCUAAAUUUCCUUCGCUGUAUUUUUCUUUGCCACACUGGAUAAUACUCCGUCUGCAAGUGCCAAGUGUAGAUCAGAAAUGGCAUUGCCAUCUAUCUCGUUCCACUUGUCAUCAGUUAUCUCCAUGGGCCUUUCUCCAAUUGCUUCCAAGUAAUUAUUUUUCCUCAAUACAACUUUCAUCUUAAUUUUCCACAACGAAAAAUUAUUUUCGUUAAAUUUCUCAAUUUCAUACUUUGCUGUCAUUUUGUUGAUAAAUAUUGUACACAAACUAGUGUAUCACCUUGAAUAGUUGUGAGUAUGUGUAAGAAUGCACACCAGAAAAGUUCCUAGGAAAGACUGGAGGGGUCACAAUAGUCCCACUUAAAACUCAGACUCCUUAAGCUCUUAUCGCCUUUGUGACAGAACUUUCCUAGACAUGUAUAAAACCACACAAUUGCUUUACUCACACCACUAUUCCCUGCUUUGUACCGCCAAAUUCUUCGAUCGCUCCCACCGUUUCACGUGAAUAGUACUGUAUACGUGAACAGUACCGUGUACGUGAAUAGUAUCCCUUACGUGAACAGUACCCAACUCUAAAAAAUACAAUAAAUAGCUCUGAUACCACUGUUAGGAAAUUGGUGGGUGAAGCAGGACCGCAGCUAAUAUGAAAUUGGAAGAAAAUAAAGAACAAGGACAAAAAGAGGAUACCAGAAAUUACGUGGUUCGGCUUUUAACCUACGUCCACGGGCGAAAACAGAAGGAAAUAUUUUACUCGUAAAAAGGAGUUACAAGUAUUGUAGUAUUUUAGCUCACUUUCCAAAAUCCCAAUACACCCAAACUCUCAAAACACUAAAACAAGAGCUUAUAAUUUCAAGCUCUCUAAACUCUCUCUAAAUACAAGAAAACUCUUCUCAAAAUUGGAUAAGCAAAUGAGGGAAUGAGCCCCUCUAUUUAUAGCCAAAAUCUUGGCUACUAUUCACUUUUUUUUAAAAAUUAUUUAUUAUUGUUCAAAAUUUCAACAUUCAAAGUUUGAUAUUCAAACUUUGAAUAUCUAGAAUUUUGAAUUUGAUAUUCAAAGUUUGAAUAUCUAGAAGUUUGAAUUUGAUAUUCAAAGUUUGAAUAUCAAGACACCCAAUCUUGACACUAAAUUCACCAGACUGACAACUGGGGCAUAUAGAAGAGCGAAAUAACUGGGACAUAUACAAGAGUGAAAUGUUUAGAGCACGCUAAGUUCGAGUGAAAGAGAUUAAUUUACGGAAACUGAAGCCAAGAGAAUAAAGGACAACACUUACGUGAAGCGACAUAAUUGUAUUGAAAGCACAAUGUCAAAUUCAUACGGAGAUCUAGUAUAUUAUUUACAGCUGGUGAGGGCUAAGAAUUGAUGUAGCUAGAAUACAAAGACGAUAAGGUAUGUUGUGCACUAUUGUUUUAUUCUACGAUCAAUCUUGACCCUUGAUGCUUGGCUCUCAAUCUUGUCCAUUGAUCUUCUUUGAUUUUGGACACUUCAAGACCUUUCAGUAUCAUUCCUUGUUGUUGGUGUCUUCCGUGCUGUAGAAUUCAUAUACAAGCCUUCCCGCCGACUUGCCAAGUAUUCGUUCAUUGAUGCAUUUUUAUCAAACAGCUGGGCUACUUAUGCCAAACACCGCCUGGUUUAACUCCCCCUCUCUAGCUCAACUAUCUGGGAAGACAAUUAAUUGAGAUAUGAAUCAGAAAAUUAAAUUUUAAAAAUUGUAUUCGGACUCUACAUUUUGUAAUGAACAUUGGUUUGACUUGUUAUACAUUUAUGCGUACAUAAUUAAUAACCGAUUCUCAAGUGCGGACAUUCAAGAGCACUGCUUAAAGACCAAAUAUUUUGAUUUACUAUUUUUUGUCUUUCAAUUUUCUUUUAAGUUCUGAUGACGUCCGCAUUUUAAAAUCCUGUGGAACAAAGGCCUGACGUGCAUAUAAAAUUCUUUUAUUUUUUCAGAGGAAAAUGGGUUAGAGAAGAAGAUUUGGCAAAAGAAUUGCAACGGCAUUUGAAACUAGUCUUCGUCUUUUAAUUCUUUUAUAUUUGUUUUUGUUAUUGAUGUUAGCUUGGAUGUGAACCCGUGUGACUGAAUUCAACUUAUAUUUGUUUUUGUUAUUGUUAUUAAUUUUAUUUGUUUUUGUUAAAUUGGACCACCAACAAGGGCGGUCCAUUAUCAAAUCAACACGGUUUAAUUAUUAUUAUUUCUACACUUUUUUUAUGAACAAAUAUAAAAUAAAAGGACAUUUACACCCUCAAUUUUAGUGAAAUAGUCAUUAACACCCCUAAAUUUUUAAAAGUAGACAUCAAGAUCAUUUUUUUACCUUAAUACUCUUAUACGGUACCUCUAUUAUUCCCAAAAAUUGAUUCUAAUGUUUUAUAAUAAAUAAAAAUAAAACAUUAAAAUAAAUGUAAUAACAUAUAUAUUUUAAAAUAAUUUCAAUAUUUAAAAAAUAUUUUUAACAUUUUACAAUCUAUUAACUAUAUUUUAUUAUAUUGAAGUAAAUUUUAUAAUAAAUAGAAUCAUAUUAUUAAAAUAAAUGUAUUAAAAUUUAAAUGAUUUUGAAUAUCAUGUACAAUAAUAAUUUUAACAUUACUAAUAUGUCAGAUUUUUUUUUAAGAAUGUAUUUAGUGCAAAUAUUUCUUUCAAAUCUCCACAAUAAAUAAAAGAUUAAAAUAAAUAUAAUAAUUUACAUAUCUAAAUUUAUUAAAAUAUUUUAAUAUUGUUAGUCUACUGCAUAGAUCACAAUAUUUAUAUAAUAUUUGUAUUUAUUAAAAACUUUAAAAUCAAUUCUUUUGAGAAUAAUAGAGGUAAAGGGUAUAAUGGUCAAAAUGGGGACUUUGUACUCCUUUUUGAAAACUUGAAGGUGUUGGUGGCUAUUUUUCCAAACCUUCAGGGUGUAGAUGUCAUUUUUCCACAAAUAUAUGAGAAAAUUAUCAAGAAAUACAGUAUCUGAACUCUGAAGUAACAAGGAUCACCUUUUAUGAAAUCGAUUGCUUUUCAUGAUAGACUGUUACUAUUUUUCUACAAUAGAUUGAAUUUAGUAAAAAAUUGAUUAAGAUGUCUACUCAUGGAGAGUGAAAUUUAUGUUCAAUACUAAUUUCAACAUGCAUGCACCACCGAACGUGUUUCUCACGGAAAAGUUGCUUGGAUUUUUGGGACUUCCUGUUCAAAUAUUCAACACGGCAUGCACCACGCGAUUGAACAUGCAAAAGUAGGGGUCUAUUAUCAUUUCCAGCAUUAUAGAAAUCUUAAUUUUGUUCAUUAUUUAUUUUGAUCAGCACUGUUGAAUCUCCAUGUAUUGCCAAUCACUGGGAAACAACAUAUUCUUAUUAAUUAUAUCCUCUAAUGGAGAGAACUCAUUGUCUCAGUGUAAGAUCACUGUGUCAUUAACCCACAGCCUGCUGAUUUGCUUGGUUGCUGCAGCAAGCAAAAAUAUUACCACAGAUCAAAAAGCUCUUCUUGCCCCAAAAGAUCACAUAACUUAUGCUCCAACCAAUCUUUUGACCGAAAAUUGGACCUCAAAUACCUCUGUUUGUACGGGGAUUAGCAUCACUUGUGAUGUCAAUAGCCGCAGCCUUGGAUAUUUCUCAAUUCAAUCUACAAGGCACCAUUAUUCCAAACACAACUGGUAAUUUAAGAAACCUUAAGUGGCUCGGCUUGGCUUAUAAACUACUUGACAUCUUCAACUUCAAAAUUGAGCUUUCUUUCCUCUUUGGCAAAUUGCAAAAAAUUAAGAAUCUUAGGCUUACUGGAAAUCCACUUGACCGUAUCCUCUCACGUUCAAUAGGUAAUCUUUCUAUGUCUUAGGAAAGAUUUCACGUCGCCAAUUGCAGCAUUAGUGGCAGAAUUCCUCAAGUAAUCAGCAAUUUAAGCAACUUGUUGGCAGUUGUGCAAAAUUUUAAUAUACUCGCAAGUGCACGAAUCUAGAAAUAGAAUAAUGGUAAUGAGGUCAAACCCAUAGGGAUUGUUUUAAAAUGACAAAAGAAUAGCUGCUGGUCUAGAGGUGGCUUACUACAUUCAUACAAGAUCGUUUCUUGUUCUCUAAGAUGUGCAUUAUACUAAUAAUGCUAUACAAACUUAUCCAAAGGUCUAUUAAUUAAUUCAUUAAUCCAACGGCUUGUUAGGUUGUCCUUUCAUCCAUACAGCUGCAUGCUUGUCUUCAUAUACACUGAUCUUAUCCUCUAGAUCUGUUCAGGCUGAGUGAUCUCUCACAUUUGCCAUAUCAGAAGAUUACAUGCCAGUAAUGUCAUGUGAUGACCUGUUGCUUGGUGAUGUCGAAUGCCUGGCCUUUACUUCUCUGAGCAAAUUGAUCAAACAAUUUGUUCAUUUUAUCGAACACCUUCACCAACUAACAUUUUAUUUACUUUGGAUGGUUUUUAAGUGCAUUUAAUGAUUAUUUUUGCUCCAACUUCAGAUAAACCAAACGCCAGUAUAUUAGAAGAAGAAGUUAACUGGCAGCUAACCAGGUCAAAAUAGCGACUCUAUAUAAAAAAAAUAUAUAAAAUAAAAAAAUGGGACUUUAUUUAAUUAAUUGUUGGUCUAAAGCUGUUGGUAUCCGUUGGCCACGUUUCUGAAGAGUCAUCUCAAAUCGAAAUUUUUAACGAACAAAGGACAUUGCUGCUGGCUGCCGCCCGUGAGAUAAAAGUGCUAAAAUCCAAAAUGUUCCACCAUCAUUUAUUCUAAUUUUAAUUUUCCAAUGGAAAAAAUUACAUAAUUAAAAUGGCUUCUAAUAUCAUUUCCACACCUCAAUAUGUGUCACUAUCAUAAAGUUGUUCUCAUGAUUCAUGGAAAAUUUGGAUUACAGCACCUGUACUUUCUGAUGGUUCAUUAUUUAUUCUCAGGAAUCGAGUCUCCUUACAUUACCAAACUAAUAACAAACAGGAAUCUUUUAUCCUUUCACGGUGAGAAAUUACAGUCUUCGUAUGAUCGCAGUGCCAUUAACCCACUGCCUGCUUCUUUACUUGGUUGUUGCAGUAGCAGCAGCAAGCUACAUUACCACAGACCAACAAGCUCUUCUUGCCCUGAAAGCUCAUAUAAGUUAUGAUCCAACUAAUCUUUUGGCUCAAAAUUGGACCUCAAAUACCUCUGUUUGUAACUGGAUAGGCAUUACUUGUAAUGUCAAUAGCCAUAGAGUUACAGCAUUUGGAUGAAUUUUUAUUGAAACCUUUCUGAGAAGUAGGACAUGUCAGACAUCAAAGCACUGAGAUAUCUUCAAAUAGUGGUAACCCCACUCAUCAAGGCACAAUAAAUUAUACAGAUAAAAUCCUCCACUCUUUCGUAAUCAUCGGUGUAGGCACGGUGAUGCGUCGGACAGAUAUGGGUCGGAUCCACUCCAGCUCCAUAUCAAGAUUCAUAAACCAUGACAAAAAUAGAGAAUCAUAGGUGUUGCAGAUAGUGAUGGUUGUUGAUGCACUCGUAAUUUAAAAUUUUAUUUUAUAUCUUCAAGUUCGCAUUUUAAGUGUACAUUUUUUUUUUAUUUUGUGAUCAAUAUAACUUGUCAAAUCUAUUUUUAAAUAAUUUUUUAAAACAUUUUAUUAACAAUGAUAUGAAAAUAUUCGACCCCUUUUCAUAGUAAAGUGAAUUAUUAUCCGACAAUCCAACUCAUGUUUUCAAAUUGUAAAUUGCAAAUCGUGUGUUUGCUCCUGUUAGAGUGCAAUUUAUGCACUAGUUUUGCAUUGUUUACUUCCCUUAAUAUCGAUGUUUUGCACUUAAUAAUAAUGAUUUACUUGUGUUUUACUUUUGUAGGUGCAAUUCUAUUGAUUUGUGAUAAAAUUGAGCUAUAAGAUGAUGUUUAAAGAUGAUUGUUCUCUUGGAGAAAUGAUGAGCGUCAGAAGAACUUUGUUGAUAAGGCGUGAGCGCGUGCUGUCAACUACGGGCCUGCUGUUUUUAGUUUAACGUGUUUUGUAUUUUUGGUUAUUUUUGUAAUUACGAAUUUAAUAUUUCAGAUAUUAGUAUUUUAUUUUAAAUAGAAUUCUAGAGGAGAAGAGAGAGAGAGUAUUUAAGGGAGGAAUCUAUUGUGAAAAAAGGGGAUUUUGGAUUGGAGGAAAAGAAAAGAAACCCUAGAUCUAAUUUUUCUCUUCUCUCUAUGAAGAACUAAACUUAUUUUUCUGGUUGAAGGAUAAUGAAGCUUUGAUUCAUCACUACUGUGAGAUCUUUCUUGUGCUUUAAUUGUUUUAUUGCUUUUUGGGUAUUUGUUUAUUCUCUGAAUUAUUUUCAUGAUUAUGUUUGUUAAUUAGAUAAUUGGCCACUAUUUAAUUAUCAACUUAAUCUAUUGUUAAUUAAAGGAUUUAUCGUAUGAAGAAUUUAAUGUUUGUGACAAAUAACAUAGCAGAGAGUUGUGUUGUGAGAAUAAACAAUCUAAUUUAAAUGAAUCAUCAUAUGUGUUGAUUAGGAUUUAGGUCUCUCUGGUUUUUCAGGCUGUCAAUUGAUUAAAUCCUAUGAUCGUAUCUAGGGUUGUCCAUUGAUUAGGGAAAUAUCCAACGGUCGUACCUUGGUUAUCGACUAAUUAAGGAGAGAUUGGCUAUUAGAGGGUCUCAGUAGCUAUAACCGGUCUAUUCAUAAGUAAUAAUAAUUUAUAUUUGAAUCAAUGAUCAGUAGUCGAAUCAAGCUGAGUUAAUUCCUUCAACCGGAGCUUUCUCCAAUUUGAAUUACAACUUUAAUUUGCAUUCUUGUUAUUUUAAUUUGAUUUUUAUUAUUGUCAACAAUUCCCCCAUUUUACGUUUUACGUUUCAAAAGGAUUUAAAUAAUUACCGAUCUCUGUGGACACGACCCUGCUCAAUCACUAUACACAAUUUAUUUAGAGUAGGAAUUUAUUUUUGUUGGCUUCGACAACCAUCAAAUUUUGGCACUGUUGCCGGGGAUUGGUGUCAUUUAUUUAAUCCUUUUUACGUUUUACUUGGUGUAUGAUUCGUUCUUCUCGUACAGGUACACUUUCGUUUGAUCCUGAAAUUGAGAAGAUAGCUCGCCACCUGAGACAGCAGACGAAGCGAGCUAAGCAACGAUCCUCGUCACCUUUGCUUUCUGAAACAGAUACGGUGCUUGAUUUAGUUGAAUCAUCUAGCGAUUCGGAAGAACAAGUGAUGGAUAGAGUUGCACCUGUAGAAAGAACUCUUAGAGAGUUAGCUGAACCAGACUUGAAUCAACAACCACUCUGCAUUCAAUAUGUAGACUUGGAGGUAAAUUUUGAAUUAAAGUCUGGUCUUAUUCAUUUAUUACCCAAGUUUCGUGGUUUUGCAGGUGAAGAUCCUCAUAAACAUCUUAAGGAGUUUCAUGUUGUGUGUUCAAGUAUGAGGCCACAAGGCGUGACUGAAGAGCAGAUUAAGCUGCGUGCUUUUCCGUUCUCUGUAGAUGGGCUAGCUAAAGACUGGUUGUACUACUUGCCUCCUGGAUCGAUUACAACGUGGAAUGGUUUGAAGAAGCAAUUCCUCGAGAAGUACUUUCCUACUUCAAGAGCUGCCAACAUCAGAAAAGAUAUUUGUGGGAUCAGACAACUUCCUGGGGAGACUUUGUAUGAGUAUUGGGAGCGAUUUAAACAAUUGUGUGCCAGCUGUCCUCAGCAUCAGAUUUCUGAUCAACUUCUUAUUCAAUAUUUUUACGAAGGACUGUCAUUGAUGGAUAGGAGUAUGAUAGAUGCUGCUAGUGGAGGCGUGUUGGUGAACAAGACCCCUACUCAAGCAAGGGAGCUGAUAUCAAAUAUGGCUGCCAAUGCACAACAAUUUGGCAGCAGGCAAGAUCCCACUUCAAGGAAGGUAAAUGAGGUAAAUAUUUCUUCUGUUGAACAACGUUUAGAUAAACUUACUUCUCUUGUGGAAAAGUUUGUUGUAGGUAAUGUGCAACAUAUGAAGACUUGUGGCAUUUGUUACAAUAUGGGUCAUUCAAUUGAUAUGUGUCCUACACUUCAAGAAGAACCCGUUGAACAAGCCAAUGCAAUUCAAGGAUUUCCAGGCAUGCCUCAGAGGAGGUAUGAUCCUUAUGCACAAACAUACAAUCCGGGAUGGAAGGAUCAUCCCAACUUCAGCUAUGGAGUUAGGCCGUCAGGAUUCCCACAACAGUAUCCACCAAGACAACCAGCACCUCCACAGUCAAACUCCAAGUCAGGUAUAUCUCUUGAAGAAAUUGUUAAAUCACUUGCGACUAACACUCAACAAUUUCAGCAGGCAACUACAGCAAGCAUUCAGAAUUUGGAGAACCAAAUGAGUCAAUUGGCGAUUACAGUGAGCCGUCUGGAGUCUCAAGUAUUAGGGAGAUUGCCUUCACAAUCUGAGGUGAAUCCAAAGCAAAACAUUAGUGCUGUCAUCCUUAGAAGUGGGAAGGAGUUGCAAGAGCCUAGUAAGAAAGUGACAAAGCAUGUAGAAGAUGAGUUUGAGAAGAAUGAAUUGAUGCCUCAAUCUCAAGAUGUGGAACCCACCAGAGCGAAACCCCUACCUAUUGUGAUACCUCCUCCUUUUCCAAGCCGGUUUGCAAAAUCCAAGAAGGAGGAACAAGAGAAAGACAUCCUUGAGACAUUUCGCAAGGUUGAGGUAAAUAUUCCUUUAUUAGAUGCUAUAAAACAAAUACCUCGAUAUGCUAAAGUCCUUAAGGAACUGUGCACCUCCAAGAGAAAAUUAAGAGGAGAUGAAAAAGUUCACAUGGGGGAGAAUGUUUCAGCAGUUCUCCAAAAGAAACUACCUCCUAAGUGCAAGGAUCCAUGUAUGUUUACUAUCCCUUGUAAAAUUGGUAGUGUUAGAAUUGAAAAGGCUUUGUUAGAUCUAGGAGCUGCUAUUAAUGUCAUGCCUCGUUCCAUUUAUUCAUCUUUAAAUUUGGUCCAUUAAAAGAAACUGGCGUGAUAAUUCAACUAGCUGAUAGGUCUAAUGCAUAUCCUGAUGGGGUAUUAGAAGAUGUCUUAGUACAAGUUAAUGAGUUGGUUUUUCCUGCUGAUUUUUAUGUACUUGAUAUGGAAGAGGAUAACUCCUCUAAUUCUGUCCCAAUUUUGCUAGGAAGACCUUUUCUUAAGACUGCUAGGACUAAAAUGGAUGUACAUAAAGGGACUCUUACUAUGGAGUUUGAUGGAGAGGUUAUAGAAUUCAAUAUGAAUGAUGCCAUGAAAUAUCAUAGUGAGGAACAUUCGGUAUUUUCUGUAGAUGUUAUUAACCCGAUAGUGCAGGAAGUUAUUUACAAGGAAAAAACGACGACAUUUCAUGAUAGAAUGAUUUUGUGAAAGGAGUUCUCUGUUGGUCAAAAAGUUCUUCUUUUUCAUUCUAAGCUUAAACUUUUUUCGGGUAAAUUACGUUCUUGCUGGGUUGGACCUUUUAUUGUUACUAAUAUUUUUCCUCAUGGUGCAGUUGAGAUUCGGAGUCCGACCUCUGACAAAGUUUCUAAGGUUAAUGGUCAUCGCUUAAAACCUUUUUAUGAAGGUUUUUCGGUGAAUAUUGUGGAGGAUGUGGCUCUCGAGAGUCCCAAUUAUGGAGAUUGAUGCAUAAAUGUGUCUAGCCAAAGACAUAAAACAAAGGCGCUUUUUGGGAGGCAACCCAAAUGAUUUAUUUAUUUUGGUUUUUGUUAUAUCUUCUUUUAAUUUUGAUUCUUUUUUUUUUUAAUGUGUUUGCUUAUUUUGGUCAGAAUAAAAUUUUUGAUAAGGCGUGUCCACGUCUUAACUAAUAAGUACUUCUGUGAUUUUUAAAGUAAAAUGGUUUUAAGGUGUGCCCACGUGCUUAUUAAAAAAGUGCAUCUGAAAUUUUUGUUGUCUCAAAGUGAUUCAUCACAAAAAUAAAAAAAAAAUUAUUUAUUUAUUAUUUUUUUUUCUAUUUAUUUUUUUUUAAAAAAACGAAAAAAAAAGGAGAUUUUCUUUUGUUCUUUCUUUUAUAUAUUUAUUUAUUUAUUUAUAAAAAAAAUUCAAAAAAUCACUGUUAAAAAAAAAAAUUUACUGUUCAUAAAAUCCCUAAUUUUCCAGAACUUGUUUUCUUCUCCAACCGCUUGCAGCACACCAGCAGCAAAGCAGCCCGCCGGAAAACGCACCACCCCGCGCGCGCAGCACCAGCAUCGAGCACCAUCCCGCGAGCGCAGCACCAGCAUUCUGUGUCUCGCAGCCCAGCAGCGCGCAACGAAGUCCCACCAGCGCGCAACGCAGCCUCACCAGCGCGCAACGCAGCCCCAACGCACAGCAAACGAGCACGCCCCGCAACGCAGAUCCGCAGCUCUAGCCCGCCCGCGCAGCGCAAAUCAAUCCAGCCAUCACCAUCGCGCAGCGCAUCGGUCCCGCGCGCGCAACGCAACGCAGCAUCAGCAUCCCACGUCCAGCGAGCAGCAACCCGCGCGCGCAGAUCUAGUCUUCGCCCAGCAGCGCGCAGAACCAGCGUCAGCCUAGCUCUCGCGCGCAACACAGCCCACGCAGCACGCAGAUCUAGUAGCCCCAGCGCGCGCGCACAACACAAUCAGCGCCAUCCCGCGUCCAUCAAGCAAGCUCCAGCCGAGCAGCAAUCGCAACGCAACCAACGUACGACCUAUAUUCCAGCUGGAUAAAUCGAAAUCCGUGAGUGCAAUUAUUGUAACAAUGCCGAAGAGAAAAGCAUCAACUUCCAAGUCAUCUAAAAAGACACCCGUCGCAAAUAAAUCCAAGAUUGCCGGUCCCACUACGGUUCCUUGGAACACAAUUUCAGAUUCACGCCAAGCCGUGAGACAAAGCUCGAAACAUGGAAAAGGCAUGAGUGUUUUGCCACUUGCAGAAUCCAAUCUUGGAGGGUGCCUCGCAUUCGCGACUCAACAAGAGAAAGAGAGGUACAAAGAUAUUUUCACGCACAAAAUACUUCCAGCUAAGUAUAUUCCUUACCUGACUCUUGAAAAAUUGAAUGUUAAGGAUAAUUUUGAUUCUUUGAUAGAUAAGAUUGGGUUGCGUAAGUUUGUUGAUGUUGAUUGUUUGGGUUAUGUUGAGUUGAUUAGGGAGUUUUAUGCUACUUUUCAAUUUAAUAUGUCGAAUGAUUUUACUUUGCAUACCCCGGAUGUCAUAAAGUUUAGGUUAAUGGGACGAAAUUUUUCACACUCUAUCACGGAUUUUAACCUAGCUUUAGGAUUCAUUGAUGAUGAUUAUUCUUCUAGUGAUGCAUAUUUAGGAACAACUUGUGACUUUAGCGAAAAUUUUGAGCCUUAUGGUCUUUGCCGUAAUUUAUCUGUUGAUCACAAUGCUUAUGACCCAAGUAAAUCAAAGAGUUCUUUCUUACGUGAUCCUGUUUUGAAAUGUGUGCAUCGAUUCUUAGCAUAUAAAUUUUUAGGCAAGAAAGAUCACUCAGGAGUUUUCUCUAAAACUGAAUUUUAUUUUAUCUGGUGCAUGUUAAAUGAUGUGAGGCCUAAUUUAGGUUUUUGGUUAGCGGAUUAAUUUCAAAGUGUGCUUAAACGGUAUAUGACUUUAUUUCUUGGUCCAUACAUUACUCUGUUAGCUGUAAACCUACCUAUGUGUGCUUGAUCUUGACAAUAAUGAUUUGCAUCUUGCUUGAUUUUUGGAUAUGUCUGAGUUUGAAAGAACAGGUGUGGUCGAAUUCAAGGAGGGGAGAUUUCAGUUUACUGAACCAGCACCCACUCAACCUCCGAAGAAGCUUUAUGCUAGAAGUGGUGCUACCUCUGAUGACGAGUUUGACGACGACACUGCUGCCCCGCCAACUAUUCCUUCUACAUCCGCACCACCUUUGAGCAUUCAGUUAGAGAAAAUGGAGCACAAGCUGCACAAGAUGGAGCAGAAUUUGGCCGCACACUUCGAGAGUGUGGGAUUUACCCCACCAUUUCCGCCAAGCCCAUAGACGUUAUGUGGAUCAAAGUUCACAAUUCAGGGAAGUUUCUUUUUGCCCUUAAUCUUUUAUCCUUACGCUUUAAUUUUUGUGUGAGCUUUGAUUAUCUUACAUUGGGGACAAUGUAAGUUCUUGGUGUGGGGGAGGGAUUUUUGCAUUAUUGAUGUCUGAAAUUAUUGUUUUCACUCUACUCAUCCUUAAAUGAUUUUGGAGUUAGUAUGCUUUAUAUAUUAUUAAUUUUCUUUUCCUUUCUCUCUCACUACUCUUUUCCCAUCUAUCUCAAAUUAUUUACAUCUAUUUUUUUUUCUAUCAUACUCUUUCAUCACUCACAUUUUAUCUUUCAUUUUUUUUACUACAUACAUCUUUCUCGCUUAUUAUCCUUUUUACCUUUCCUUUUAUAUCUCACUCAUACCUUCUUCUCAUUCUACACCACUAUUGAUGGUUGAUUCGUUUGAAGAGUGUACAGGAUUUGAUGGCAAAUUUACCAACUUUGUGAGGAUUUAAGCCUAUGAGCAACCACUUUGCUCUAAUUAUUUUUUGUUAUGUGAAUAUCAAUCCUAGUUUGUUUAUUCUAGAACUUGCUUUGUUAUGCAUGUUGAAGCCACAUUACGGGAUUUUAUGCAUUAAAAUGAUAAGGGCAAACCCUUUUCUAUUUUUCUAUUCUCCCAUUUUUUUUUCUCUAUCCGAAGACCUUUAUUUGCUAUCUUGGUUUGAGCCUUAACCAUUACCCAUCUAAUUCUCUCCGUCUACUUAACCAUUUUUCUUCUUUUUGAGCCUCAAUUUAAUGAGAUUUUUUUUGGACUCAUUGUGUGGAUAUAUUUUGUUGCUUUUUCUACCUUGUAUUAAAGUUUCUCAAUUAGAUCAACAAGCAUUAUGCUUGAAUUGAAUUGUGCAAGGUUCGUUUCUUUUGUUUGAUUCAAAAACAAAAAAAAAAAGAAAAAGAAAAAGAAAAAGAAAAAUCGAAAAAAAAAGAAAAAAAAUGUUUACAUUCUUGGUGACAUGAGUAGAAAUAAGCAUUUUGAUAUCAUAAGUUCAUUCAAUGAGUUCAUUCUUCUCAUUUUGAUCUCUUUUUCUUUCGUAAACCUUUCUUUUUCAUUCAACCUAUUUAACCCCAUUACAACCCUUUUAAGACCCUUAGAUUUUUGCAUUUUAUUCAUGUUUUGUGGAUUGAGAUGUGAUAUAUGAGCAAGCUUAUGGUAAUAGCAUUCUUUGAUUUGAUUUGAGUGAAUAAAUGACACCCUAAAUACUUUGAGUGCAUGGAGUGAAGUUAUUGAGAGGGCUAUUAAAUAUUGUUGCACUUGAAUUUUGAAUGGAUCUUCUUGGUGGUUGAAUGUUCUUAUUCUAUCUUAUGAAAUUCUAUGCUUUAAAAUCCUUGUCUCUAGAAUGUUGAUCGACUUAAUUUCUUGAGGUAUGCUUGCCUAAAAUUGUUUUUGGAUGAGUUGAGAUGAGAAUUGAGUGGAACUUUGGGAUUAAUCUUGAGUUAUAUGCUUGAGGACAAGCAUCAUCUUGGUGUGGGGGAAUUUGUUAGAGUGCAAUUUAUGCACUAGUUUUGCAUUGUUUACUUCCCUUAAUAUCGAUGUUUUGCACUUAAUAAUAAUGAUUUACUUGUGUUUUACUUUUGUUGGUGCAAUUCUAUUUAUUUGUGAUAAAAUUGAGCUAUAAGAUGAUGUUUAAAGAUGAUUGUUCUCUUGGAGAAAUUAUGAGCAUCAGAAGAACUUUGUUGAUAAGGCGUGGGCGCGUGCUGUCAACUACGGACCUGCAGUUUUUAGUUUAACGUGUUUUGUAUUUUUGGUUAUUUUUGUAAUUAUGAAUUUAAUAUUUCAGAUAUUAGUAUUUUAUUUUAAAUAGAAUUCUAGAGGAGAAGAGAGAGAGAGUAUUUAAGGGAGGAAUCUAUUGUGAAAAAAAGGGAUUUUGGAUUGGAGGAAAAGAAAAGAAACCCUAGAUCUAAUUUUUCUCUUCUCUCUAUGAAGAACUAAACUUAUUUUUCUGGUUGAAGGAUAAUGAAGCUUUGAUUCAUCACUACUGUGAGAUCUUUCUUGUGCUUUAAUUGUUUUAUUGCUUUUUGGGUAUUUGUUUAUUCUCUGAAUUAUUUUCAUGAUUAUGUUUGUUAAUUAGAUAAUUGGGCACUAUUUAAUUAUCAACUUAAUCUAUUGUUAAUUAAAGGAUUCAUCGUAUGAAGAAUUUAAUGUUUGUGACAAAUAACAUAGCAGAGAAUUGUGUUGUGAGAAUAAACAAUCUAAUUUAAAUGAAUCAUCAUAUGUGUUGAUUAGGAUUUGGGUCUCUCUGGUUUUUCAGGCUGUCAAUUGAUUAAAUCCUAUGAUCGUAUCUAGGGUUGUCUAUUGAUUAGGGAAAUAUCCAAUGGUCGUACCUUGGUUAUCGACUAAUUAAGGAGAGAUUGGCUAUUAGAGGGUCUCAGUAGCUAUAACCGGUCUAUUCAUAAGUAAUAAUAAUUUAUAUUUGAAUCAAUGAUCAGUAGUCGAAUCAAGCUGAGUUAAUUCCUUCAACCAGAGCUUUCUCCAAUUUGAAUUACAACUUUAAUUUGCAUUCUUGUUAUUUUAAUUUGAUUUUUAUUAUUAUCAACAAUUCUCCCAUUUUACGUUUUACGUUUCAAAAGGAUUUAAAUAAUUACCGAUCUCUGUGGACACGACCCUGCUCAAUCACUAUACACAAUUUAUUUAGAGUAGGAAUUUAUUUUUGUUGGCUUCGACAACCAUCAGCUCCAUUACAGAGUUUCAUCAAUUUGAAAUAGAGAAUCAUUUGUGUUCUAGAUUAAUCGAGGGUCUAUAUCCAAAUCUAAAAAUUGACUAACUUGGUUUCUAUUAAAUUCUUAAUCCUAACAAGAAAAAUAGAAGAUUAAAAAUGACUAAUUUGGUUUCUAUUAAUUUGAGUAACGAUCGAAUUACCUCAUUUAUUAAGAUUUAUCAAAAUCCUAUGUCAAAAUCCAUUAAUAAUAUAGGUUGGAUGAUGAAAUAGUCACUUAUUAUUAUUUUUGACUUCAUAAAUAGAUGAACGGAUGUUAUUUUUGGAUUCUGGAGAAUCCAAAAUAUCAGGAUAUGUGAUAAAUGGAAUUAAGUUGUAGAUAAGAUAGAAAUGGAUUUGGAGAGAGAUUGGAAUCCUGGGUAAUCCGGUGUACGUUGUUGUGUUGAAUGCUCGUUGACUUCACGUUGACUGACACAUUAUUGGAAGAAGUGAGCAAGCUUAUUUUCUUCUCUCAUUUUUAAAUUUGUCUAAGUUUAUUGAUGUGAGGCCUUUGAGAUUGUAAGUUUCAAAUCUGAGAAGAAUAACCACACACCCAUUAAUAAAUUUGUGAGGAUUGUGAGGGUUGAUGCAAUAUAAUUUAGAUGCAAAGUGUUUACAAGUACGAUGCUUCAUAAGUGUUCUUCAAUCAUUAUAAACUCACGUUAUUUUUAUAAUGAUUGUUUCAUCUGCACAUGGAUAUAAUCAUAUGUUGAGAUUUUUUCCUAAAUUAUGGUCUUAUUUGGUAUUGAGGUGUUAGAUCUUUUAAGAUACAAUUACUAUUGGAAAAAAUAGUGCAACUAUGAAAUAAAAGUUAAUAUUGUGUACUAAUUAUAAUUGUUAAAUAAUAAUUUUGACAAAAUUAGUGAAGAUAUAUAGUUUUUUUUUUAUCAUAUAAGUAUAAAAUCAAAUCAACUUAACUUCUAAACUAUAUAGCAGCUACUGCUUACCAAAUAUUUUAGUGCUGUAGCUUUUAAGUUAUAACUGCCUAACCUCAGUCUCAAACAAUGGCUAUAAAGAUCAAAGAUUUCCUCAUAAAAAUUAUACGUCUUGUGAUUGCUUAUUUAAUUUAUAUUUUUUUAUUUAUCUUUAUUAAUUACAAUCAUCUUUUAAUAAAUUACAAUUGGAGGAAGUUGAUGUUCGAAGUGCUUAUGUCGACUCGAAGUUGUUGGGAAUUAAUGCAUGUAUUGAUUUAUUGGGAGUGUUUAAAUGAUUUUGUGAUUUACUUGAUUGAUUGAUUGAAUAUUGUUUGAUUACUUUGUAUCCAUUCUAGAAAGUUUAUUUCUUUGUGAAAUUUCGACAAAAUAUGUUUUUCUUUUUAAAUAAUAAGGGUGUUUUAAGUAAUUUUUAAAAAUAAAUGGACUAACUAGAAUUAAUUAUUAGGUAACUAACUCGAACUGUACAAGGUAAGCGAACAUUUAUGCUGAUUAUAUCAUGAUAAAUCAUUUUCCGAUUAGAAUUAGGAAACCAUUAGCAUAUUGACUUUUUUUUUUUUUUUUUUCAAUCUCCCUUUGCGAAAACGGAUUACAGAAUUAGAAAACAAUCCUAAUGAUAUUAUUGUUAGGUUUAAAACACGGCAUAGAUAGUCAAAAGCUAACUAGUCUGCAGUAAUUUGUUAAUUGCUAUCGCCUCUCCAUGCGUGGUGAAUAAUUUGUUGCAUGCAAACUUUUUCCAUUUUAAAUAAACACAACGCGAUGUUUAUCUGCUCCGCGUUUUGCAAUCUGUUUAUUCGUUGUUUAUUUGCUUCGUAAGUCCUCAAACUUUGAUAACCAAAAAUUUCACCAAACUAUGAAAAUUAUUCUGCAGGUUAGUUUUUAUUUUCGGAAUAAUUAUUUGAGAAUACUAAAACACAAUAUAAAAUAAGAAAAUAGGGGGUUAAAAUUUGAAAAAAAAAAACAAAAGGGCAUGUUGGAUAGAUUACUGUGGUUUAAGAAAAAAAAUUAUUCAGUUGGGAAUUUUUUUUCUUUAAUUUUUGUUUUACUUAAUUGAGAUUUCUCCUUAAUCCUUACAGUUUUAAAUUUGGAUAACAUAGGAUUAGUAAUUUAGUACUUCCUUUGCAAGCUGAGGUUAAGGAUGAAAUUCUUUUAAGAAAAAAAGAUAAAAGAGCAUAACAAUAGUCAAUUAUAAAUAACCACAAAUAAAUACAAACAAAAUGUUUAUGAAGUAAAUUAAAAAUGCACAUAUUAUUUUUUAUUUUAUUUCUUACUAAUCUGUGUAUUUGCUGCUUGAAAAACCAUAAAUACACAGAUGACCAUUGGCUUCGCACCAUUUAAUCGGGAUACAUUUCUACGUACAAACUGAACAAGGCUAUUGAUUUUUAUUUAUUUAUAAAUUACUAUUUCAAUUUUCACUUUUUAUUGGGUUGUUUAAUGGAUUAGUGAGGCUGGUGGUCGUUGAUGCACUCACAAGGUACAAUUUUGUUUUCAAAUUUCAAAUUCGUAUUUUAAAAUGCAGCACAUUAUGCAUACAUAAUUAUUGAUUUUCAUAUGUGGGUGUUUUGAAAUAUUGCUAAAAGGCCAAACUUUAAUAAACUAUUUUUGAUCCUUUUUUGUUUCUUUUUUCCUAAAGUUUGAGUGAUAUCCGCAUUUUUAAAAGCUAAUGUAUGCAAAAAAUUCUUUCAUUUUUCUGGGGAAAAUAGGUAAGAGAAAAAGUUUUGGCAAAUGAGCUGCAACUGAAUUCAAAACCAAUACGAUGCGAGCAUAGGAAAGAGGUCAGUGUUUUGGAUUUGAAUUUAAAGAGGUCAGUGUUUUGGAUUUGAAUUUAGUAUUGAGCUGAAUUUUAUGUUUAACACAUGAUUCUAUUAUAGUACUGCGAUUAAUAAGCUCAGCCCCGGAUUUGCUUUUGCUUUUGCUUUUACUUCAAGUGAAAGAAAGAGGAAACCUUUUGUUUUUUCUUUGGUUUUUGACUAUGUUACCUAUACAGAGAGUCAAGAUAUCAGCCAUAAGUGAUGGUGUUAAAAAGAUUAAGCAGCGCACACAAUCUUACUGCUGUCUAGACGAUCCAAUGAUGACUCCAGUCUUUUGGUUACAUUAGCUUUAGUUGAAAUAAGGGCCAAUUUAGCAAACACUAGCUUUGGUGGCUUAUUAUGUUUAAUGUAAUGCUUAUUCUUAAGGAAUCUAAUGUAUAUAAGAUGAUUGAAUGAUCUUCUAUGAUUGUGAGUAGUAUAGGAUAAUUGAAAAGAGUCUGGUGUUAAAGGCUUACAGUUUUAAGCCUUUUAAACCAUGCGAUUUUAAAGUUUUACCGGAUUUUCCCGCACUUUAAAAUUUUAGACUGAAACAUUUUUGUAUAUAUAUACAUAAAAAUAUAUAUAUAUAAAUAUAUAAAUUAAGAGGGAUGAGUUAACUGAAGAUUAUAAUCAUUACAACAAUGCUGAUGAGUGAUACAUCACUUGAAAUUUACUUGUCAGUUGCUGAAAUGAUGAAAAAAAAAAUAAACAAUAACAGUGAUAAUGUUCUCUUGCUGAAAUGACUUGUAUAUUAUACAAUCCACUCUACUUAAUGAUAUCGUUUUAAUAAAUGUUUGAUGAUCUCCAUUUAAAAACUACUUCAAUUUUUUUCUUCAUUUAAGUUUUUGGUUGUUGAAAAUAACCUUAAUUAUCAAAUAAUUGGAGAAAGAGUAAAGAACAUUUAACAAAUUUAUGUGCAAAAAAAAAAAAGGGAGAAGUUGAAGAGAAAGGGUGCUUGCAGAAGUAGGUGUCAAAGAUAAAUCGGUCCAUAGGAAUUAUUUUGGUUAUUUUUUAGCAAUAGAAAAAUUUUUUAGCAAGUAAAAAUUAAUUUUUUUCCGCUUUACUAAAAAAUUAACUAAAAACUUAUGCGAUAGCAUUUUUUAUGGGUGCAUAUACUUCCCUUUAAAAAAAAUAUAAUAAUUAAUGCUUAAUAUAGUAUUAAAUACGAAAAUAUCAAUAUUUGACUACUCAAAUGUAUAUCAUUAGGUCCUUAAAAUUUAAAAUUGAAGAUACAAAAGGUAAUAUAUAUAAAUUUCAUUCUCAUGGGAAAGGAUCAUCUUAUAAUCUUAUAAUAUUUGAGCUUUGAAAGAUUUUUUUGAAACAAAUGUACUUUUAUUUGUGUACAAUCAAUAUGUACUUAUUUAUUAUAUUUUUAUUUAUUAACUAUCAAUCAUGUGAGUAUAUUUAGUCAGAAAAAUUAUAUCAAGAGAGAACCCUAAUUUCACGUAAAGACAAAUACAAGACAAAUAUGGCAAUUUCUAUACUAUUCACUUUCCUGUAAAAUCAAUUAUCUAAAAUGCAAGUUUGUGGCUUCAAAAAACUCGCCAAAGAAAGAAGAUAAUAGCAAUUGAGCAUUGAUAGCAAAUCUAAUGCAUCCAAUUCUUCUUAACUUGAUGAGUGACGUGAAUGCUACCAGUCUGUGACACCCAAAUUUUUAUUAUUUUAUUUAUUUUUUUAAUGGAAUUUGUAAAUGACGUUUUUGCCCUUAUAAAAAGGGUUAUUCAUGGAAUAAUUUUUAGGAAAGGGUUAUUUUUCCAAAUUCAAUAGGGUUUCUUAAGACUCCCUAUAAAUUCAUAUUUUUCUCCUUUCAUAACCCUAAAAGCACGACGUUUCUUCUUUUUCUAUACUGCUCAUUACACUCUUACCCAAACCCUAAGAUUCAAACCUUUGGUUAAGAGAGAAUCAAAGCGAUUGGUAAGUUUAUUCCCCUUAUUCUCUACAAGAUUCCCAAUCACUCUAUCUAGGGUCUAUAUUGGCAUGAUUUUAGAUUGUUAUAGAUCAUAAUACAUGAUUUAGAAUGUGUUUAGGCUUUGUUUAGAGUUUUGAUUUAUUAUGAGUUUAGUUAAUCAACCUUGACGUAUUAAGCACAUAGAAUAGUUCCAUAGAAUAUUAUGUUAUUCUAAGUUUUAGAUUAAGAGUUAAAAUUCUAAGCAUCAGACUUGUACGGGUACGAAUUAGAAAAAUCGGGUUCUUAGAAUAAGUUAUUAAUUGUCAUAUCUUGUAUUUGUUUAAGGUGAUUGAGGCUCUUAGAGGGUUAGAGGUGUGUUAAUUCAAAUUCUUUUGUCGAGGUAAGUAACUUCAUUCCUAAUGUACUGGAUAUAUAUAUAUAUAUAUGAUUAUUUUGAUAUUAUUAUAAGUACACAAAUUUUUUUACUACUUAGAAGAUUAAUUGAUUUUCAUAACAAAAUCAGUUUGUGUAAAUGUUUUCAAACCUAAAUUCCUUUUAAUAAAUUAUUUUGUAAAGGCUUUUAAAUAUGUAAGUUAUUUUAUGACAUGACUACCUUUUAUAAUUUUGUCUAUGAAAUAUUUGCAAGCCUAAAUUGUGGUUAUGGACUUUCAUGAAACUAAUACGAAUGUUUUGUACCUAUGUAUGAUUUCAAUUAUUUAUGAUUGUACGGGGGCCACCUCUUGGGACUAUAUGGGGGCCACCUCUUGAAAUUCAAAGCAUCACAAAAGUGCCACGUAUAAGUCAUUAUGUUUUGGCUCAUUAUCUGUAGUUAUUCUGAUUCUGAUUCUGAUGGUAUAAUACAAUAUAUGUCUGUUCUGGACCAGUACUAGGUUUUUGUUUUGAGUGUGCACAUGAUAUUCUGACUCUGUUUCUGGCCGGGUCACUAGGACUAUAGGUGACACUAUGUGACAUGAGCUAACCUUUUGUUUUCUGUGAAUGUGAUAUAUGAUUUGCUUUUGUAAAUAACUAUGCUUUUGAUAUUCUGAGUUACAAUGAAUUUAAAUUAUUUUAUAGUGAUAUAUCGUUUUAUGAAAUUUAUGGAUUAUGAUAUAUGUUUUAAUUAAAAGAAGGCUUGCAAUAUUUUUGGUAUUGAUAGGUCUAGUGUGUUAGGAAUAUUUUUACUUACCGAGUUGACGGCUCACCCCUCGUCAUUACUUUUUGCAGAUUAAGUUUCUUUUGAGAGCUGCGCUUAGCUUUGGAGUUAGUAAUUUUCUGUUUCCGUUUGCCAUUUGAAUAAGAGGAGAAAUAAACUCAUGUUUCUAUUUAGUUUAUUUAUGUUAUGAAUGUGUAAUUUGGAGUUUGAGACUUUUGUUAUUUUUUUUAUGUCCUCGGGAGAGAUUAUUUAGUAUUAGACGUUUGAAUUUGUGGAUUUAUUUGAAUAAGAAUUUGAGGUAUUUCAGUUUGAAACUUAUGAGUAAAGAUUAUGAUUUGUAAGUAACAUCCUUCUUCACGUGCUCCGCACGUGUUAGAUUUGGGGUGUUACAAUUGUGGUAUCAGGGCAUUAGGUUUGGGAUUCUGUAAACUUUAUUUGAGGCUAGAUUUCUUAAGCACAAUCAAUUAGUUCAAUGGUAUUGCUUGCCAUGAGGUUAUCGGAAAGAGUAGAUCUUUAAGGCGAGGAGUAAUUUUGGUCUUUUUGAUUUUCUAGUUGCUUGUGACUUUGUAAUAACUCCUUGAUAUAGGAUUUUGGUAUUAACGUAGAAUGAAAUAUUUGUUUGCUCUUGUUGUCAAUUACUAACUUUUCUCAAUUAUACUAUUUACUCAGUACUUUGUGCUAUAGCAAGCCCUUUAACUAUGAAUUAUUUACCAUUUUAUUUAUUUAUUUAUUUUUAUUCUUCGUGUUAUAGUCAAAAGAUGUCACGUAGGGGAGGUGCUAGGCAUGCCUUUAGCUCGAGAGAUGUUUUAGGUAUCGUUGAUGACGCUGACCUAACCUUGCGCGAGAUGGCUAACGAAGGGAAUCCUAUGAUGCGCGCAAUGGUUAGAUUGAUGGAACAACAAAGUAAGUUGAUUCAAGAUAUGGCUAGAGGUAAAGUUGGGGCACAUGAGAUUGUGCCAGUUGAAAGACAAGGUGGUGGAAGAGAUCAGGGAGGUAUGAUGAGCUUAGAGCGGUUUAGGAAAUUGAGACCACCUACCUUUCAGGGGGCUGCCAAUCCUAUGGUUGCAGAGGCAUGGCUAAAACAGAUGGAGAAGAUAUUUAUGGCUAUGGGUUGUAAUGAUGAUUAGAGGGUGAUAUUGGCCUCAUUGGUCCUUUAGGGUGAGGUAGACCACUGGUGGGAUGCCAAAUCCCGUCUUUUGAGGGCCGGGUUGCAAGAUGCACCUAUUACUUGGGAGUUAUUUCUGAAGGCUUUUCAUGAAAAAUAUUUUCCUGAACGAGUUCGACAUCAGAUGGAGGCUGACUUCCUGAAAUUGACUCAAGGAACAAAGCAUGUUGCGGAGUAUGAGGAGCAAUUUACUGCUCUAUCUCGUUUUUCUCGUACCUUAGUUGCUAAUGAGGGUAGUAAGUGUAGGAAAUUCUUGGAAGGCUUACAUCCAAACAUAAAAAGACGGUUGACCAUCCUUAAGCUUAAUAAUAAUGCCCAUUUGGUGGAUAGUACGAUUAUUGCAGAGAGGGAUAUAAUUCAAUCUCAAGUUGCACGAUCUAAUCGACAUAAUAACCAGCCAAUAAAACAUGAUAGUAAUGGUAGUGAAGGUGAACAUAAGUGCACUCUAAUGGUGGGUCUAUUCAAGAGAACAAACCAUUCUGUAAUCGUUGUGACAAGUACCAUAAUGGCACGUGUUAUUUAAAGAUAUGAGCUUGUUUUGGCUAUGGACAGAUUGGGCAUAAGGUUAUAAAUUGCCCAAAAAAGCACAGUGGUAACAUAGAUUCUGCCGAGAACCAAAGGAAAAAGCCACGUGUCUUCGCCAUGGUGGAGCAAGAUAUUAAAAAACCGAAUAACGAAGCCUCAGGUGCAUUACCUAUUUUCCAUAGAAAGCCUUGAAUUUUUGAGUAAUUGGUAUUGUGCUUUUCCUCCAUCCUUUCUUAUUGGAUGCAUCGUAGCUAGAGUUUUUAGCCUAAUAAUCACUACUAGAAAAAUAGGCUUUACUGACGCUAAAUUAGUGUCAGUAAUUACUUUUCCUGACACUUAUUAAUUGUGUCAAUAAUGCUCCAGCCAUAAUACACUGACACUAAUUUCUAGUGUCAGCGAUUUUUGUGUCAGUAAUUCAUGUCAUUAUGGUAUCACGAAAAUAAUGACACGAUAGCGUUAGUAUUUAAUGAUACUAUUUAUAUGUCAGUAAUUUAUGAGACUACAGUAUCAAGAGCACACUGACUCAAUAACAUCAAAAAUUACUACUGCUAUUUUAAACAUUUAGUGUCAGUAUUUAGUGAUGUUAUGGUUCUUUUGGUUAAUAGUAUACUUUGAUUUUAAUUAUAUUUUCCUAUUUGUUUUACAACUGAAAGAAAACUCAAAAUAUAUUAAAUAUACAAAAUCUCGCAACACAAUUGCAUAAGAAACAUCUCAAAUACAUCACUCAAAUUCAUAUCAUUAAACUACAUCAUUGUUUGGAAAAGAAAAAUAUAAAUACUAAAUUAAGUCUUGGACAAGCUCUUAACAACCAAGUACUAAGUUAAGAUUCAACAAAUAUUAACCAACAAAAAGAAGCACAUAAUGUCAUUGAACAUCCACAAGCGGCUUCAUUUUUCUUUUCCCACCUACAAGUACAUAAAAUCAAUUAGUAUACCACAAAAAGUAAUUCUUGAAUUUUUGGGAGAAAAAACAAUCAGGCCAAUUUCAGUGUUCAAAGAGACUAACAAAGAAUGGGGGCAAAAACAAUACAUAGCUCUCUUAGUGCAAGCUAAUUGUAAUAGGUAGUAUUGUGAAGAAUAUUUAUCUGCUAAGAAUUGAACUUGAGUGGAUUUUCCUACAGAUCUAUACACAACUCAACUUAAGAAGAAUAAAAAAAUAAAAAAAUAAAAAUCCUAAGGAUUAAGAAAGAUAAAUGGAGAUUUAUUAGUAUACAUCCAAAAUUAGAAACUCAUUAAACAAUCCAGGGGUAAAAAUUGAGGAAUAAGAAUAUAGCGUAUCUCAGGAUAAGACCAAAGACAUAAUAACAGAAACAUUUGAGGCAAACCACUACAAAGUUUUUACAUAAUAACCCAAAGCAAAGCAAACCAUUAUAAAAUUUUUACAUAAUAACCUAGAAACAAAACAGACGAAAAUUGGGCAAGUCCAUAUCCCAAACCUCUGUUAGGAAAAAUGUGUUCAGCAGACUCAUGGCUCCAACAAUAGAAAUUAACCCGUACACAAGGAAACAAAUUAAUUGAUAUAAAAAACAGUCAAAGACAAAGCCAACUAAGAAGAUUAACUAAUUUGGAGAUUGAAUUACAUAGUUAUUUUUACAAAAUAUAGCAUAAGCCCAUUGUAUUUCAUAGUAAGCAACUGCAAAAAUGCCUAGAGGCAAAUUCAUAAAGGAAGAGUAGAUAGAAGAAAAAAAAGACGAGGAAAUAAACAGCUUGAAACAAACAAAUCACCUAACACAUCAUGGGGAAUUGACUUGUUAACGUUAAAGAGCAAAAUAAAACUUGGCACCUUCAUUCGAAAAAGAACAGACGCUUACCCCUUACGGAGAAUGGCUUAGGUUUUUCUUUAGAGUUUCAGGCUGAUUUAUAAGAAUAUGAAGAAGAAAUGAUUAUGGAAGUUUGAUAGUGAUCAAGGAUUGAAUAUUGGGCUUAAAAUACAAAUUGGCAGUGAGGGCUGGUUUUCGAUCAUAAUGUUGAGAGACCACUAAUUCCCAAUACUUGUACCCUCUCACAGAAAAAUCCAAAUUUAAUAAACAUGAACUAAAUCCAGUGUAUUGAGUGUUAUUAUUUAAUGGAACAUAAAAUCUCUGGGUCAAAUAAUUCUAAAGUUAAACCAACAAUAAUCCCAAAAGCUAUAGUUGAUAAGAAAGGCCCAACAGUAUACUUCUAUCACACAAAAUUUGAAGAUAGAAAAAAGAAGGGCCUUUUUGUUUUUUAACUGAAACUGAAAAAAGAUUCAGUAUUAACAAUUCAUAAAUUUUAAAGACGUUGGUUUUCCAUCUUAACACUGAAAACUUGGUGUUUAUAUAUCCGAAUAUAAUUAAGCCAAAAAUUUUAAUUUAUCACUAAAUAGGAAAACAACUAAAUAAGCUGCAUAGUUUUAUUUUCCAAUAAAUGCUUAUAAUAUUUAUUCAUUCCUUACCAUAUAAAAACCUAUCCUUCAUUAUUUAUUUAUUUUUUAUAGGAAACAGAGAAAUUAGUAUUAAUAAGAACAAUAAUUACAAAAUGUCAAAAGGGUGUCCACAAAAAAAGGCUAUUGAAGUAUCACAGACCAAUCUCCAAAUUAGGCAAGCACUCAGAUUCCAAGCUAAUACUCCAAAAAACAAAUCUAACCUCAAACUACCUGAUAAACAGCUCAAAAUGACAUAAUCCUCAACAUUCUUCAGACUAAUUGAUCAUGCAUCAAGGUAUGUUGGGAUCUACAAAUACAUUGAAAAGAUCUUUGCAAAUAACAGUACAACUAGAAAGCUUGGUGUUUACAUUCUUGAAAAUUCUUUUUAUUGCUGACAAUAGAAAGGGAUUCCUUUUUCUGCUUAUUUCCUAAAAAUACUAAUAUAUGCUGCCCCACUAUACUCACAAGUAAUCUUACACAAAUGCUCUUUAGACAAGAUUAGUAUUUGCUACCUUUCACCCCAAUUACAAAACCAUAGAAACUCACCACCUAGACAAAUUUUAAAUUGUCUCUAUAGUUGGCUAUUAAAAACUGCUAAAUUUGUUUGCAGCCAUGCCCAAAAAUUUCAAGAACAUUGAACACAACGUAUUAUAGGUACAAACAAGAUAAAAUGAUGUUCCAGGAUUCACUCGACAUGUCAUCCAAGGUGAUACAAAACGGUAGAACUAUAGAACUAGGACAAAACUUGCAGCAAGAUAAUGGCAAUUUCCCCCUUUCGUGUAAGAUAAUCAUAUUAUUCUUCAAAGAGAGACGCACAAAAAAAAAAUGCUUGUUGAAAACAAGCAAGCAUAUGGGUAUGAGUCUAUUGUUGUUUAUCUGUGAAUCAUGUUAAUAACCAGCCACAGAAAAAUAGUAAACAAUAGUUUUCACACAAUCGAUGCAUAUUAACACAAGCCACGGAUUAUGAUUUCACUAACCAUUGCACACAAAGGUUCCAGACCAAUUUUAGAAGGAGGUUCUACAAGUUACUUUCCUUCAACUACUUGAAAAUCAAUCAUUAACUAAAGAAAUACACAUGAAAUUAGUUUAAAUAAUAGGAAAGGUAAAGGAGACAUUUUAUAAAAACUCUUAAAUGUGGUACUAUGAUUUCCACAGACUGUGCAACAAAAAUAAAAUUGGAUGAACUAUAAUAAGUGAGAAGACAUAUUGUAAUUCUAUCAUCAAAGAAAGAUAAGCUUAAUCAUUUUUAAUUUUUUCUCAAAUAUCCAGUAGUACCUUAAGGUAAUAGGACAAGAUCGCAGAAGUUGUCAUGAAGAGUGUAAAGCACUAAAUAACAAAAAUUAUACUAAUAAAUAAAACUCAAUUUAUUUUCUCCCUCAAUCAAUUGCUUUGAGCUUACUAUGAAUUCAACUAUGAAUUUGAGGAAAAAAUACAGACCUCAGUUUGUCAACUUCUUGUUCAUGAGAUUCAGCCGCAGUAAAUGCAAACCUCCAUUUCUCGUCAAGCAUUGUUAACCUCUACGACAAAUUGAAGGUAAGAAGAUGAACAAAAUAAGUGUAAUGUGCAGGAAAAAAAAUGAAGUCUAUGGGUACAACAACACUUCAAGAUUUUUCAAGUUCUAGUUCAUUUAAAUAGACAUUCCUUGAACUUCAGUAGCAAAGAAAGUACAUUAUAGCAACAAUUUCAAUUCAUUUCAAUCUUUAGAAUUUUUUAUUUUAAAAAAAUAAAUUCCUUCAAACUAGUGAAAGGAAAAUAAAAGUGUGUUUACAGAAGAAAAAUCAUGGAAUGAAUUAAUGACCAUGCAAGUGAGGAAACACAGAAAUUUCUGAAUAAGAGCGAAACUAACCGUGCAAAUGAACAAAGAAAAUGUAAGUCUUCAAGUGCUACAACAAGCAAAACUACCUAAAAACAAGCAUUUUCUUCUUGAAUUAAAGACAAAUCAUGAACUUUGUGCAAUCUCAAAACAUUCAGACAAGCAUGAACUUAGUUAAUUCAUAUCAUAGUCAUUGUCUCUAUUAAAAAUCUUCCAACUAAAAAAAAUAAAAAAAUAAACAUGUUGGUUUCUAUAACAUAAUUUGCCUAUCUUUACAUGAAACAGAGCAAUAAAUAACACUUAAUAAUUAUGAAAUACACAGCCAUUCAAUCUAUAUAAUAUAGAAAUAAAGGAAAAAAAAGAAAAAAAUUCAAAUUACAAUUAAAUAAACAAAAAAUAGAUAUGGAAAAGAAAUCCCACCAAGACUGCACUACUGGGAGAAUUUCUCAACAUCUGCAACAACCCAUAAAAUUAAAAUUAACAAAAAACCCUAAUAAUCAUAAGCUAAAAUAAAACAAAUUUAUUAAUUAAUUUGACAAAGAAAAUAAAAUAUUAAGCCAUUACCAGCAGUUAAAGCCUUAAUCAAGGCAACCUGUUUGCCCUUAAAGUCAUUGAAAAUCUCCUUCACAGGUCUAAGUAUAAGGUGUGGUAUCCCUUCCAUAGCAAGAAAAUUAACUAAUUUCUCAAUAAUUUUAUUCAAAUUCAAGCAAAUGGGUUUUGAAUAUUGAACAAAAAAAAGUGAAAUUUGACCAUAAAAAGAAAAAAAAUUGAUAAAAGAAGCCUCGAUUACGGUUUUGGUCCGUUUUUCAAUUUGAGAAAAAAAAGGAAAAAGGGAAUAAAAGCCUCACUUAGGGUUUUAGCUUUAUAUUAUCUAUUUGAGUUAAAUGAACGAGUUUGUGAAUGGAAAGAAAAAAAAGGAAGAGAUCGAGAAGAGAAAAAGGAAAGAGAAAGGGAAAGAGAAAGGCAAGAGACAGUUUUGGGUUUGAGUUUGGGUUAGAGAUUUGUGUGUAUAAAAGACAGGGAGAUGGGGACAAUUGCUAAGUUUGGGAUAUGUUUUACUUUCGUUUUACAUGUUUUAAAUUCUUAAUUUAGUACCUGCAGUGUCGAACCACUUGAACGGAAGUGAUAGUGGCAACGGCGUGGGGGUGGGCGCAGCCAUGGGGGUUGGGCGCGGCCGUGGGCGUGGGCGUUUGGGCCUGGUCAUUCUCCAUCUUUCACGAUAGAGAAGAAGAAGUCAAGAAAGGCAAGGAAAUUACGCAGCAGCUACGACAUGGGCUCUAUUGCACAAUGGAAAAGGGGAAUUAGGGUUUGGUUUUUUAUAUGUUAAUAUUUUAUAUAACAUUGUAAUUCCAACUCAAUUUUAUGGGGUCCAGUGGUUUGCAAUCUAAACGUAAAAGUUUUGAGUUUUAGAAAUCCCAGGUUCGAGUUAAAAUCAAAACAAAUUUUAAUGAUUCUUUUUAGAUCUCUGAUGCUGAAGUAUCAGUGAUCUCUAAUAUUUAAUUUACUGAUACAUUAGUAUUAAUAAUUUGUGACAUUUAUUUGUUAAAAGUGGAAAAUGGUGCAUAGUUAGGUAAUUACUGACACUUUUUUUAAAGUGCCAGAAACAAAGUGUCAGUAAAAGUCAUUUUUGUAGUAGUGAAUUUCUUUUUUCAUCCAUUGAAUUUCUAUGGUACAUUAGUAGGAUAUGAGGUGUGAUUUUAUAAGGCCAUUAGGAUUAACUUAUGGUUGGAUGGAGUAGGGACUAAUAUGAUAUUUAGUAGGAUAUGGGAUGAAGAUUGCAAUAAAAGUGUUUCACCAGCAAUGUGCGAGCGCAUUGAAGGGUUUUGAAGUUGAAUGUGAAGUGAUAAAAAAUAUUCACCAUCGAAACCUUAUCAAUGUUAUUAUUAGUUGUUCGAACGAUGACUUCAAAGCAUUAGUCCUAGAAUACAUGUACAACGGGAGCUUGGAGGAUUGGCUGCAUUCUAGCAAUUAUGUGCUUAAUAUUUUUCCCAGGUUGAACAUAAUGAUUGACGUUGCAUCAGCUUUAAAAUAUCUCCACUUUGAUCAUUCAACUCGUAUCAUUCAUUGUGACUUAAAGCCUAAUAAUGUGUUGUUGGAUGAAAAUAUGGUUGCUCAUUUGAGUGAUUUUGGCAUAGCAAAGCUUUUAAGUUGAAGAUGAGUCUACGAUGCGAACAAAAACCCUUGCCACUAUAGGUUAUACGGCACAAGGUUUGCUUGAAACAACUUUUUUUUAGUUUAUUUUAAAAUUUCCAAAUUAUUGAUUUUUACGAUCCUCAUAUCAAAAUGUUAUUGAUUAUUUAUCUAAUUAUGAAAUAAUUUGAUUCAUAGAGUAUGGCAUAGAAGGAGAAAUAUGUGCAAAAAGUGAUGUUUACAGCUACGGGAUUAUGUUGAUGGAAACUUUUACCAAGAAAAAACCCACAGAUGAGAUUUUUGUUGGAGAAUUGAGCUUAAAGCGUUGGGUUAAUGACUUGCUUCCUAAUUCAUUAGUGGAAGUUGUGGACAAAAUUCUGCUAAUUGAAGAGGAAAAACAUUUUGCCGCAAAGGAGCAAUGUCUGUUCUCUAUCUUUAUUUUGGCACUAGAGUGUACAAUGGAAUCACCGGAAAAGAGGAUCAAUACAAAAGAUAUUGUUACCAGAUUACUCAAGAUAAGAGACACGUUGAGUAAAAGGAUAGGAAAUUUAAGUUAAUUUUGUUUGCUUUCAUUGAUAGUUACUUUGAAUUCAAGUAAUAAGUGUAAGAAUCGUUUAUCUUUUCUUUUGAUAUUUUUUUCUUGAGAAAACUGUUGUAGUCAUCUUUUUUCAAUGGGCAGAGUUGAUUUAGUUCUUCCAAGAAAUGCUAUUGUUGAUCUUUGUUACAUACGUUUGUCUUUUUUUGCAUGCAUUUAGGUAGAAUAGUGGUCUAGCUGCAGGCUAACAAGUCAAGCUACGCUAAAAGCGUAUGAUUUAAUUUAUUAAACCUAACUUCAAGUUCAAGAAUUGCAUCUCAUUGCCACCAAUGCUUUAGACACCUAUUCGUAGGUUUGUGUCCUCAACUUUGUUUGGAGCAAAAGUUCCAGUCCCAUGGAGGCUCAAAUAUUUCUCUCCUACGUCCCGAACACGCUAAAUUCAUCAGCCUCUUGAACCCUCUCCUGAGGGCGCCUUCUGUCCUCUGUUUUCUGUUUCCAUACACAAAUAGCAAAAAGAAUUCAGACUGAUAACUGGGUAUCUAAGAAUAUAUAAGAGUGAAAUAAUUAAAAAAAAUUGUGCUUUUUUGUUUGUCGUGUUAAAAUCGUAAGGUAUCUAAGUACUAUGAAAGAGAUUAGUUUACGAAAACUGAAGCCAAGGGUUCAUAAAAAAAAGUGCAUAGAGAAUAAAGGACAACGCUUAUGUAAAGCGACAUAAUUGUAUUGGUAGCACAAUGUCACGUUCAUACAGAGAUCAAGUACAUUAUUUACAGCUGGUAAGGGCUAAGAAUUGAUGUAGCUAGAAUACAAAGAUGAUAUGGUAUGUUGUGCACUAUUGUUUUAUUCUACAAUCAAUCUUGACCCUUGAUGCUUGGCUCUCAAUCUUGUCCAUUGAUCUUCUCUGAUCUCGAAAACUUCAAGACCUUUCAAUCUCAUGCCUUAUUAUUGGUGUCUUCUAUGCUGUUAAUUUCAAAUACUAGCUUUUCCGCCAACUUGCCAAUUAUUUGUUCAUUGGUGCGUUUUGUCAAACAGUGUGGAUACUUAUACCAAACGCUUUCUGUUUUAACUACCCCUUUCAAGCUCAAUUAUCUGGGAAGACACUAAUAAGCUUGUUUCUCAAGUAUAUGUAUCUGAAAAUUAAAUUUUCAAAAUUAUAUUCGGACUCUACAUUUUCUAAUGAACAUUGGUUUGGCUCAUAAGCUUAUUAUACUUGGGCUUGGUAGGAUUAUCGGUCGGUAGAUGAACAAGUGUUAGAGCUUUCGAAUUUAUGCCAAUUAAAAAAAAUCUAUAUAAAUUUUCCACUAGGCUAUUACCACAAUAAACAUUUGGAUGAACUAUUAUUGAAACCUUAUUGAGAAGUAGGACAUGUCGCAUACCAAUGCACUGACAUAUCUUCAAAUAGUGGUAACUCCACACAACAUGGCACAAUAAAUUAAGAGUUAUAUAGAUAAAAUCUUUCACUCUUUGGUAAUCAUCAAUGUCGGCAUGACAAUGCGUCCCACAAAUAUGGCUCCUUAUCAAAAUUCAUAAAUCAAAACAAAAUAGAGAAUCAUAUUUGUUCCAGAUUGUAGUGAUGGUUGUUGAUGCACUCACAAUUUACAAUUUUAUUUAAUAUCUUCAAAUUCGCAUUUUAAAAUGCCCAAAUGUUUGUGUAUACAUAAUUAGAUAAAAUCUUUCAUUCUUUGGUAAUCAUCAAUUUCACUAUUAUUCGCUUUAUUAUGUUUGUUUCUUGCAGUAUGUUAAAAGAUUAUGUUGUGAAUUUGUUUUACAGGCCGCCCGUAAGUCUGCGCCCACUGUUGUGAAUUUGUGUAUACAUAAUUAGUAAUCGAUUCUCAAGCACGGACAUUUAAAAGCACUGCCGAAAGACAAAAUUUUAAUUUACUAUUUUUUGUCUUUUAAUUUUCUUUAAGUUUUAAUGAUUCCGCAUUUUAAAAUCCUGUGGAACGUGUAUGUAAAAUUCUUUUAUCUUUUAGAGGAAAACGGGCAAGAGAAGAAUAUUUGGCAAAGGAAUUGCAACCGCAUUUGGAGCUAUAUUUAAUUUUGUCUUUUAAGUCUUUUACACUUGUUUUUGUUAUUGAUGUUAGCUUGGAUGUGUGUGCGUGUGCGACUGAAUUCAACUUACAUGCUAUUGAUGCAGCCACCAAAAAGGGGUGGUCCAUCAUCAAUCAACAAGGUUUAUUAUUAUUUUCAUAUGGAUUUUCUUAAUUAUAAAUAAUACUAAUGCUAUUUCAUAGUUAUAAAUAUAUUAGAAUUAAUCGAAAUCAUUUUUUAGUGUGGCAUUGCCAAACUACCUUUUUUUAUAAGUAAUUACUACUUUCACAUUAAGAAAAAUACUCCUAUUUUUAGGGAAAAAUCAAGUACUUGUAGUUGUGAAAACUUGAGCUCACUCGCGUAUGAUAAAUCUUCAUAUUAAUUACAUAAAUAUCCUCUAAAAUUUUAAAUUAACUAUUCAAAAUUCGAUGUUAUACGGGUAUUUCAUUUAUUUGAGUAGGGGUUAGGGGUCAAUUGGAUACAAAUUCAAAAUUAUCCUUACUUGAGAAGGUGAUAAAAAUUGGGGAUUUAAUUUGGAUGUCAUUAGCUACAAAUAUUAAAUUCAUACAUUUAAUUCAAAAUUGGAGGGUUGAUAUAUGCGCAUCAUCGUGCACGUUAUAGUGACACUGCGUCACCAUCCCACAACCUCUCCAAUGAAAAAUUAACACGUUUCUCGUGUGCAUUUGAUCAGAAUCCUGAAAAUUAAUCACAAAAUUGUACUUUUAUUAUAAAAAGAAUAAAGAAACUCCUGAAAAAAAAAUACUUACAUAAAUGGUUUGAAAAUUCUAGAUUUCAAGUUGUCUAUAUUAGCUUGAUAUUUUUAUAAAUAGUCAUCCUCUCAAAAAAAUUCCAUCAAAAUAUAUAUUUUAAUUUUAUGUUAAUUCAUAAACAUGAAAAAAUCAUUUCAUAAUUAAUUAAAACAUAAUUUAUUGUUUCUCAAAAAAGGUAGAACUUAGUGAUAAGAAAAAAGUAUCUCAAAUAUAUGUAAAAAAAAAAAAAAUCUUGGUUGGUUGGAAUGAUUGAAUUUGCUUUUCUUUUUCUUUUUUAAGAAUUAAGACAAUCGGAUUGAUUGAGUAAUAAUAAUAUAUAUUUAUUUGGAGGUAGGCUUUCGUCUCAUGCAGAUUGAUUAGAGAGAAAACAAAACAAUUUUAAGCUCGUUAGAUUCGAAGCUGCUUACCUGUCGUGUGGGGAUCACUUCCGUGUCUUAUUUUUCUAAAAAAGUCUGGACCAUUGGAUUUAUGUGAAUCGUACUGAACAUUGGAAUUGAUGUAUAAGAAAAAAAUUUUGUAGUCGUUUAAGGAAAAAAAUUAUUCAAUUGGGAAUUUUUUUCCUUUAAUUUUUGUUGUACUUGAUUGAGAUUUCUCCUUAGUCCCUACAGUUUUAAGUUUGGAAACCGUAGGAUUAGUAAUUUCGUACUUCCUUUGCAAGCUGAGUAUAAGGAUGAAAUUCUUUUAAGAAAUUAAAAAAGAUAAAAAAAAGCAUACCAAUAGGCAAUUAUAAAUAACCACAAAUAAAUAUAAACAAAAUGUUUAUGACGUAAAUUAAACAUGCUCAAUUAUUUUCUUUUAUUUUCUGCUCGGAAACCCAUAAAUGCACUAAUCCAGUAUUACUAAUUUCAGACAGAAAAAUUUGAAUUUAACCGGUAUACAUUUCUACAAACCAAACAAGGCUAUUAUUUUUAUUAUUAUUUUUUUUUUUUUAUAAAUUACUAUUUUAAUUUUUCACUUUUUAUUGGGUUGCUUAACAGAUUAGUGAAGUUGGUGGUCGUUGAUGCACUCACAAGGUACAAUUUUAUUUUAGAAAUUGAAAUUUCGUAUUUUAAAAUGCAGGCACAUUAUGUAUGCAUAAUUAUUGAUUUUCAUAUGUGGGUGUUUUGAAAUAUUGCUAAAAGACCAAACUUUAAUAAACUAUUUUUGAUCUUUUUUUUUCCUUUGUACCUAAAGUUAGAGUGAUAUCCGCAUUUUAAAUUCAUGUGGACCAAAAGCUAAUGUAUGGACAAAAUUAUUUUAUUUUUCCGAGAAAAAUGGGUAAGAGAAGAAGAUUUUUCUCUUGAAAAAGAAAAACUAAUACGUUGCAAGCAUAGGAAAGAGGCUAGUGUGUUUGGAUUUGAAUUUAGUAUUGAGUUCAAUUUUAUGCUAAGCUCUUUUAUAAUACUGCGAUUAGGGAGCCCUUAAGUUACAUGUAAUAUAACUUACACUCGCUCACUUAAAUAGUGGGUGGGUUGGGGGCCCACUCACUGUUCAUGUGAGUGAGUGUAAGUUCCAUUAUAUGUAAUUUAGCACUUGCCUUGCGAUUAAUAAGCUCAGGAUUUGCUUUUGCUUUUACUUCAAGUAAAAGAAAGAGGAAACCUUUUGUUUUUUGUUUGAUUUUUGACUAUAUAUGUUACCUAUAUAGAGAGUUGAGAUGGCUGCCUUAAGUGAUGGUGAUAAAAAGAUUAAGCAGCGCACACAAUCUUACUAUCGUCCAGACUGUCCAGUGAUAGACUCUAGUUUUUUGGUUACAUUAGCUUUAGUGGAAAGAAGGGCCAAUUUAACAAAGACUAGAUUUGGUGGCUUGUUGUAAUGCUUAUUCUCAGGGAAUCUAAGGUUAUAAGAUGAUUGAAUGAUCUUCUAUGAUUGUGAGCAGUAUAUUAUAAUUGAAGAGAGCUUGGGCUCCUAUGAUGUAUAACAAUAACACAUUACUAUGAUUGAGAAAACUCAGUUACAAUAAACUCUUCAUUUAUUCAUUGCUGAGAUUGAAUGGCAAAUAGAGAAUAGAAUGAAGCAGAGGAAUCUCAUUGCCUGUAAAAUUGAGCCUAUUUAAUAUUACUUGUAGUUUUUAUUGUAAAAUAUACAGGUAUGACCAUGAUCAGAUGCUUUUUUUAAAAACAAAUGAGACAUCUUUGAUUUAUGGUAGUUUUAGAGAAAAAAAAAACAUAUAAAAAUUAAGAGGGAUGAGUUAACUGACGAUUACAAUCAUUACAGCAAUGCUGAUGAGUGAUACAUCACUUGAAAUUUAUUUGUCAGUUGCUGUAAUGAUGGAAAAAAACAAUAAACAAUAACAGUAAUAAUGUUCCCUUGCUGAAAUUCAAUUUUGACUUUCGACUCUUGGCUUUUAUGGAGAGUAAAAUGACUUGUAUAUUAUCCUCAUACAAUCCACUCUACAUAAUGAUAUCAUUUUAAUAAGGCAAUGGCUGAUGAUCUCCAUUGAAAAACUUUUUGUUUUAUUUAACUUUUUGGUUGUUGAAAAUAACCUUAAUUAUCAAAUAAUCAGAGAAAGAGUAAAGAACAUUUAACAAAUUUAUGUGCCAAAAAAAAAAGGAGAAAUUGAAGAGAAAGGAUGCUUGCAGAAGUGGGUGUCAAAGAGAUAAAUCGGUCUAUAAGAAUUAUUGUGGUUAUUUUUUUGGUGCCUUGGAGUUCUUUAAAUUAAGGGCCCAGUUUGUCCAUUUGUUUCAGUUAGGUCCUUAUUAAAAAUUAAUUUUAAUAUUGGUUUUCUUAAUUAUAACUAAUACUAAUGAUAUUUCAUAGUUAUAAAUAUAUUAGAAUUAAUCCAAAACAUUUUUUAGUGUGGCAUGGCUAAAACUACCUUUUCUAUUAGUAAUUACUACUUUUGCAUUAAGGAAAAUACUCCUAUUUUUAGAAAAAAGUCAAGUACCUAUAGUUGUGAGAACUUGAGCUCACUCGCUUAUGAUAAAUCUUCAUAUUAAUUACGAAAAUAUCCUCUAAAUUUUAACUAAACUAUUCGAAAUUCAAUGUUAUUCGGAUAUUUCGUUUAUUUGAGCAGGGGUUAGGGGUCAAUUUGAUACAAAUUCAAAAUUAUCCUCAUUUGCGAAGAUGAUAAAAAUUAGGGAUUUAAUUUGGAUGUCACUGGCCACAAAUAUUAAACUCAUGCAUCUCAAAAUUAGAGGGCUGAUAUAUAUGCAUUAUCGUUAUAUUGACAUGUGUCACCAUCCCACAACCUCUCCAAUGAAAAAUUGACAUGCAUCUUGUGUGCUUCUUAUCAAAAUCCUGAAAAUUAAUCACAAAGUUAUAUUUUUAUUAUAAAAAGAAGAAAGAAACUCCAUAAGUGAAAAAAAAAAAGACUUAAACAUAAAUAUUUUAGAUAAUCUAGAUUUCAAGUUGUCUAUACUAGCUUGAUAUUUUUAUAAAUAUCAAGAUUUCAAGUUGUCCAUAGUAGCUUGAUAUCUUCUAAAAAAAUUCCAUCAACAUAUAUUUUAAUUUUACGUUAAUUAAUAAAUAGAAAAUUCAUUUUAGAAUUAAUUAAAACAUUAUUUAUUGUUGCCAAAGAAGGAAGUACUUAGCGAUAAGAAAAAAGUGUCUCAAAUAUAUGUUAAAAAAAAAUCAUGGUCGGUUGGACUGAUUGAAUUUUUUUUUCUUUUUCUUUUUUAAGAAUUAAGACAAUUGGAUUGAUUGAGUAAUAAUAAAAUAUAUUUAUUUGGCAAAUGGCAGGUAGGCUUUCUUCUGAUGCAGAUUGAUUAGAGAGAAUAUGCAGCAAUUUUAAGCUUGUCAGAUUCGGAGGCUGCUUAUCUGUCGUGUGGGGAUCACUUCCAUGUCUUAUUUUUCUUGAAAAAUCUGGACCGUUGGAUUUACCAUUAGUCAAUAGAGAAAUGCUGAUCUUGAUUCUUGAUCAAGAUCGAAGUUUGAUUCUAUCUAACAUGAUAUCAGAUUGCGAAGCAAGCAAAUUGAAAGUAACUUGUUCUAUUUUGAUGGAAGAAACACAAUUUCUAUUGUUCUAAUAAAAAAUUUUAAUUAUACAUAUUUUUCUUUUGCCACUUGGGUUUGUAGUCCAGUGGUGAACUAUUGGCCUUAAAGUUAAGUAUGACUAUGAGGGCAAUGGUUCGAGUGCCCACGAACUCAAACUCCCUCAAUUAAACAUAAUUAUGUGGAGAUUACUUAUAACGUCUUUCUCUCUUGUGAAAUCUGAGUGGAGUAGAAAUAUCCCUUUCCCGUGAGGGUUAUUUGGCUAGGCAUGUACUUUAUAGAAUAAAAAUGUAAUAAUGUAAGUCAGUGCAAUGAUCUACUGUCAUAGUAGUUGUAAAUAUCUAGGUGUAAUACAGUAACCUGAUGCUUAAUCAGUUAAAAAAAAUGUAUAUCUUUUUUUUAUUUUUUUCAUUGUGAUCACUAUAACUAGUCAAAUUUAUUUUUAAAUAUUUUUUAAAAAAAUAUUUUAUUAACAAUGAUAUGAAAAUAUUCGAACCCCUUCUCAUAGUAAAGUGAAUUACUAUCCAACUGAUGCCUUCAAACUGUAAAUUGCAAAUCGUGUGUUUGCUCCAUUACAGGGUGUCUUCAAUUUAAAAUAGAGAAUAAUUUGGUUCUAGAUUAAUCGUGGGUCUAUAUCCAAAUCCAAAAAUUGACUAACUUGAUUUCUAUUAAGUUCUCAACCCUAACACGAAAAAUAGAAGAUUAAAAAUGACUAUUUUGGUUUCUAUUAAUUUGAGUAACACUUAAUAUUUAUCAUACAAUAGUCACUUAUAUUAUCAAAAUCUUGGGUCGAAAAUAUUAGGAUAGGUGAUAAUUGGAAUUAAGUUGUAGAUAAGAUAGAAAUGGAUUUGGAGAGAGAUUGGAAUCCUGGCUAAUCCGGUGCACGUUGUUGCGUUAAAUUCUCGUUGACUUCACGUUGACCGAAGCAUUAUUGGAAGAAACAAGCAAGCUUAUUUUCUUCUCUCAUUUUUUACUUUUGUCUAAAUUUAUUGAUGUGAGGCCUCUGAGAUGGUAAAGUGUUAAAUCUGAGAAGAGUACCCACACACCCAUUAUCCUAUUACUCUUAUUUUAUCACAUGCAGAGACGUCAACGUUUGAUUCGCACGGAAAAAAAUUUGCUAGGAUUGUGAGGGUUGAUGUAAUGUAAUUUAGAUGCAAAGUGUUCACAAGUGCGAUGCUUCGUAAGUGUACUUGAAUCAUUAUAAACUCACCUUAUUUUCAUAGUGAUUAUUUCAUCUGCAUGUGAAUAUAAUCAUAUGUGGAGAUUUUUUUCCUAAAUUAUGAUCUUCUCUGGUAUUGAGGUGUUAUAUUUUUUAAAGGUUAAUGUUAAGUUACAUGCAUGUAACUUACAACCCUCUCACAUGAAUAGUGAGUGGACCCACACCAUUCACUAUUCAUAUGAGAGGGUUGUAAGUUACAUCCUCUUUUAAAUUAUAAUUAUUAUUAUAAAAAAACUGCAACUAUGAAAAAAAAUUAAUAUUAUGUCCUGAAUAUAAUUGUUAAAUAAUAAUUUUGACAAAAUUAAUGAAUAUAUACAGUUUUUUUAUCAUAUAAGUGUAAAAUUAUAUCAAAUUAGCUUUUAAAUUAUACAGUGGCUACUGCUUAUCAAACACUUUAGUGUUGUAACUUUUAAGUUAUAACUGUCUAGCCUUUAACCUCAAUCUCAAACGAGGCUUAUAAAGAUCAAGGAUUUCCUCAUAAAAAUUAUACGUCUUGUGAUUGCUUAUUUAAUUUAUAUUUUCGUUAUUUAUCUUUAUUAAUUAUAGUCAUCUUUUUAUAAAUUACAAUUGGAGAAAGUUGGUUGAUGUUGUUGACACACACACACACAUACAAAGAUAUAUUGGAAGUGCUUAUUAUGUCGACUCGAAGUUGUGGGGAGUUAAUGCAUGUAUUGAUUUAUUGGGAGUGUUUAAAUUAUUUUGUGAUUUACUUGAUAGAUUGAUUGAUUGAAUAUUGUUUGAUUGCUUCAUAUCAAUUCUGGAAAGUUUAUUUCUUUGUGAAAUUUCAACGAAAUAUGUUUUUUAAAAUAAUAAGGGUGUUUUAAGUAAUUUUGAAAAAUAAAUACACUAAUUAGAAUUAAUUAUUAAGUAAUUAACUCGAACUGUAGAGGAUAAGCAAACAUUUAUCCUAAUUAUAUUAUGAUAAAUCCUUUUCCAACUAGAAUUAGGAAACCAUAGAUAUACAGAUUUUUAUUUUUAUUUCCCUUUGCGAAAACGGAUUAGAGAAUUAGAAAACAAUCCUAGUGAGACUAUUGUUAGGUUUAAUAUUUUGUCGAAUUUGGAAACUUUUUGUCGAAUUAGAAAACAUGCGUGGUGAAUAUUUUGUCGCAUGCAAACUUUUUGUUUUAUGCAAAUCGUACUGAACAUUGGGACUGAUGUUUAAGAAAAAAAUUCUGUAGUUAAAGAAAAACAAAAAGGCAUGUUGAAUAGAUUACGAUAGUUUAUUCAAUUGGGAAUUUUUUUUCUUUAAUUUUUGUUGUACUUGAUUGAGAUUUCUCCUUGGUCCUUACAGUCUUAAGUUUGGAUACCGUAGGAUUAGUAAUUUCGUACUUCCUUUGCAAGCUGAGUAUAAGGAUGAAAUUCUUUUAAGAAAUUAAAAAAAAAUGAUAAAAAAGGCAUACCAGUAGGCAAUUAUAAAUAACCACAAAUAAAUAUAAACAAAAUGUUUAUGAAGUAAAUUAAACAUGCACAUAUUAUUUUCUUUUAUUUUCUGCUUGGAAACCCAUAAAUACACUAAUCCAGUACUACUAAUUUCAGAUAGAAAAAUUUGAACUCUAAGCUGCAGUUUGACUCAAAAUGAUGAUCACUGGCUUCGCACCAUUUAACCGGUAUACAUUUCUACAAACUGAACAAGGCUAUUGAUUUUUAUUAUUAUUUUAAUUUGUUUAUAAAUUACUAUUUUAAUUUUCACUUUUUAUUGGGUUGUGUAACGGAUUAGUGAAGCUGGUGGUCGUUGAUGCACUUACAAGGUACAAUUUUAUUUUAUAAUUUCAAAUUCGUAUUUUAAAAUGCAGGUACAUUAUGUAUACAUAAUUAUUGAUUUUCGUAUGAGGGUGUUUUGAAAUAUUGCUAAAAGACUAAACUUUAAUAAACUAUUUUUGAUCUUUUUUUUUCCUAAAGUUUGGGUGAUAUGCGCAUUUUAAAUUCAUGUGGAACAAAAGUUAAUGUUUGUAUAAAAAUUCUUUUAUUUUUUUGAGCAAAAUAGGCAAGCGAAAAAGUUUUGGCAAAUGAGUUGCAACUGAAUCCAAAACCAAUACAAUGCAAGCAUAGGAAAGAGGCCAGUGUUUAGGAUUUGAAUUUAGUAUUAAGCUGAAUUUUAUGGUACGCUCUUUUAGAGUACUGUGAUCGAUAAGCUCAGCCCCGGAUUUGCUUUUGCUUUUGCUUUUACUUCAAGUGAAAGAAAGAGGAAACCUUUUGUUUUUUCUUUGGUUUUCAACUAUGUUACCUAUACAGAGAGACAAGAUACCUGCCAUAAGUGAUGGUGUUAAAAAGAUUAAGCAGCGCACACAAACUUACUAUCGUCUAGACCAUCCAGUGAUGACCCUAGUCUUUUGGUUACGUUAGCUUUAGUUGAAAGAAGGGCCAAUUUAACAAAGACUAGAUUUGAUGGCUUACUAUGUUUAAUGUAAUGCUAAUUUUCAGGGAAUCUAAUGUUAUAACUUAUAAGAUGAUCUCCUAUGAUGAACAACAGUAACACAUUACUGUGAUUGAGAAAACUCAGUUACAAUAAACUCUUCAUUUACUCAUUGAGAAGAUUGAAUAGCAAACAGAGAAUAGAAUGAAGCAGAGGAAUCUCAUUGCCAAUAAAAUUGACCCUCUUUAAUGUUAUAUGGCACAGGUGUGGAGGAAGAACAAGUUACUUGCAGUUUUUAUAGUAAAAUAUACAGGUAUGACCAUGAUCAUUACAGUUAGGUUUUGAUGAUUUCGGAUGCUUUUUUUAAAAAAAAAAAAAUUGUGACAUCUUUGAUUUACGGUAGUUUUGUAGAAAAAAAAUAUAUAAAAAUUAAGAGGGAUGAGUUAAACUGACGAUUACAAUCAUUCCAGCAAUGCUGAUGAGUGAUACAUCACUUGAAAUUUACUUAUUAGUUGCUGAAAUGAUGAAAAAAAAAAACAAUAAACGAUAACAGUAAUAAUGUUCCCUUGCUGAAAUUCAAUUUUGACUUUCGACUCUUGGCUUUUAUGGAGAGUAAAAUGACUUGUAUAUUAUACUCAUACAAUCCACUCUACAUAAUGAUAUCGUUUUAAUAAGGCAAUGGCUGAUGAUCUCCAUUUAAAAACUACAUCAAUUUUUUUGCUUCAUUUAACUCUCUGGUUGUUGAAAAUAACCUUAAUUAUCAAAUAAUUGGAGAAAGAGUUAAGAACAUUUAACAAAUUUAUGUGCAAAAAAAAAAAAAAAAAGGAGAAGUUGAAGAGAAAGGGUGCUUGCAGAAGUGGGUGUCAAAGAUAAAUCGGUCCAUAAGAAUUAUUGGGGUUAUUUUUUGGCAAAAUAAGAACUUAUGCGAUAGCAUUUUUUAUGGGUGCAUAUAACCUCCCUUUAAAAAAAUAUAUAAUAAUUACUGCUUAAUAUAGUAUUAAAUACAAAAAUAUCAAUAUUUGACUACUUAAAUUUAUAUCAUUAGGUCCUUAAAAUUUAAAAUGGAAGAUAUGAAAGGAAAUAUAUAUAAAUUUCAUUGUCCUGGUAAAGGGCCCUCUUAUAAUCUUAUAAUAUUUGAACUUUGAUAGAUUUUUUGAAACAAAUGUACUUUUAUUUGUGUACAAUCAAUAUUUACUCAUUUAUUAUAUUUUAAUUUAUUAACUAUUAAUCAUGUAAGUAUACUUAAUCAGAAAAAUUAUAUCAAGAGAAAAUUCUAAUUUCACGCAAAAACAAAUACCAAAACAAAUAUCUCAAUUUCUAUACUAUUCACUUUCCUGUAGAAUCAAUUAUUUAAAAUGCAAGUUUGUGGCUACAGAAAACUCGCCAAAGAAAGAAGAUAAUAACAAUUGAGCAUUGAUAGCAAAACUAAUGCAUCCAAUUCUUCUUGACUUGAUGAGAUGGCGCCAUAACGUAGACACAAGUACCUAAAUUGACCGGCACUGAGUGAUGUGAAUACUACCAGCCAGUUCAUCUCUUCCAGUCUUGCUUAAUCACAAUCACAAACACCACGAGAUCGACAUUUGCAUUAUAUAUAUCUUCAGCAAUCGAAACACCUUGCAUUACCAAAUAAGCCCGUAACAGACAAAGCAAUCUUUCAUGGAGAGAAACCUUAGUCUCAGUAUGAUCACUGUGUCAUUAACCUACUGCCUGCUUCUUUGCUUGGUUGCUGCAGCAGCAGCAGCGGCAAGCAACAAUAUUACCACAGACCAACAAGCUCUUCUUGCCCUGAAAGAUCAUAUAAUUUAUGAUCCGACCAGCCUUUUAGCUCACAAUUGGACCUCGAAUACCUCUGUUUGUACCUGGAUUGGCAUCACUUGUGAUGCCAAUAGCCAUAGAGUCACAACCUUAGAUAUUUCUCAAUUCAAUCUACAAGGCACCAUCCCUCCUCAACUUGGAAACCUCUCUUCACUCACAACACUUAAUCUUAGUCAUAACAGGCUUUCUGGAAGCGUUCCCUCCUCCAUCUACACCAUGCAUACGCUAAAAUUUCUUGACUUCACUGAUAACCAGCUCUCUGGUUCAGUGUCUUCCUUCGUCUUCAACAUGUCUUCAAUAUUAGUAAUUCGUUUGACCAAUAACAUAUUUUCUGGUGAGCUUCCGAAAAAUAUUUGCAACUAUCUUCCUUAUUUGAAGGCCCUUUUCUUAAACAAAAACAUGUUUCAUGGCAAAAUUCCUUCUGCUUUAUCAAAGUGCAAACAACUGCAACAAUUAAAUUUGCAGUUCAAUAAUUUAUCCGGUGCAAUACCAAAAGAAAUCGGCAACUUGACUAUGCUCAAAGGGAUAUAUCUCCUCUACAACAAACUCCACGGUAUGUUCACAAUACUAUAUAAAUAUUUUAAUUUAUCACUUAUUAUCUUUCUUGAAUAAUUUAGCUAAGAUCUUGUAAGAGAGAUAUUUUGCAUCUACGUUAAUUUACCAGGUGAGAUACCCCACGAAAUCGCUAAUCUUCCAAAUCUAGAGGCUUUAGCGCUUGGAAUCAACAACCUAGUUGGUGUGUUACCAGCUCCCAUCUUCAACAUGUCAACACUGAAGGUACUUAUCCUCAUAAAUAACUCUCUCUCCGGAAGUCUUCCAUCAAGAGUAGACCUUUCACUUCCAACUGUUGAGCAACUUAACUUGGCACUUAAUAGAUUUUCUGGAACCAUUCCUAGUUCCAUCACCAAUGCUUCUAAGCUCACCUUUCUAGAGUUGGGAGCAAACACAUUUUCGGGGUUUAUUCCAAACACAAUUGGUAAUUUAAGAAACCUUAAGUGGCUCGGCUUGGCUAAUAACUCCUUGACAUCUUCAACCUCAAAAUUGAGCUUUCUUUCCUCUUUGGCAAAUUGCAAGAAAUUAAGAUUCGUAAACUUAAUAGGCAAUCCACUGGACGGCUUCCUUCCAAGUUCAAUAGGUAAUCUUUCUGUGUCUUUGGAAACACUUGGCAUCGGCAAUUGCAGUAUUAGUGGCAACAUUCCUCCAGCAAUUAGCAAUUUAAGCAACUUGUUGACCUUAGUAUUACACGGCAAUAAAUUGACUGGACCAAUCCCAACUACAUUCGGCCAACUGCAGAAACUCCAAGGCUUAGAUCUUGCAUUCAAUAAGUUGGUAGGUUCAUUCCCAGAUGAGCUUUGCCAUCUGGCAAGGCUGGAUCAAUUGAUCUUAUUUGGCAAUAAGCUUUCAGGAUCUAUACCUUCAUGCUUAAGCAACCUCACUUCUCUAAGAUCUCUCUAUUUAGGGUCUAAUAAGUUUACUUCUGUUAUUCCCUCAACCUUCUGGAGCCUAAAAGACAUCUUGUUCUUUGACUUUUCAUCAAAUUUCUUGGUUGGUCCUCUUUCUUUAGAUAUAGGAAAUUUGAAGGUGCUUCUAGGAAUAAGUUUAUCGAAAAAUAAUUUAUCCGGUGAUAUCCCAGCCACAAUUGGAGGACUGAAAGAUCUUCAAUUUAUGGACCUAGCAUAUAAUAGAUUGGAAGGCCCAAUUCCUAAAUCAUUUGGUGACUUGAUAAGUUUAGAAGUUCUGAAUUUAUCAAAUAAUAAAAUCUUUGGGUCUAUUCCAACAUCCAUGGAGAAACUUUUUUACCUCGGAGAGUUAAAUCUCUCUUUCAAUAAACUAGAAGGUGAGAUUCCUAGUGGAGGAACUUUUGCCAACUUCACAGCUAAGUCAUUUAUGGGAAAUGAGUUUUUGUGUGGUUUACAAAAUCUUCAAGUCCAACCAUGCAAAGUUAGCAAGCCGAGGACAGAACAUAAAUCAAGGAAAAAGAUACUUCUCAUUGUGAUUGUUUCGCCAUUGAGUAUUGCUCUAACAAUAGCAAUCACUCUAGCUCUCAAAUCUAAGCUGAUCGAAUGUGGAGAAAGAAGCACAGUGUUGUCAAAUGAUAGUAUCUUGUCAUCACAAGCAACACUAAGAAGAUUUUCAUACUUAGAACUUUUACAAGCAACAGAUAAUUUUGCUGAAAACAGCAUAAUUGGCAGAGGAGGUUUCGGUUCCGUUUAUGGAGCAAGACUUGAAGAUGGGAUGAAGAUUGCAAUAAAAGUGUUUCACAGGCAAUGUGCAAGCGCAUUGAAGAGUUUUGAGGCUGAAUGUGAAGUGAUAAAAAAAAUUCGCCAUCGAAACCUUAUCAAAGUUAUCAGCAGUUGCUCGAACGAUGACUUCAAAGCAUUAGUCCUAGAAUACAUGUCCAACGGGAGCUUAGGGGAUUGGCUGCAUUCGAGCAAUUACGUGCUGAAUAUUUUUCAAAGGUUGAACAUACUAAUUGACGUUGCAUCAGCUUUAGAAUACCUCCACUUCGAUCAUUCAACUCCUAUUAUUCAUUGUGACUUAAAGCCUAGUAAUGUAUUGUUGGACGAAAAUAUGGUUGCUCAUUUGAGUGAUUUUGGCAUAGCAAAGCUUUUAAGUGGAGAAGAUGAGUCUACGAUGCGAACAAAAACCCUUGCCACUAUAGGUUAUAUGGCACCAGGUUUGCUUCAAACAACUUUUUUUUUUUAAACUUCAUUUUAAAUUUUCUAAAUCAUUGAUUUUUACGAUCCUCAUAUCAAAUUGUUAUUGAUUAUUUAUCUAAUUGUGAAAUUAAUUUGAUUCAUAGAGUAUGGCAUAGGAGGAGAAGUAUCUACAAAAAGCGAUGUUUACAGCUAUGGGAUUAUGCUGAUGGAAACUUUUACCAAGAAAAAACCCACAGAUGAAAUUUUUGUUGGAGAAUUGAGCUUAAAGCAUUGGGUUAAUGACUUGCUUCCUAAUUCAUUAGUGGAAGUUGUGGACAAAACUCUGCUAAGUGGAGAGGAAAAACACUCUGCAGCAAAGGAGCAAUGUCUGUUGUCUAUCUUUAGUUUGGCUCUGGAGUGUACAAUGGAAUCACCGGAAAAGAGGAUUAAUGCAAAAGAUAUUGUUACCGGAUUACUCAAGAUAAGAGACACAUUCAGUAAAAGGAUAGGAAAUUUAAGUUAAUUUCGUUUGCUUUCAUUGAUAGUUAAUUCGAAUUCAUGUAAUAAGUGUAAGAAUCUUAUAUCUUUUCCUUUGAUAUAUUUUUUUUCUUGAGAAAACUGUUGUAGUCAUCUUGUUUCCAUGGGCAGAGUUGAUUUAGUUCUUCCAAAAAAUGCUACUGAUGACCUUUGUUUAAUACUUUCUCUUUUUUUGCAUGUGUUUAGGUAGAACAGUGGUUUGGCUGCAGGCUAAUAAGUCAAGCUACGCCAAAAGCGUAUGAUUUAAUUUAUUAAACAUAACUUCAAGUUCAAGAAGUGUUUCUCAUUGCCACCAAUGCUUUGGACACCUGUUGGAAGGUUUGUUGUCCUCAGCUUUUGUUUAGAGCAAAAGUUCGAGUCCCAUAAAGGCUCAAACAUUCCUUUCCUUCAUCCCGAGGGCGCCUUCUGUCCUCUGUUUUCUGUUUCCACACACAAAUAGCACAAAGAAUUUAGAAUGACAACUGGGACAUAUAUAAGAGUGAAAUAAUUAAAAAAAUUAUGCUUUUUUGUUUGUCGUGUUAAAAUCGUAAGUACCGAAGUACUGUGAAAGAGAUUAAUUUACAGAAACUGAAGCCAAGGGUUCAAAAAAAACUAUUGAUGUAGCUAGAAUGCAAUGUCAUAUUCAUACAGAGAUGAAGUAUAUUAUUUACGGCUGGUAAGGACUAGGAAUUGAUGUAGCUAGAAUCCAAAGAUGAUAAGGUAUGUUGUGCACUAUUGUUUUAUUCUACGGUCAAUCUUGACCCUUGGUGCUUGGCUCUCAAUCUUGUCCAUUGAUCUUCUCUGAUCUUGGAAACUUCAAGACCUUUCACUCUCAUGCCUUAUUAUUGGUGUCUUCCAUGCUGUAGCUUUCAAAUACAAGCUUUCCCGCCAACUUGCCAAUUAUUUGUCCGUUGGUGCAUUUUAUCAAACAGUUUGGAUACUUAUACCAAACGCCUCCUGUUUUAACUCCCCCCUCAAGCUCAAGCAUGUGGGAAGACAUUAAUAAGCUUGUUUCUCAAGUAUAUGUAUCUGAAAAUUAAAUUUUAUAAAUUAUAUUCGGACUCUACAUUUUCUAAUGAACAUUGGUUUGGCUUAUAAGCUUAUUAUACUCAGGUUUGGUAGGAGCCAUGUCACAAUGUUAACGCUAACCAGCAGUACUGCCAAAGCUGGCCAACUCAGCCUGCAAGUUCAUAGCAACCAUAGUUACAGUCCUAGUCCGGUACAAAAAUCGUAAAUAUCAUUUACAUUACAAUGGUGUGGGGGGGGGGGGGGGGGGGGGGGGGGGGUGGCUGGAGAGGGAAUCAACAAAGAUCUAGAACGAAGGGUAGGCUUGUAUCCGUAACCCAUGUCACAGUGUUAAUGCUAACCGUGGACCUUAUUAUAUUAGUUUCUGGACUAUUAUUACUUUUGAAUUGCCAUCUUUGAAUUUACGUUCAUUUCUGCCUCGACAAGAUGUUUGUAAAAAUAUGCUAAUUAUUAAUGUGCCGUGUACAAAUAAGCAUGUUACUGUGCAAGGAUUGUAGUCAUGAUACAGUGGUGCAAAAUGUACAUGCUACUUCUUCUUUUCCUCAGUUAGGAUCACCGUCGUCACCAUUUAAUUCUAAGUCCACCCAUGCGGCCUAUGCAAUUGAAAUCAUGUGACCAUGUAAUUUUAGGUUCUGAUCUUCCUUGUGGGGUUAAACCUCAAAACUGUGACCAUUUUGGGACUUUUAAUCAGUUCCAAUCAUUUUCUGGUUCCCAUUCGUCCACCCAAGCCUUGAUUCCCCCGAUAUAGCAUGGCAAUAUAUAUAGGAAUAUUAAGGUUGUGUACAGUUUUUUUCUUUUCUGUUUUUAAUUUGAUAUAAAUUAUCAAUCAUGAAUCUACAUAAAGUUUCAACUAGGCUACUACCACAAUAAACAUUUGGAUGAACUAUUAUUGAAACCUUAUUGAGAAGUAGGACAUGUCGCAUACCAAUGCACUGACAUAUCUUCAAAUAGUGGUAACUCCACACAACAUGGCACAAUAAAUUAAGAGUUAUAUAGAUAAAAUCUUUCACUCUUUGGUAAUCAUCAAUGUCGGCAUGACAAUGCGUCCCACAAAUAUGGCUCCUUAUCAAAAUUCAUAAAUCAAAACAAAAAUAGAGAAUCAUAUUUGUUCCAGAUUGUAGUGAUGGUUGUUGAUGCACUCACAAUUUACAAUUUUAUUUAAUAUCUUCAAAUUCGCAUUUUAAAAUGCCCAAAUGUUUGUGUAUACAUAAUUAGAUAAAAUCUUUCAUUCUUUGGUAAUCAUCAAUUUCACUAUUAUUCGCUUUAUUAUGUUUGUUUCUUUCAGUAUGUUAAAAGAUUAUGUUGUGAAUUUGUUUUACAGGCCGCCCGUAAGUCUGCGCCCACUGUUGUGAAUUUGUGUAUACAUAAUUAGUAAUCGAUUCUCAAGCACGGACAUUUAAAAGCACUGCCGAAAGACAAAAUUUUAAUUUACUAUUUUUUGUCUUUUAAUUUUCUUUAAGUUUUAAUGAUUCCGCAUUUUAAAAUCCUGUGGAACGUGUAUGUAAAAUUCUUUUAUCUUUUAGAGGAAAACGGGCAAGAGAAGAAUAUUUGGCAAAGGAAUUGCAACCGCAUUUGGAGCUAUAUUUAAUUUUGUCUUUUAAGUCUUUUACACUUGUUUUUGUUAUUGAUGUUAGCUUGGAUGUGUGUGCGUGUGCGACUGAAUUCAACUUACAUGCUAUUGAUGCAGCCACCAAAAAGGGGUGGUCCAUCAUCAAUCAACAAGGUUUAUUAUUAUUAAUUUCCAUAUUGAUUUUCUUAAUUAUAAAUAAUACUAAUGUUAUUUCAUAGUUAUAAAUAUAUUAGAAUUAAUCGAAAUCAUUUUUUAGUGCGGCAUGGCUAAAACUACCCUCUUCUUUUUUUUUAUAAGUAAUUACUACUUUCACAUUAAGAAAAAUACUCCUAUUUUUUAGGAAAAGUCAAGUACCUGUAGUUGUGAAGACUCGAGCUCACUCCCUUAUGAUAAAUCUUCAUAUUAAUUACGUAAAUAUCCUCUAAAAUUUUAAAUUAGCUAUUCAAAAUUUGAUGUUAUACGGGUAUUUCAUUUAUUUGAGUAGGGGUUAGGGGUCAAUUGGAUACAAAUUCAAAAUUAUCCUUACUUGAGAUGGUGAUAAAAAUUGGGGAUUUAAUUUGGAUGUCAUUAGCUACAAAUAUUAAACUCAUACAUUUAAUUCAAAAUUGGAGGGCUGAUAUAAGCGCAUCAUCCCACAACCUCUCCAAUGAAAAAUUAACACGUUUCUUGUGUGCAUUUGAUCAGAAUCCUGAAAAUUAAUCACAAAAUUGUCCUGGAAAAAAAAAUACUUACAUAAAUGGUUUGAAAAAUCUAGAUUUCAAGUUGUCUAUAUUAGGUUGAUAUUUUUAUAAAUAGUCAUCCUCUCAAAAAAAUUCCGUCAAAAUAUAUUUUAAUUUUAUGUUAAUUCAUAAACAUGAAAAAAUCAUUUCAGAAUUAAUUAAAACAUAAUUUAUUGUUUCUCAAAAAAGGUAGAACUUAGUGAUAAGAAAAAAGUAUCUCAAAUAUAUGUAAAAAAAAAAAAAAUCUUGGUUAGUUGGAAUGAUUGAAUUUGUUUUUUUUUUUCUUUUUUAAGAAUUAAGACAAUCGGAUUGAUUGAGUAAUAAUAAUAUAUAUUUAUUUGGCAAAUGGCAGGUAGGCUUUCGUCUCAUGCAGAUUGAUUAGAGAGAAAAUAUAACAAUUUUAAGCUCGUCAGAUUCGAAGCUGCUUUCCUGUCGUGUGGGGAUCACUUCCGUGUCUUAUUUUUCUAGAAAAAUCAGGACCAUUGGAUUUAUGCGAAUCGUACUGAACAUUGGAAUUGAUGUAUAAGAAAAAAAUUCUGUAGUUUAAGAAGAACAAAAAGGCAUGUUGAAUAGAUUACAAUAGUUUAAGGAAAAAAAUUAUUCAAUUGGGAAUUUUUUUUUUCUUUAAUUUUUGUUGUACUUGAUUGAGAUUUCUCCUUAGUCCUUAGAGUUUUAAGUUUGGAAACCGUAGGAUCAGUAAUUUCGUACUUCCUUUGCAAGCUGAGUAUAAGGAUGAAAUUCUUUUAAGAAAUUAAAAAAGAUAAAAAAAAGCAUACCAAUAGGUAAUUAUAAAUAACCACAAAUAAAUAUAAACAAAAUGUUUAUGAAGUAAAUUAAACAUGCUCAUAUUAUUUUCUUUUAUUUUCUACUUGGAAAUCCAUAAAUACACUAAUCCAGUAUUACUAAUUUCAGACAGAAAAAUUUGAAUUUAACCAGUAUACACUAAUCCAGUAUUAUUUUUAUUAUUAUUUUAAUUUGUUUAUAAAUUACUAUUUUAAUUUUCACUUUUUAUUGGGUUGUUUAACGGAUUAGUGAAGCUGGUGGUCGUUGAUGCACUCACAAGGUACAAUUUUAUUUUAGAAUUUCAAAUUCGUAAUUUAAAAUGCAGGCACAUUAUGUAUACAUAAUUAUUGAUUUUCAUAUGUGGGUGUCUUGAAAUAUUGCCAAAAGAUCAAACUUUAAUAAACGAUUUUUGAUCUUUUUUUUUCCUUUGUACCUAAAGUUUGAGUGAUAUCCGCAUUUUAAAUUCAUGUGGACCAAAAGCUAAUGUAUGCACAAAAUUCUUUUAUUUUUUCCGAGAAAAAUGGGUAAGAGAAGAAGAUUUUUCUCUUGAAAAAGAAAAACUAAUACGUUGCAAGCAUAGGAAAGAGGCCAGUGUUUUGGAUUUGAAUUUAGUAUUGGGUUGAAUUUUAUGCUAAGCUCUUUUAUAAUACUUUAUAGAAUAAAAAUGUAAGGGGUAUUUGGUUAGGCAUGUACUUUGUAGAAUAAAAAUGUAAUAAUGUAAGUCAGUGCAAUGAUCUGCUGUCAUAAUAGUUGUAAAUAUUUAUGUGUAAUAUAGUAACAUGAUGCUUAAUCAGUUAAAAAAAAAUUGUAUAUCUUUUUUUAUUUUUUUUUAUUGUGAUCAAUAUAACUAGUCAAAUUUAUUUUUAAAUAUUUUUUUAAAAAUAUUUUUAUCGUGUGUUUGCUCCAUUACAGGGUUUCUUCAAUUUAAAAUAGAGAAUCAUUUGUGUUCUAGAUUAAUCGUGGGUCUAUAUCCAAAUCCAAAAAUUGACUAACUUGAUUUCUAUUAAGUUCUCAACCCUAACAAGAAAAAUAGAAGAUUAAAAAUGACUAUUUUGGUUUCUAUUAAUUUGAGUAACGCUUAAUAUUUAUCAUACAAUAGUCACUUAUAUUAUCAAAAUCUUGGGUCGAAAAUAUUAGGAUAGGUGAUAAUUGGAAUUAAGUUGUAGAUAAGAUAGCCUUUCAAAAAAAAGAAAAGAAAAAAAGUUGUAGAUAAGAUAGAAAUGGAUUUGGAGAGAGAUUGGAAUCCUGGCUAAUCCGGUGCACGUUGUUGCGUUAAAUUCUCGUUGACUUCACGUUGACCGAAGCAUUAUUGGAAGAAACAAGCAAGCUUAUUUUCUUCUCUCAUUUUUUACUUUUGUCUAAAUUUAUUGAUGUGAGGCCUCUGAGAUGGUAAAGUGUUAAAUCUGAGAAGAGUACCCACACACCCAUUAUCCUAUUACUCUUAUUUUAUCACAUGCAGAGACGUCAACGUUUGAUUCGCACAGAAAAAAAUUUGCGAGGAUUGUGAGGGUUGAUUCAAUAUAAUUUAGAUGCAAAGUGUUUACAAGUGCGAUGCUUCGUAAGUGCACCCGAAUCAUUAUAAACUCACCUUAUUUUCAUAGUGAUUAUUUCAUCUGCAUGUGAAUAUAAUCAUAUGUGGAGAUUUUUUUUUCCCUAAACUAUGAUCUUCUCUGGUAUUAAGGUGUUAUAUCUUUUAAAUUAUAAUUAUUAUUAGUAAAAAACUGCAACUAUGAAAAAGAAAUUUAAUAUUAUGUCCUGAAUAUAAUUAUUAAAUAAUAAUUUUGACAAAAUUAAUGAAUAUAUACAGAUUUUUUUAUCAUAUAAAUGUAAAAUUAUAUCAACUUAGCUUCUAAGCUAUACAACGGCUACUAUUUACUAAAUACUUUAGUGUCGUAGUUUUUAAGAUAUAUUUAUCCAACCUCAAUCCCAAACAUAACCUGUAAGGAUAAAAAAUUUCAUCCUAAAAAUUAUACGUCUUGUGACUUAUUUAAUUUAUAUUUUUGUUAUUUAUAUUUACUAAUUAUAGUCAUCUUUUAAUAAAUUACAAUUGAAGGAAGGUGGUUGAUGUUGUCGAGACACACACACAAAGAUAUAUUGGAAGUGCUUAUGUCCACUCGAAGUUGUGGGGAGUUAAUGCAUGUAUUGAUUUAUUGGGAGUGUUAAUGCAUGUAUUGAUUGAUUGAGUGAUUGAAUACUGUUUGAUUGCUUCAUAUCAAUUCUAGAAAGUUUAUUUCUUUGUGAAAUUUCAACGAAACGUGUUUUUUUAGAAUAAUAAGGGUGUUUUAAGUAAUUUUAAAAAAUGAAUGGACUAAUUAGAAUUAAUUAUUAGGUAAUUAACUCGAAUUGUAGAGGGUAAGCAAACAUUUAUCCUAAUUAUAUUAUGAUAAAUCCUUUUCCAAUUAGAAUUAGGAAACCAUAGAUAUACUGAAUUUUUUUUAUUUCCCUUCGCGAAAACGGAUUAGAGAAUUAGAAAACAAUCCUAGUGAUACUAUUGUUAGGUUUAAAACACUGCAUAGAUGGUAAAAACAUUGGAAUUGAUGUAGAUUAAUUUGUUAAUUGCUAUCGUACUGAACAUUGUUUUAUGCAAAUUAAUUUGAGAAUUAGAAAAUAUUUUGUUGCAUGCAAACUUUUUGUUUUAUGCAAAUCGUACUGAACAUUGGGACUGAUGUUUAAGAAAAAAAUUCUGUAGUUAAAGAAAAACAAAAAGGCAUGUUGAAUAGAUUACGAUAGUUUAUUCAAUUGGGAAUUUUUUUUUUUAAUUUUGUUGUACUUGAUUGAGAUUUCUCUUUAGUCCUUUCGUACUUCCUUUGUAAGCUGAGUAUAAGGAUGAAAUUCUUUUAAGAAAUUAAAAAAGAAAAAAAAGCAUGCCACUACGCAAUUAUAAAUAACCACAAAUAAAUAUAAACAAAAUGUUUAUGAAGUAAAUUAAACAUGCACAUAUUAUUUUCUUUUAUUUGCUGCUUGGAAACCCAUAAAUGCACUAAUCCAAUAUUACAAUUAAUUUCAGACAGAAAAAAUUGAACUCUAGGCUGCAGUUUGACUCAAAAUGAUGACCACUGGCUUCGCACCAUUCAACCGGUAUACAUUUCUACAAACCGAACAACGCUAUUGAUUUUUAUUAUUUUUUUAAUUUUUUUAUAAAUUACUAUUUUAAUUUUCACUUUUUAUUGGGUUGUUUAACGGAUUAGUGAAGCUGGUGGUCGUUGAUGCACUCAUAAGGUACAAUUUUAUUUUAGAAUUUCAAAUUCGUAUUUUAAAAUGCAGGCACAUUAUGUAUACAUAAUUAUUGAUUUUCAUAUGUGGGUGUUUUGAAAUAUUGCCAAAAGACCAAACUUUAAUAAACUAUUUUUGAUUUUUUUUUCCUUUUUACCUAAAGUUGGAGUGAUAUCCGCAUUUUAAAUUCAUGUGGAACAAAAGCUAAUGUAAGCACAAAAUUCUUUUAUUUUUUCCGAGAAAAAUGGGUAAGAGAAGAAGAUUUUUCUCUUGAAAAAGAAAAAAAAAUACAAUGCAAGCAUAGGAAAGAGGUCAGUGUUUUGGAUUUGAAUUUAGUAUUGAGCUGAAUUUUAUGCUAAGCUCUUUUAUAGUACUGCGAUUAAUAAGCUAGCUCAGGAUUUGCUUUUGCUUUUACUUCAAGUAAAAGAAUGAGGAAGCCUUUUGUUUUUUUGUUUGAUUUUUGACUAUAUAUGUUACCUAUAUAGAGAGUUGAGGUAGCAGCCUUAAGUGAUGGUGAUAAAAAGAUUAAGCAGCGCACACAAUCUUACUGUCGUCGAGACCAUCCAGUGAUGGCUCUUGUUUUUUUGUUACGUUAGCUUUAGUGGAAAGAAGGACCAAUUUAACAAAGACUAGAUUUGGUGGCUUACUAUGUUUAAUGUAAUGCUUAUUCUCAGCGCACACAAUCUUACUAUGUUUAAUGUAAUGGUUAUGUUGAAUGAUCUUCUAUGAUUGUGAGUAGUAUAGUAUAAUUGCAAGGGGCCUGGGCUCCUAUGAUGAAUAACAGUAACACAUUACUGUGAUUGAGAAAACUCAGUUCCAAUAAACUCUUCAUUUACUCAUUGCGGAGAUUGAAUGGCAAACAGAGAAUAGAAUGAAGCAGAAGAAUCUCAUUGUUAGGUUUUGAUGAUUUCAGAUGCUUUUUAAAAAAAAACAAUUGUGACAUCUUUGAUUUAAGGUAGUUUUGCAAAAAACAAAACAUAUAAAAAUUAAGAGGGAUGAUUUAACUGACGAUUACAAUCAUUACAGCAAUGCUGAUGAGUGAUAAAUCACUUGAAAUUUACUUGUCAGUUGCUGAAAUGAUGAAAAAAAACAAUAAACGAUAACAGUAAUAAUGUUCCCUUGCUGAAAUUCAAUUUUGACUUUCGACUCUUGGCUUUUAUGGAGAGUAAAAUGACUUGUAUAUUAUACUCAUACAAUCCACUCUACAUAAUGAUAUCGUUUUAGUAAGGCAAUGGCUGAUGAUCUCCAUUUAAAAACUACAUCAAUUUUUUUUUGCUUCAUUUAACUUUUUGGUUGUUGAAAAUAACCUUAAUUACCAAAUAAUUGGAGAAAGAGUUAAGAACAUUUAACAAAUUUAUGUGCAAAAAAAAAAGAAGGAGAAGUUGAAGAGAAAGGGUGCUUGCAGAAGUGGGUGUCAAAGAUAAAUCGGUCCAUAAGAAUUAUUGUGGUUAUUUUUUGGCAAUAUAAAAAAUUUUUAGUAAGUAAAAAUAAUUUUUUUUUCGAUUUACUAAAAAAUUAACUAAAAACUUCUGCGAUAGCAUUUUUUAUGGGUGCAGAUACCCUCCCUUUAAAAAAAAUAUAAUAAUUACUGCUUAAUAUAGUAUUAAAUACGAAAAUAUCAAUAUUUGACUACUCAAAUUUAUGUCAUUAGGUCCUUCAAAUUUAAAAUGGAAGAUAUGAAAGGAAAUAUAUAUAAAUUUCAUUGUCCUGGGAAAGGACCCUCUUAUAAUCUUAUAAUAUUUGAACUUUGAUAGAUUUUUUGAAACAAAUUUAGAUAGAUUUUUUGAAACAAAUUUACUUUUAUUUGUGUACAAUCAAUAUUUACUUAUUUAUUAUAUUUUAAUUUAUUAACUAUCAAUCAUGUUAAUAUAUUUAGUCAGAAAAAUCAUAUCAAGAGAAAAUCAUGACCCCACGCACGGAUAAAUACGUUAAUUUCUAUACUAUUCACUUUCCUGUAGAAUCAAUUAUUUAAAAUGCAAGUUUGUGGCUACAGAAAACUCGCCAAAGAAAGAAGAUAAUAACAAUUGAGCAUUGAUAGCAAAACUAAUGCAUCCAAUUCUUCUUGACUUGAUGAGAUGGCGCCAUAACGUAGAAACAAGUACCUAAAUUGACCGGCACUGAGUGGUGUGAAUACUACCAGCCAGUUCAUCUCUUCCAGUCGUGCUUAAUCACAAUCACAAACACCACGAGAUCGACAUUUGCAUUAUAUAUAUCUUCAGCAAUCGAAACACCUUGCAUUACCAAAUUAACCAGCAACAAACAAAGCAAUCUUUCAUGGAGAGAAACCUUAGUCUCAGUAUGAUCACUGUGUCAUUAACCCACUGCCUGCUUCUUUGCUUGGUUGUUGCAGCAGCAGCAGCAGCAAGCAGCAAUAUUACCACAGACCAACAAGCUCUUCUUGCCCUGAAAGAUCAUAUAAUUUAUGAUCCGACCAACCUUUUAGCCCAUAAUUGGACCUCGAACACCUCUCUUUGUACCUGGAUUGGCAUCACUUGUGAUGCCAAUAGCCAUAGAGUCACAACCUUAGAUAUUUCUCAAUUCAAUCUACAAGGCACCAUCCCUCCUCAACUUGGAAACCUCUCUUCACUCACAACGCUUAAUCUUAGUCAUAAUAAGCUUUCUGGAAGCGUUCCCCCCUCCAUCUACACCAUGCAUACGCUAAAAUUUCUAGACUCCACUGCUAACCAGCUCUCUGGUUCAGUGUCUUCCUUCGUCUUCAACAUGUCUUCAAUAUUAGACAUUCGUUUGACCAAUAACAGACUUUCUGGUGAGCUUCCGAAAAAUAUUUGCAACUAUCUUCCUCAUUUGAAAGCC
rnacentral:lncRNA from 1 species